AGUCACGGGAUUAACAUGAUAAAAUAUUUUUUACAUCGAAAGGUAACUUGCGACAAGCCACUGGCAUGCGAUAUGCAUACCACAAUACCCCCACCAACAUAUCGUGAACUACCAACAUUGGCUCAAAUUCUCCAAAGAAAGCAAAGGAAUUUACUAAAUAGGUCGCUAUUCUCGUUGUAGCCAUCCAAAGCCCUUUUCCACAUGCUAAACAAUUCAAAGAAGUUAUAAUGCAGAAGCCUCAUCGACCAAAGAGGGUGGCACUAGUGGGCACUCACGAGGAAGGGAUGCUGACACACUCCACAUUCAAUAGUCUCAGAACCAGAGGUUGGAACCUGGACCUGCAAUUAUUCCAGAGCACACCCCUUUUAAUAUCCAAGUAUUUAACAAUAGGACCAACACAACACAUCUGAGCUGUUGUUGGUGAAGGGUCUCAUACCUGCAAAUGAACAGUGCAUAUUGGACAGGCAACUUCCUUCAUCCUCCUUCCAGAACCAUCUGACUGGGAGCCUGUAAAAAGACAGUUCCUCUGUCAACACUAGACAGAAGCUCAACUAACAACGAGCCAAAAAAGGGUACUUUCAUGACAGAAUCCAUCAGGUUCAUUAAAAAGACGGAUCCUCUGAAAAUAAACAGCUGCGUUGAGAACACGUGUAUCCAGUUAAGAUUAGAGAAUUACCCGCUGAUCCUUUGUGAUUCCUCUCCAUUUCCUCCUGUCACAUACAAAUAAUGUCAGAAACUUAUAGCGUGAAACACACUUUCUUCAAAAGAGCCUCAAAAAAGAUUGCGCAAAGUUGUCCGAAGACUUUGCCACAAAGAAAUUACAGGGAACAUGUCUACCUGAAGCUAUCUAUGCAAAGUAUCAGAAAGACUACCUGAAGCUUUCUUGCAAGGUCCUCAUGACUCUUAAAUCUCACCGGUUUACUAGAUGCUUCCUUCGCAUUGCUCAGUCGCUGAGUAACUUCAGCCUACAAAACCCCAUUGUUUAGACUGACAAGGUAUGAGGAGUGUAAUAUGCCAGCCUAUUGCAAGUUGUAAUAGGUCUCAGGCCCAAGCACAUGCUAAGAUACAUGUGGGGUACAUUCACUUCAAAGAAACUAGAAAUAUACCAAACAACGGUCACAAACGCGAACUGGUUGAGCAUUUUCUUCGGCAGUUAGGGCAAUCCUGCCAUGGGUACAUUUAUCGCAGAAAAUAUCUCCACAAUUCCUGCAGUGGUGCUGAAUCCAAAAAAACCAGACAUGAGGGAAAACAAUAUAGAUGAACACUGGAGACUAGUAGUGAUAUAAAAGUAUGUACCCUGCGAAUAAAAGCACUAAAAUCCGUUCCACAAGCUGUACGCUUUGAAGCUGCUUCAUCGGGAAACUAAUAAGGAAAAACCAAGGAAUGUGAGUAGCUUUUAUGGCAAACAAGGCUGAUGUGAGAUUCUAAGGAAACCAAUGAUUUGAUACUUCCAUGCUUUUGAUAGUAACUUCUCAUUCUUCUCAUUAAGAAUGAGAAUAAAUGCAUACAAAACACCUGGUAAAACACGAUAUAAUACUAUUUCAAAGGGUGAUAACUUUUUACACAAAAAGGAUUUACUGAGAGACAUCAGCAUUUGGUGACUAUGAUUAAUUCAAAGACGACACACUUGACAUGUUUUGAUCCAUAUUUUCACUAUAUGUUGAUGACAUAAAUGACCAACACAAAUACAAUAAGAAAAACACAAUUUUGAUGGCAUGGCACAAGUUGCUAGCCAAUUUUGGUCUGCACAAGAUCUCUAUGUACCUAGUCUAAGCCCUCGUAAAGAGGGAGAUCCAGGAUACAAAAGGAUGUCAACAUCUAUAAUUGUCAGAUCUUCCAUGAAAUGGACAAUAAAAUAGGAAUGAUGAAGUGCAAAAUCUUGUAGAGUACACUCUGGAAAAUAGUCACGCCAAAUGGAUUUCAAGGCAUCAAAUAUGGAUAAGCAAUUUGAAAAUGUUUGGUGCAUGUGUGAUUGCUCGAGAAUUGAUAUAGCUCGAAAUGGAAAUCCUUAAAAAAGCUGGAGGGGCCACAUAAAAUGAGACGAUAAAAACCUCCUUAAGAGUCCAUUUCAAAGACUACCACUAGAUGCUUCGAAACAAAGGCAAUUUUAUGGUAAGGCCACAAGAGAACCAAUCAAACAGGUGUGCAAAGACGUAAGGUAAGCAUAUCUGUACAGAGACUCUAGCAAAGCUGGAAGAAUUCUAAAUAGUUUAAAAUUCCCAUCCCAUUUGCCUAAUGGAGCUUCCAAGUUCAUGUAAAUGCAUGCGUUCAAGUCCACAUGAAGCAAGUUUGUUUCUUCAAUAGAGUUCCACAAAUCUAGACAGAUCAAGAUCUCCAAACAAUCCUGUUUUCCCAAAAGCCUACUUGCAAACCAUUGCAGCAAAAAUUAAACCAAAGCUUAAACAGAAGCUGCCACCGACUGAAGGAACUUUAACCUCAGCAUCAGGGAAAAUGCCACAAGCAACUAAAAAAAUUAACGCAUGCUUGCCCAAAUAGCCAAUGCAACAAAAUAACAUCAAUUCCAUCAGCAUAUGCCCCAGGGGGGAAUGAAGAAGAUAAAAAUGGAUUUUGCGUUAUACCCAGUGAUCUUUCUCUUCAUUGCCAGGCUUCAUCAAAUUCAUCCAGUCAGCAAUACCUUUCUUCCUCUCUGCAGGCUGUUCACUUGUCUUUACAGGAUCAGAAGGCCUGCUCCUUCCACCUAUUUCCUUUAACUGGAGCAUGUAAAACAUUUACUUUCAGUCCAGAAAGCACAUAAACCAUCAGCUGAACUAUGGAGCUAUUUAAAGUUAUAUAACAAGUUAUAUAUAUAUAUAUAUAUAUAUUAUGGUGCUAUUUAAAGUCCACAAAAAAAAAUUUAACUAUGGAGCCAUUUUCUAUUGAUGGUCUAAUGCAGGGAUAUGGAUCCUUAAAUGAAUUCAUCUCUUUGCAAGUAUGGGCAACGUGUGGUCUAACAGUUCAAGUGCACAAGUGCAUCUCAAUCCUUGGACCCCAGUCAAAGGUUCAAAUCCACAAAGACUAUGGUUAAGCCGAUGAACGGCUGGUGUGAACAAUGUACAUCCAAUAGUAAGUCCCUGGAUGAAAACUCUAAAACAUCCAAUGCCAGUUUAGCCACAAACAAUUUAGUAGUCUAAAUCUGACCAGACCUAAGACCAGUUCCAGUCAAACCAGCCAGUCCAGUGAGGUUUCAAAGUUUAGAAAUGAGUGAAGGCCUGGCUUGCAUUUCUGCAAGGCCUUGCAAGUCCCCCACCAAUAUGCAUGUGAAAGGAAGGACUUUGGCCUUGCGCCAGUAUGCACAUGAAAGCAAGGAAAAAGGCAGGAAAUACUCAAUAUCUAAGCAACGGCGAUAGAGUGUGAGAAUUCAUUCAUAAGUGGCUACAAAUUAUAACAUAUUAACAUAACAGGGUAAAAAGUCUACUUCACACACACAUUGGACAAGCCUUGUCAGCCCACUAAUUUAUCCAUCCACCACAUCAUGCACAUAAUUGGUAAAUGCAGAUGUAGCAUUCUACCUGAACAGUCGCAGCUGUCACCGUAUCAAGGAGUGUGUUAGUUGUGUAACGAUUUGAUUGUAAUCUAAUACGCCUGGGUUCAAUAUCCACAGAACUCUUUGACCAAAAUGAAAAUAUAGAUGAAUCCGUCACCUGCGUGGCACCAUGCAUCCAUUGGUCAACAUUAAGUUAAAAACUGUAAAAGAACGCGUAAACAAGGAAAUUAACUCACUUCACAUCUGGUGAUGGUCUCUAAAGGGUAUAUCCUCAAAGUCCGACUUGUUGAAGGAUCAAGCAUACGAAUUCCAUCCAAGCCUAUCUGAAAGAGAAUACGUAACAUCAAGAAUCAGUUGCAAUAGAAUCAACCACCAAAUGACUGAAGGAUAAAAGCAAGAAAGUGACAAAAUGAUCUACUGUAUUGGUCACAGCUCUUGUUUACUAUAGGUAUCUUACAAUAAAACAAAGAGAUGUUUAAGAUCUUUGAAUUAAUAUUAAGAACAAGGUAAGGAGAUAAUAUGAAUAGUAACGGAAUCAGUGAGUUCAAUUAUAGGUGUUCUCCACCUCAUAUUUCCCCCCAGGUGGGGGGGGGGGGGGGGGGGGGGGAACGAAACACAGAGUGCACGCACACCAUGAUUUAUCGAUGCCAAAGGGAAUUAUGUUGGUUUACUAAUAGGUGUUCUAUUCCUCCUCUUGCAAUAAUUGGCACUCGGCAAGAGGGUGAAAGUAACUAUUAAUGAGAUUGAGAAAUCAAUGAACAGCUUGUACAAUAAAUUGGAAAAAUAAGUUCUCAGAAUUUAGACACUGAAUAUGUUUUGAUUUGUAUGGAUUUUAAGUUAUUUUUUCCAAAUCCUACAGUGCUUAUAAUUCGAUUUUUAUUUUAUGCAAAACACGACAUCUUUCAGAAAAAUGCAAAUAUUGACAUGUAUACACCUAUAAAAUGUUUAAUUUUCAAAUUAGUAGGAAAGAAAAUUUUUAAGGCAAACAAAACAAGUGCUUAACAAAAGAUUGUUCAAUAUAAGCUUUGGAAGAUCAACAUUGCAUCUUGUUAGUUUCUCAGCAAAAAGGAGUUGCAGAUGUGAUAAUAGGCUUUAGCAAUAUAAUUGGUAAAGUUCUAACUCCCAUAAAAGUUUUUCCAUCAAACAAAUUAAGUAACUGCUUCCUUACUUCAUCUUGUGUGAAAUUUUUGCUUAAAUGAAUCUGUCUAGUCAAAAUUAGUCAGUAUUACCAGACUCUUUUGAUCUUAUUAAGUGUCAAAUUUUUCAGUUAUCGGUAUUUAAUUAAGCUGUCAAAGAGGACCUAACUAUUUGGGCUAAUAUGGGUACUAAACAAGAAACCUUCUAGGUAUAACAAUUUUCACCAUUCCUCUUUUAGCUAGUCUAGGUUGUUUGCUAACGUUUUCUACAGCAAAUGCAGUCAGUGUCCUUCCCCCAUUAUAUAAUUUGGUCAGUAAUAGUUACAUUAUUGAUUGAUUUUAUGGUGACUUAAUGUAAUUUUAAUUAUAUUAGUCUUUUGAAGGCAUCUACAAACAGUGAUUGCUAACGUCGCAUUUAUCUCUAACAUAUACAAUCCUCAUAAUCCACAUAAUUUUAUGAUAAAUCCACAUAACACAUCUAUCAAACAAUUAAGACAUUUAAACAUCAAAAGGGCAUAUCUUCAACUUCUUAAGACAUGAGUUAAUGAAAAAAAAAUAUUAGCAUUAGCAUCUAAGGCAGGCAAUCCUUUCACUUGCUUCAGUAAUAAGCGAAGAGUAUAACAGGAACUGGAAUAAUGAAGAUGGUACAAAACUACAACCUUGCAUCUCUUACAAGCUAUUAGUCUAGGAUGUGCUAAGGUUUUCCAGAACAAAAACAGGUGUUGCCCGAUAAAGGAAAGUUCUUUGCUUUUUAUUUUAAAAUCAUUAUGGCAGUUUAGCCAAAACAUCAUUUACUUCAGUUCACUUGCAAUGAAGAAUCACAAUGAAAACUAUCAUAACAUUACAACUCAAACAGUCAAGAGAUGUAAUAUAUUCAGUUGCAUCAGAUCAUUUGUACCCAUACUUUGCAGGUUUAUUUUUUUGUAAUGAAACACUUUGAUGCUCAUACGGUCUAUCUGUCCUAGAACCCCAAAGAAUCUUAGGUUAGCCUCUGAUUUAAGACGAACUAGAGUCAAAUUCAGUAGCGCUGAAAUACUAACGAUGAACUUACUACUCUGCACACUAUAAACUUCUGAAGGUAGAAAUUAAGCAAAAUGAACAAGCAAAGACAAACCUGACAGAGAACAUCCAUUGUACUUUGAGAACCACUUUCAGGCAAGAGCUUCACCCUAAACUUCUGGACCCCACUCUUUACAUCCUGCUGCGUCUCCGCCUUGGGCACUGCUCUUACAAUCUUCGGUGAGCUGACUGAAGACUCCUUCCCAGAGGGAAAACUGAUUGGUCUUCCACAGUCAUCGAACGCAGACCAGGUCGAUGAUUUCGAAGAAGUGCCUCGAGCACCAUAUGGCUCGACUUUCCCUCCUUCGUAAGCAAACACACCAUCUCCAUACGCGUCCUCCCGCCUCGAACCUGAACCAUACUGCGAAACAUCCGAUUGCUUCCUGUAGAAGUCCGACCCGUAAUCGGACAUGCUACGACCGUAUCCCCCGCCAUACCUAUCAUCGAGGAACGAUCCCCCCUGAUCGUACUUCACGGAAUUAUCAUACGUCGGCUCAUACGGCGCGUUGUACGGAUCCGACGAGGCGUAGAUGGACGAGUACGGCGAAUUCGUGCUCGGAUUGGGAGAAUUGGGUACGUCUUAUGCUCCAGGCUGUCAAACAAGAAGGCGGUCGCAGCGCGACACAUGUCUCGUGGGACCCACGAUUUCAGAGGCGCCCAUUUUGAAAAUUUUCCUGUACUGUAGCUCUGCCGCGUGUUCUUUUAUUGCGCCUCUCUCUCUACACUCGCUCUCUCUCCCGACGAGUCCCUCUCUCUCUGCCCUCUCUCUUUCCGACCGGGCGAACGAUUGCCUGCAANNNNNNNNNNNNNNNNNNNNNNNNNNNNNNNNNNNNNNNNNNNNNNNNNNNNNNNNNNNNNNNNNNNNNNNNNNNNNNNNNNNNNNNNNNNNNNNNNNNNNNNNNNNNNNNNNNNNNNNNNNNNNNNNCCUUCUUUCGACCGACGAACCACCGCACGGGAUCGGCGAGAGGACCGCGAGCAAUCGAUGAACCACCACACGGGACUGGCGAGAGGACCGCGACCUCCCCCUCUCUCUCUGCCCUCCCUCUUUCCUACACCGCGAGCAAAUCAGAUAUUUUUGUAGAGAUCUCCCAUCGUCGCCUUCAUCUUCUUUUUCCCCUUUUUUUUGUUUUGUUGUUUUUUUUUUCUUGUGUUCAGAUGGCGGAACUGGAGUUGCAUAUGGAGGACGACGUGAUGUCUCACAUCGACCUCAAGCUUCUUCGGCGACCUCCUGAGGCCGGCGACGUCAUCGGCGCUUGCUCCCCGAACGCGUUGUCGUCGUCAAUAGACUCGGGGUUCGACGAGAUGGAGAACAUCUUGAUGAAGGACGACGAGGACGGCGGAGUUGUCGGUGGCGGGAUUAGGGCUGAUUCGAGCCAGGAGUUCGGCGAUAGGUUCCUCGCUGACGUGCUCGUUGACUCCCCGGAGAUUGGUCCACAGAGAUAGCCGAUGGGUCCGGCGACAAGGAGGAGCCUGGAUCGUCGGAUGACGGCGGGGUCGACACUGCGAAGGUUGAUGGGGCUAAGGGUGGCGGUGAAGCCUAUGAUCCUGCUUCUAAGAAGCUCAGGAGGUACAUUGAUUGAUCGGUGCUGCUUAAUUAUUCGAUUGGUUGCUUUAUGUUGAAUUCUGUCGUAAGCCUUUGUAAAACUGAAAUGAAUGUCAUUGGGGAGGGGUCCAUACAUCACCUAUUUUACCUUUGUAACUCAGUUUCUUGGGAAAGGAAAAAAUUAUUUAGUGGUUUGCCUAUCGACAAUGUAGCAUUUAGUCAGAUGCACAAUCUAUUACAAAUGUUUUGGUAUAUAUAAUGUAAAAUUGUUUGAUUAUGUGGUUGAUAGAGAGAAUAUGAGGAGUUCAAGGUGCAAAUCAAUGCUUUGGUUGCAAAGGCACAAAAGAUGCCAGAAGAAGGGUGGACAAUGCAGGAUGGCACUGCCUGGGCUGGAAAUAACCCCAGGGAUCACCCUGGAAUGAUACAGGUAUACGAUAUUAACCAGUAUUCUAGAAGCAUUUAAAUUAACCCUCUCCCCUCUUAUGCAUCUAGUUAGUGUUUUCUUUUUGUUGUCGAAAAUAAUAGGUUUUCCUGGGCCACAGUGGGGGACUUGAUACUGAUGGAAAUGAGCUACCUCGACUUGUUUAUGUUUCUCGUGAAAAGCGACCUGGUUUCCAACAUCACGAGAAAGCUGGAGCCAUGAUUGCUUUGGUUUGUCAUCUCUAUACAUCUUAUGUAGCUUUUCUUGUCAUGUGUCUCUUUUAGUGACAGGCUGGCAUCUUUAAUUGUAAACAAAUGAAUGUAUGUUGGUGUGAUUUGGUUUUUCAGUUUAGAUUCUUCAUUUAGGUUCUUCAUCGCUUGCUUGCAUUGAAAUUUAUAUCUAUAUGCAUUAGGAUCCUGAUUAAUGGAUCUCUAGGUUUGAGAAAUCACAUUCCAAGUUCACCCUACAUUAUUGAAGCUUAUUCUUUUUGUGCUUUCAGUUUGAAUGUACAGUUGGAAUUAUCUUUUUCAAGGAUCAGUUACCUUUUAUUUUUUCCCCCCGUGGAUUGUAAUGUUGAUAGUGGUGUCUCUAGCUUAUAGUGAGGAUUUGUUUAUCAUAAAGAGAUUCAUUGUCCCCGACCCUACUUUAACUUCAUACUAUUUCUCUUCAUAUUGAGAAACAAAUAUUACAGUUUGAUUUUCCCACAUUGCUGCUUGUCUGAAUGUUGUUCUUAUCCGCUGGAGAAAUUAGUUAGAUCUGCUUAUUACUUUUUGGCAUUUCUGAAUUUAUAACUUACUGUUUUAUUUUGUGUAGAUCCGGGUCUCAGCUGUCCUAACCAACGGACCGUAUCUUUUGAAUGUUGACUGUGAUCAUUACUUUAAUAAUAGUAAAGCAUUGAAAGAAGCAAUGUGUUUCAUGAUGGAUCCCGCUUAUGGAAAGAAGAUGUGCUAUGUGCAGUUCCCACAAUGUUUUGAUGGGAUUGACUUGCACGAUCGAUAUGCUAACCGCAACAUCGUCUUCUUUGAUAUAGGUGUGUCUUCAUCUUUUUCCUACUUCCAAAAUGCUAGUUGUUUAUGUUCAUUUGUUGCCUUUUUUAACUGAGCUAGAUUAUCUUAUUUAUGAUCUCAAUGCAGAUUAACUUGAAAGGGCUUGACGUCAUCCAAGGUCCUGUCUAUGUUGGAAUUGGAUGUUGUUUCAACAGGCAAGCCCUUUAUGGAUAUGACCCUGUAUUAACCGAGGAAGAUCUGGAACCAAAUAUUAUUGUAAAGAGUUGUGGUUCAAGAAAGAAGGGGAAGGGUGGCAAUAAGUACAUUGACAAGAAAAGAGCAAUGAAAAGAACUGAAUCCACUGUUCCAAUUUUCAAUAUAGAAGAUGUUGAGGAGGGGGUUGAAGGUAGGUCUUGAUUUAAUUAUGAGUUUCAUUUUGUAUCUUUGGAUGUUAGAAAGCAGACUUAUACUGGUCCAAAUGCCUGGACUUACUCCAUGAUUACUGUCAAAACUAGCCUGAAUUGAUGUCAGAUUGGGGUAUCUUACCUUGCCCUUAAAGGACCCCCUUAAGAUUUAGAAUAAACCAAAAAAUGUCUCUCUUUUGAUGUCACUUAAUUGUUCGACUGACUUAACAGUACCUUUGCUAUGUGUUAUAUCAUGUUAACAGCACCAAUUUGUUUUGUAGGAUAUGAUGAUGAGACGUCGCUCCUGAUGUCUCAGAAAAGUCUAGAGAAAAGAUUCGGUCAGUCUCCUGUUUUCAUUGCGGCUACUUUCAUGGAACAGGGUGGCCUACGACCAUCUACCAAUCCUGCAACACUUUUGAAAGAAGCCAUCCAUGUUAUUAGUUGUGGUUAUGAGGACAAGACUGAAUGGGGCAAAGAGGUAUGUUAUGAUGUUAUACAAUUUCUAUUCUAGAUGUAAAAUUCCAUGUCAUAUGGUUGGAAUUGACUUGAUGUUCUUUCUACGAACAGAUCGGAUGGAUAUAUGGUUUUGUUACAGAAGAUAUUUUGACUGGAUUUAAGAUGCGUGCUCGAGGCUGGAUUUCAAUCUAUUGUAUGCCUCCUCACCCAGCAUUCAAGGGGUCUGCUCCCAUCAAUCUUUCUGAUCGUUUAAACCAGGUUCUCAGGUGGGCCUUGGGGUCAAUUGAGAUUUUGCUAAGCAGGCAUUGUCCUAUAUGGUAUAGAUAUAAUGGGAAAUUGAAGCUCUUGGAGAGAUUGGCGUACAUCAAUACAAUUGUGUAUCCCCUCACCUAAAUACCGCUGAUUGUGUAUUGUAUUCUCCCUGCAAUUUGUCUUCUCACUAACAAAUUUAUUAUACCUGAGGUAAGUGAUACUUCUCUCUUCAUUGUAGAGUAUUCAAUCUCAUGUAUUUCGUUUGUUGUACAUUAAUCCACAUUAACUCUAUUUAAGUGAGAUGAACAAAAGAAGGGUCAUUGUUUACUUCUGUCAGCUGAUCCUAGCAUCUCCGCCUCUUUGGAAUGGAGUUAAUGUUCUCUUUGUAUUUAGUUUUCGAGUGGCUCUGCAUCUUGUUUUAAUAAAGCUUGGAUGAGAAACCAUUAGGAAACAUUGGUAAAAGAAGAUGCCUAAACAUCAUUCCAAUGGCUAUGGUGGUUGAAUAAUAUUCAGCUGAUAGCUGGCAAACAUAGGCCUUUUGAUAUAGUUAAAUAGAAAGCCCUAAGUCAACCAUAUUCUAGGUGCCCUUACUGUGGGGUCACCAAAGUCCUCUUCACAGGUGGACUCUUCUUUGUAUUCUUUAGAGUAUGAUCAUGAUCCUCAAUUUCAUUUAUUUGCAUUUUUUUCUAAACCUUAAAAAUGAUGUAGCUGUUAGUCCUGGCUCUUCUGCAUUGUUUGUACAUUUAAAGUAAUCUUCAUUGACAAAAGACGGCUCAAUUACGAUGCUAGUUUCCAUCUUUAUUAGAUAUUCUCCUUAUUAUGCUAUACUACUGAUUUCAUAAACUAAAUAUAGCUGUCUCUACGCUAGACUAUCUUGAGCUACAUGUAAGUAAUUUCAGCGUAAUUAGAGAUUGUUUCCUCUUUUCUUUCAUUUGAUGACCGAUCCGAUGUUAAAAAAAAAAAAAUUGCAGAUAAGCAACUUUGCUAGCAUGUGGUUCAUUCUCCUUUUCGUCUCAAUUUUCGCAAUUGGUAUUCUUGAGCUCCGUUGGAGUGGUGUCAGCAUUGAGGAUUGGUGGAGGAAUGAGCAGUUCUGGGUCAUUGGUGGUACAUCCGUUCACCUUUUUGCUGUGUUCCAAGGGCUUCUUAAAGUGCUUGCUGGCAUUGAUACCAUCUUCAGUCACUUUGAAAGCAGCCGAUGAGGAAGGAGACUUUGCUGAGCUUUAUGUGUUCAAAUGGACAUCGCUUCUCAUUCCUCCGACCACAGUUCUUAUCUUGAAUAUCUUGAACAUCAUUGGCACUGUAGCAGGUGUGUCUUAUGCGAUUAACAGCGGGUAUCAGUCAUGGGGUCCACUGUUUGGCAAGCUGUUCUUCGCCAUAUGGGUUAUUGCUGACCUUUACCCAUUCCUGAAGGGUCUGUUGGGUCGGCAGAAUCGUACUCGUACGAUUGUUAUUGUGUGGUCUAUCCUUCUUGCUUCCAUAUUCUCAUUGCUUUGGGUAUGGAUUGACCAUUUCACCUCAGCCUUCACAAAAUCUGCUGCAAAUGGUCAAUGCGGCAUCAACUGCUAAUUGUAUCAUGCUCGCCUGUGGGGGAAGCCAUCUUCAAGUGCUUAUUGUUCUUUUAUGUAUAUGACAAGAUGCUCAUUGCCACUUUUCAUCAUUUUUCAUCAUUGAGGUAAUACUUUCGUCCGGGAAGGUGGGUGUAAAACAGAAAAAGCAGAGAAUGUCAUUUUUUGUCAUGUCUUUUUCACAGUUGCCCGUGUUGGAAUAUAGGCAUCUCGAACCUUUGAUUCGUCUGUUGUUAUUUAUUGUGCAGUAUUUUGUUGUUUGAUCACAAGAAUGUAGCACUUUUGAACUUAAUUCAACACUUAAAGGUUGAAUACAGAACAAGCUCAUUGGUCAAGCUUAAGUUGAUGCCUUUAUUACUGUUCCCACAAUUCUCUUGCAAAUUGUGAACAGGUCUCUCAUCAACGCAAGGCUCUAUGGAAAGCAUUUCCCGCACGUCGAUUAAUUCUCUCUCUCACACUAUUGAUAAUUGAAACGUGAUGCUGUUGUGUUCUUUGUAUAUCAUCAAAUUUAGAGACGACGGGGUUGAAUUAUUGCCACUUUUCAAUUUUAUACUAAGUAGAAAUCCCUUGGAGCCGCAGGUUUGCCAAGAUUGGUAGGGCAGCGAGAGCUUUGCCUGGCAAGGUAACCAGCCACAGUUUGGAUCAGAAAUAAAAUCAACAUCUGACGAGAUCAUUUAAUACAAAGCUUUUUCUGUCAAAGAAAGCUGAAGGUACUCGAACCUGAAAUUGAAACAUCAUACUCCAAACAUGAAACUGUUGUUCAUUCAAACCGACAAUCCAAUAAGCAAAAAAGCUUUCCUUAUGUUAGGUACUCCAAGAGAUUUAUGCACACGCAAAGUAGCCCCUGUGAAAAACAUUGCGUCUCAAUCAGCAUUAUAUUGGACAAAUUGGCCAUCUUUCUUGGUUCGACUCUUGCCGACUCAUCUUCUCAUGAAAGACAAUACUCACAUUAUCAAAACAUGCUAGUACCUUCUUCAGAAACACAUAGAACUCCAAAAGAAAAGUAAACCCCUCGAAUAUCUUUGCGAGUGCAUGUAGAACCAACCUUGGUAACAAGAACUUCCUUGAAGAAUUCUUCUGAAGAAAUCGUAUGAGCAAAAGAAAAAGAACAUAAACUAAACCAUUCAAUCGCAGUAUACAUCUGACCAAAAAAAAAAUCGCAGUAUACAUCUGACCAAAAAAAAAAAUCGCAGUAUACAAAAUAGUCAUCUUUAUCUUCUCUUUCUGUAGAUGAUCCAUAGCAAAAGACCUCGUAUUUGUUCUUGUCAAAUAUGUGGUUACGCCUCUUCAUCAUCCUCAACCAUAAUCCUCUUGCACGCUUCAUAGCACAUGAACAUCAGGUAGGGAAAACCUUAAUGACAAUCGACAGGAACAUCAGGUAGGGAAAACCAUAAUAGAUACAUUAGCUCCUGGUUUCUAAAAGUAUUAAGGAAGCAGAAUAUAAGAAACAAGAUGUACAGAUAAAGAGUUCAGGAAGUCACUAGCCCGAUGGAAUUUACAUAUUCAGAGUGAUAGGUAACACUACUGCUAAACAAAUCGCGCAACGUUCUGCACAUAGAAGAAUAAGAAAAAGGCAGGUUCAAUUUAAGAUACCAAGAAAGUAUUCUCCCUGUAGUAUCUGUUAUUUUGCAGUAAAACAUGGCAAAAGCAGUUCACAUGCAUAAAGAAUCGACAGAAAAUGUCCUCUGGAAUGACUAUGCUAGUUAUAUUACAAAAGGAGAAAAAAUGAGAAUCAACAAAUUGGUAUUCAAGAAAAGGAGGAAGUGAUUGAAGUCAAUCUCCCAGCAGUUUGCAUAGUUUUCAAUAAUCUCCCAGGAAACAGGGGGAAGGAGACUUUUCACUAUGGACUACCAAAAAAUAAAAACAGAGGCUUUUCCCUGUCUUCUCUCCCUCAAGACUAUGUGACUGAUUCCUUCCCACCAAAAUCACUGUAUUCCCCUGUGACUUUUACCUGAACCAAAGCACUGGCGGGAUCGUGAUGCGAGCGGAACUGGAGAUCAACAGGCCAGCGGGUGUGAGACGGUCGGGCACCAACGUUCCAGCGUACCGGUGUCGGAUCUAGAGCUGGAGGGGGGCGCGGUAGUUCGCCGGUCACGCGGUGGUUUGCCGCGAAGAGAGGGUGGGUAGACAGAGAAGAGCCGGAGAUCAACAGGCCGGCGGGUGUGAGGCGGUCGGGCACCAACGUUCCAGCGUACAAGACAAGCCGGUGUCGGAUCUGGAGCUGGAGGGGGGCCGCGGUGAUUCGCCGGUCACGCGGUGGUUCGCCGCGAAGAGAGGGAGGGCAGACAGAGAAGAGCAGGGAACGGACGAGUCGGGGCCAGAUCCGGAGCCGGAGGGCUGGCGCGGUGGUUCGCCGGUCGGAAAAAGCGAGGGAGGGCAGAGAGAGGGAGGUUGCACGCCGGUCGGUUGCUCGCGGUCGUCUUGCCGGUAUCCUCCUCGUUCGUCGGUUGCUCGCAGUGGUUCGCCGGCCGGAAAGAGGGAGGGCAGAGAGGAAGGUCGCACGCCGGUUGGUCGCUCGCGGUCGUCUCGCCGGUAUCCUCCUGGUUUGUCGGUUGCUCGCGGUGGUUUGCCGGUCGGAAAAAGCGAGGGCACAGAGAGACAGUUCGUCGAGAGUUUGUUCGGGGAGAAAGAGCGAGUGUAGAGAGAGAGGCGCAAUAAAAGAACCCGCGGCAGAGCUACAGUACAGAAAAAUUUUCAAAAUGGGCGCCUCUGAAAUCGUGGGUCCCACGAGACACGUGUCGCGCUGCGACCGCCUUCUUGUUUGACAGCCUGGAGCAUAAGACGUACCCAAUAUUUUCUCCUGAUCCUAAAGGGUACCAAAUAUUUUCUCAGCUGGUGGCGGCCUGAAGCUGAUUGUGGGGCCCGAGCAGAGGAGAAUUCUAAAUCGUUCGUACAAACAGAAUUUUUAUAAGUAAAGUUUCUUGCUUUAGAAAUGUAUUAUAUGUUGACCAAAAAAAUAAAAAAGAAAUGUAUUAUAUGACUAUCUUGAAGCCUUGUGAAUACAUUGCAUUUUUGGGCACCGCGACCUUGGCUUGUGGUGUGCAGAUUUGCAUCAUUAGAGAAUGUACCAAGAUUUGGACCAUUUUUUUAAUAAAAGGAUGAGUCCAAAGCAUCUAGAAAUAAGUUAAAUGAAUUAGGAGGAUAGAAAAAUCAAGUGAGUAUGCUCCACUGGAUGCAUUGGAAGGCCCUUCUUAUAAGUUAAAGUUCUCAGUGGGACAAACUCGAGACGCUAUUGAAGGACAAACUUUAAUUUUAAAAGUAAGUGGAAAAAGAUUUAAGGAACGGAUAAGCAAUCAAAACGUUAAUCAUGCGAAAGACACGGCGGCUGAUAUUCACGAGCUUUCUGUUUCAUGGGAAGACAGAAGCCGAAAGAUCACGCAUUUUGAGUUUGGGAAAAUGAUGGAUGAGCGUUGGUAUCAAGGGAAUGCCAUUCUCAUGCAACAAAAUAUGAAUGUGGAUGUAAUAGGUCUUUCAGGCUUUCUCUGUGAGCAUCCCCACCAAAGACCUGAAUACUUGCCUGAAGUUUCAUUGGAUGCUUAUUAGUAAAAGACGGAUUCGAUGAUCAGUGGCUGCUUUUGUGAUUACUUUUUGAGCGCAUGACCACUACCCUUGUGUUUGAUAAUUUACUGUGUUAUUUAGAGCUUAUUUUGAUUUGAAGCUGUUCACGAUUUAUCUUGAUUUGUAAUUGGACGAAAUUAUUUUUCUCUUGUAUUUCUACGAGAAUGACUGGAAUGUUAUCUUUAUAUAAAAAAAAGAAGGUAAGAAUAGCCCCCCUUCCAAUACAAUAAAUCUUAUCAAAUGCCCCAGUGGCUUCUAUGAUGUCUUCAUAUAAAAUCUUUCCAUCGUACUUUGGUAGAGAAAUGACUUCAGUUGUCUUGGUGCUAGUUCCACUGUUAAAUGGAACUUCUUUCUACAGAAAAUGAAGAAUAUUCCAAAGAAAAUAAACAGAAGAAUUGCUCCUAAUAAAGGAAACACAAUAGGAAACACUUUGCCUCCCGUCGGAAAGCUUUUCCCAUCUACCAUCGCUUGAUCACAGGGCUUAAGUCUGUCAUGGCCUGAACCCCGAGUACGCACACAUCCCUUAGCAUCGUCGACCCAUUCUUUUUAUCUUUCAAUUAAGCAUAUGCGGAAGUGAAUUAAAUAAACCCCCGGCCAACAAACAAACAUAGGGAUAAUAAAACACGGCAACCAUUGCCGAAAACAACAUAUUCAUUCAUCAACUGUUAACCCUAGGAAGUUUAAUACUUACAAGCCUUUCCAGGGCCACUUUCUAUUGACCCUCUCAAAAACCUACAAGACUAGGGUUAACCUAAACUUCACUAACGGCAGGGCUAGCCAAAAGGUGUCGCAUCUCACGCCCACCACAUCCGCACUACGGCCUUGAAAAUGUUUAACCACGACGGGUGAGAUAAAUCUCAACGAGUCAACAACCUAAGCCUCGACUAGGACGCAAAUUCGCCUCAGAGGCAGCCUAAACAGGCACCACAAACAAACUCACCUCGCCUCGGCACGUCCCUGCAUAUUAGCGCAUCACAUAUGCCAUUAUAAAUAGGACAAGCAUAAUUAAUAACUGGAACACACAAUUCUCAUUCUCCAAGCACUCACACGGGUCCCGAUUAUAAGGUAAAAUCAUUUUGGCACAUCCCAUAACAUGCCUAACAAUUUUACCCCAUAAUCAAGCAUAAAGCAUCACAAUCAUUUAGGCGUGUUCCGAUUAUUACGACCCAUCGGGCCACGACCAACACAAGUGUCGGUGGUCUUCCGGCGUAACCAGGCAUCGUCCCGCCCCAUCGGGCACAGCAACGUCUAGAACCCCCACCUAGAUGGCAUUCCAUAAAGGAGCAUUGGUUCGGCUUCUACCGCGAAUCGGCUUCCGGACCCCCGCCGGGCAUCCGAUAAAAAUCAGGCAUCAUCCCCAAACUCUCGUUGGGUGAUGGGUUCCAUUAAGUGACCAUGCAAGCACGUCAUCAGUCAAAUCAGCUUUUAUUUCUAUUUAGCCAAGAAAACCAAAAUCCAUUUUCAAAUAAUAAACCUUGCAACUCUUUCUUUUUUUUUUCAAAACUUUCCGAAAUAAAUUCGUACGGGGUCACGUAUUUGAAAUCAACCCGUCAAACUUUGCACGCGUCUAGUUUGAACCCUUACGGUUUUAUUGAGCACAUAAAACUUGGCGUCCAAACCCAACACCAUAUUUCUUUUCCAUUUCUUUGUCCAACCACCAUUUUUGGAAACAAUCUUUGGUAACCCCCUUUUUUUUUCUUUAAAACUUUUGGAAAGAAAUUCGUAGGUGUUUUCGUACUCAAAAUUAAUCCGUCAAACUUUGCAUGCACCUAGUUUAAAACCUCAUUGUUUUAUUGAGCAAAUAAGUUUUGGUGUACAAACCCGACACCUUAUUGUUUUUCUAUUUAAAAGCUUAUAAAGCAAUCUUUUGACAUAAAAAUUGGAACCAACAUAGAGCAACCGAUAUCAUAAUAUCACGCAUAAGUUCUCUGCAUGCCAAAAAUCAACCAAAACACAAAAUAUACAUUUUCCAGCAAGCAAGACACUAAGAAUAACCACAAGACCACAAUUGGCCCUCACCGGAAGAAACCGAGUCUACUCGAAUGUCUCCAAGAUUAAUUCCAUAAACAUAACCAAACGAGUUUAGAAAAUCAGGCAUGAUCUGCUCCGAUUUGUUGACGACAUACACCCUUGUCCAUCUCUUGAUUCGUCCAGAUCAACCAGUGCAAAACGCACAUUGUGAAUCCACGACGACCAGCUAUUGUUAUCCACCAUUUUCAGCUCAGUUUUUAAAUACAUUUUGCGCUGAUUGCAUUUAGUGAAACCUCUCAAGAGGCAAUGAAAAAGCUCACCAACCUAUAUGCCAACAAAUCCCGUUUUCGAGUAAUGUUUCUCAAGUACCAGUUGUUCACAAUUAAGCAUAAAUCGAGGUCGGUUUCCGAAUAUCUUCAAGAAUUAAAGGGUAUUGCCAAUGAACUCUCUAUUAUUGAUACACCCUUUCAAGAUGAUGAUAUUGUUAUACGUGCCUUACUUGGAAUUAGUCCUGAGUGUAAAGAAUUAGCGAUUGCAAUUCGCGCAAGAAAAAAUCCUAUUUCAUUUGAGGAAUUACACGACAAACUUGUUGCUUAUGAAACUUACCUUAAGCAUGAAGAAAAAGCUACAUAAUUCAUUCCUGUCACAGCUCAGUAUACUGCCAAUGAUCCAUCCAGGAUAACCAACGCAAGUGAGUAUCAAAGUCUUACUAGGGCCCUUCAAUAUCUCACUAUCACAAGACCUGACAUCGCAUUCUCUGUCAACAAAUUAUCCCAAUUCAUGCAACAUCCCACUACCACACAUUGGGCUGCUAUUAAGUGACUUUUUCGGUAUUUAAAAGGAAGCAUAUUUCAUGGGUUACAUCUAACCCGCUCCAUGACGUCUAUUCUUCGGGGGUUCUCCGAUGUUGAUUGGGUACCGAUGACUGAUCAUCCACCUCUGCAUUUGUCAUCCAUCCUAAUCCGGUGUCUUGGAGGGUGCAGAAACAACGCACAAUUGCCCAAUCUUCUACUGAAGCCGAGCACCGCACCGUUGCCACAACCACAACAAAAUUACAAUGGGUCUAGAACAUGCUGUUCGAACUUGGCAUCAAACCAAUCACCACUCCAACUCUGUACUGCCACAACAUUGGUGCCACAUAUGUAUGUGCAAAUCCGGUAUUUCACUCCUGAAUGAAACACAUUGCCAUAGAUUACUAUUUCAUUCGUGAUCUAGUUGCAAAUGGAGUUCUUUGCGUCUCCCACAUCUCAACCACAGAUCAACUUGCAGAUGCCCUCACAAAACCAUUAUCCAGACCUUGGUUAAGUUAUUUAUGACCCAAGAUUAUCGUCUUCGAUGGAAGCGCCAUCUUGCGGGGGUGUGUUAAGGAUGAUGACACAAAUUAGGGAAUCAAGAUCAAAUCAAAUCAGUCAAGUAAUUUUUUAAAUUUUUUAAAUUUUUCUUAAUUUUUUAAAUUUUUUAAAUUUUUCUUAUUUUUUUAAAUUUUUUGAAUACUUUAUAAUUUAAUUAAUUUUUAUAUUAUUAUUUACACGUAGACACGAAACGGCGUCGUUUUUGCGUUUUCUCCACCACGUCAGCGUGCAAAACGACGCCGUUUUGGACUAAACUCGUCGGAAAAUUGCCACAUCAGCCAUUUGGCCGGAUUUUCGCCGGAGUGGCACUUAAGUGUCCCAUUUUGCUCCGAUGAUGGCACUUAAGUGUACCAUUUUAAAGUUAUGGCACUUAAGUGUCCCGGCGUGCCAAGUUAUGGCACUCCAGGUGUCCUCACCUCGAGGUGAUGCAGAAUGAAGGAGGAGGCGUGAGCAAGAUGAAGAAAAACAUAAAGGAAAAAAAAAGAAAAAAAAGAAAAGAAAAGGAAAAUAAGUCCUUAGAGAAAAACACCCUUACCUGCAAAUAAGAUUUGGCUAACUUCUAAGUUGAGGCCUUUAUUUAAGACUAAAUUAGUCAUUUUAGACCCUCAUUUGAGAUAAUGCCUAUUUUGAGUUUUUCUUUGAAAAAAUAGUUCCACUUCAUUUUUUAUUUGAAAUUUUCCCUUAUUUUAUUAUACUCAAAAGUAAAAGAAUCUUUGUGAUCAUGAUUUAGGGUUUACCUAUUUGAAGAAAAACUAUUAUCAAAAUUGUUUUUCAACUUGUUGGGAUUAGAUGCCAGAAAACUAAUCAAAUGUAAAGUUUUUUCAUGAGGGAAAACCACUUCCACUUCUACUAAGAAGGAAAUCACUUUUCCUAAACCACUAAUUAAAUGAAAACUAACUGUUCUAGCUAAAAAUAAUUUUCACAAUUUUUUUUCUGUUAUCAUGAAGUUUUUCAAUGUAAUAAAUGGACCCUUAUUCAAUUAUUGAAAAAGAGUACGCUAUGAUUAUUUUGGAAUUUUGAAGUGCUCGAUAGCUCCAAUACAAAUAUGUCCGCACGUUACACAGAAUAAUGAUUUUGUUGUUGGAUUAUGAAUUUGUAUAGGUGGAUUAUAUCGAAAUGUAACGACCACCACUGGAAUCUAUCCAUAAUAAGAACUAAUUUUCCUUUUAUUUAUAAGCAAUGCGAUUCAUUUUUUCUUUAGUUUAUUGCAUUUACUAUUUUUGUAAUAAAUCAAAUUAGUGAGUACCAUUGCCUUGCUUUGAUUAAAAAAUCUAAUGACCACAAGAAAGUGAUGGACAUUUUUUUUUUUGGUUAUUUCUUUCCGUAUUCUAUUUUCCAUAACCAAGGGAAAAAUUACUGAGAAUAGAAACAUAAUUGGAUUGAAUACGAGUUGAGUCCAGUGGAGUUGUGUGUAGAUUGCUAAAAUUGUAUUAUGUAAAGAUGGAACUGUAUGACUUUAAGUGGGUCAAUUUGAAUCAAACUCAUUUUUUAUCUGAUUGAACCUCACCCAACAAUCUGACAAGUCUAUAUAAAGGUCGUAUGAUCAUCAAUUGUAUGGGAAAAACACAAGAUAUACUUAAGAGAAAGGGCAGAGAGAAGCAUAAUCAAUACUUAAAUUAUAAGUUUGAGACUUUUUGGUGUCGCAAAAAGAGUCUAAAGUAAAUAUAUUACAAUGAGCAUAAUUUUGGGUUUUUGGUGGUUUUUUCCUCUCUUUUUUCAAGAUAUACCCUUACCAUAGCUGUUAAAUCAAGAUACCUAUUGUGAAUCGAGAUCUUGAAAUUACUCGGGAUCUAAUCGAGUCGUAAGGUUCAGUCAAGUAUCUAAAAUUGGUAUUUCAAGACAAUUACGAGUUUUAUUAAUAAUACUAUAAAAUAAGAACGUUCAAUGACAUUAUUAUAAAUAUGAGCUUAAAGAAAGAGAAUUUCAAAUAAACAAGAGAGGCCCAGCCCAGUAUACUUCCUCAGCCCAAAUUUGCUUCGAAAGUCUUCUCCUUCCUUUCCUCUUGCUGUUGCAUUCUUCCAUAGAAGAGAAAGGAGAAAGCAGAGCCUUGAGGAACCGAGACAAAAAGAGGGGGAAAUCGCAGUGGUUGGUCGGAAAACAUUAAAUUAAUGCCAGAAUACGCCUUUUGCAUGUGAUUGGUAAGCGUUUCCUUGUUGUUUUCUUUCCUCUUGCAAGUUAGUUCAUGUUCGAGGAGUUAAUGUCGUAGCCCUGGCCAUGUUGACUUCGCCGGUGACACUUCGACGGAAAAAUGUCGCUUGGAUCUCAAAGAGGAUACUAAAAAAAUAAGAAUCAAUAACUUAGCAGAUGCAAUUUGUCAAGCUUCUUGGAAUAAAACCCGAACAUUGAGCCUAGCGGAGAAAUACAUAUUUCUGGUCUGUCACGUUACUGAAAGAAGAAGGAACCGGACAAGUGAGCUGAUUUUCGCUCCGCUCAAAGUCAAGCCUGAAGGUUUUCUAUUUCAUUAGGAAUGUUACUGGAAAGCUGGUUACCCAAAAGAGAAACCAAAGGGUAAGCUCUGUCAAGUUGCCUAAAGAUGGCAAGAUUGAAACGGUGAGAUUAUUAUUGUAAAGGCUCGACCAUUGAAGAAAUUUCAAAUUCUCUAGCUCUGGUUGGAUGGAACCUGUAGGUUCAUUAUCAAGUAGGAAGUGCACUUGGUGGAGUGACGUAAGACGGUGAAAAUGGCUGAGGAGCUAGAAGCUUUAUGACUAUCUUCAAACUAGAUGUCAGUAACUUGAGGGAUUUAAAUGGUGCUACUCCAUUUUCACGAUCUUGGAGUGUAAGGUAGUAACUUUGGGAGCUAGAAGCAUUAUGACUCUUGAAACUAGUCUGCCUUCAUGCACUUGAAGUAUAAGAUAGUAAUAGAACAUAACUUGCACUCUUUCAGAAACAAAGCAUUGUAUUAUAUAAUCUCCACUCGAGAUAAAAAGAUGAUCAAUGAUCUUCGUAAUUUAAGCACUUUUACAUGGUAUUGGAACUAGUGCUAUAUCUUUUACAAGAGUAUGUUUAUGUAAGAUCGUGCGUGUUGAAAUAUCAUCUCAUACCACUUAAUGACAUUUAAUAAACAAGGUUGAUGGCCACGGUUAGAACGUUUAGUUUCUGAUUGAACGCACUCUGAAAAGAUGCAUGAUUGAAACUCUUCUGCAUGUCAGAGGAUUUUAUAUCUACACAAAUCCACAAUGAACCUUAUAAAAGGAGUAACAAAGGACAAGAUUUCAGAGACUUAAUAUAAAUAUUCCAUUGCAACUUUUUUUCUCUCGAGAUGAUGACAUCAGAUACACAAGCAACUUUACACUGACGAAAGUCAUAUUUUCUAACCCUAACUAGACAUGGAUACAUAACUUUUGCUGCGACGGCACUAGUCUGAAUAAGACUAGAUACAUAAACAGUACGAAAUAUCUCGAGUUCAGCUGUUCUUUCUACAAAUGAAACUAGAUGCUAGUAACUUCAGGUUUUGCUCCUUCCAAAAGAAAAGGCAGUUCUAUGCUUACUUGGGCAUGGAGGACACGUAGUUCUCAUCCUCAUGCUGGUGCGCGCUAAACACGUAACUUUGCUUCCGGUCAAAAUAUUUCUCCUAAAUGCAAAUUAAGUUCAAAAAAUAGUGAGCGAAACAAAAAAUUAGAAAAGUCUAAAGCUUAAUUUAUCAGUUUAAACGUGUUUUUCAUUAAAGACCAGACCUUCCUGCAUGUGGUUGAUAGAGCAAAAUCGUUUAUUAGGCGAUAUCUUCUUCAGAUUGAUCCAGUUCACGGCUUGAAUUUGUUGCAUCUCUCACAGGAUCAGUGGGCUUCUGUGCUUUUUUAACUCCAUCGAAAAUGGUCGAACGAGCAGAUAGUACAUGAGAAAUCAUUUCCGUCGACGGCCUGAGUUGGGGAUUAGCAGAUACGCAAGCGACUGCAAGCUUAAGGAUGGUCAGAAGUUCAUCCUCAAUGCCUGGCGUGGGCGAUGGCAGGCGUGAAUCCAAUAUAUCCUUCAAACCUACUGAGAUUUCCAUGUCGACCAGAGCUAAUAGAGAUGAAAGGCUCUCACCUGGAUGUCCUCCUUUGAUCACCUCAAUGGCCACUAUUCCAAAGCUAUACACAUCGCAUUUCUCCGUCACCUUCAUUGUGUAAGCAAGCUCUGCACAAAGGAGAUAUAUGUGUUAGCACAAAGACAUUGCUUUAGCUAAACCGUUAGAUCAAGAGUUGAUUUUAGAAAUUAACCUGGAGCUACGUAACCAUAUGUGCCGACGACUGCACUCCAGUUUGAUGUGUCCAACUUAAGAAGCUUAGCUGUGCCGAAGUCAGAAACAUGUGCCUCGUACUCCGAAUCAAGUAGAAUGUUGUUACUGGAAAUAUCUCGAUGAACGAUUGGAGUGAUACAAUCAUGGUGCAUAUAAGAUAAAGCAUGAGCCAUGCCUUUUACUAUAUUCACCCUCUUGUUCCAGUCCAACUCUUUAGCUUCUUUUUCAUUGCUCAAGAUUGUAGACAAGCUUCCUCUGUCAAAGUACUCAUACACCAAGAAUGAGUGUUGUGGAUGCGAACAAAAGCCCACAAGUUUCACAAUAUUGCGGUGUCGAAUUUCCGUCAAUGCCCUAAUCUCAUUCAAAAAUUCCUUUUGAUAUGUUUGCCCACUAUUAGCCGUUUGAUGGAGCUUCUUUACGGCUACUAUAUCACCAGAUCUUAAUUUGGCCUUGAAGACACUUCCAUAGCCUCCCCUUCCAAUACAAAAAAUCUCAUUAAAAGCCCCAGUGGCUUCCAUGAUGUCUUCAUAUGAAAUCAUUCCAUCGUACUUUGAUAGAGAAAAGACUUCAAUUGUCUUGGGUGCUAGUUCCAUUGUUGGAUGGAGCUUCUUUCUAUGGAAAAUGAAGAAUAUUCCAAAGAAAAUAAACAGAAGAAUUACUCCUAGCAAUGGGAACACAAUAAGAAACACUCCACCUCCUGCUGGAGAGCUUUCCCUAUCAACCACCGCUUGAUCACAGGGCUCAAGUCCUUCAAUAUUUCCACACAAUCCAUUGUUACCUUGAAAUGAUUCUUUUGUUGCAUUUUGGAAUGCCGUGGUGUUGGGGAUGGGACCCUCAAACUUGUUGUAAGAGAUGUCCACCUCCACCAAACCUCGCAUAUCCUUGAAAGUCUUGUAUAUUAGGCCAGAAAGAUUAUUGUGUGAAAGGUUGAGUUUCUCUAGGCUUUGCAGCAUGUUGAAUUCCGCUGGGACCCCACCACUUAACAAGUUAUGACUCAAGUCUAGCUCGGAUAGGUGAAUCAGCAUCCCUAAUUGCCUUGGAAUAUCUUGGCUUAACUGGUUGUUGCUCAGAUACAAGUGGGUCAAUUUUGAAGAAUUCCCAAUAGUCUGCGGGAUAGACAUGCUUAAUCUAUUCAUGGACAAAUCCAAUUUUAGAAGACUAGGUAGUGAUACAAUCUCAGGACUUAUUUGGCCUAAAAAUUGGUUCCUGCUUAGAUUCAAUUUCUCCAGAGAAGUCAAUUUUCCAAAUUCUUUCGGAACCUCACCAAGUAAACCAUUGAAAGAAAGAUCAAUUUCACCCAAUCGAGUCGCGUUCCCAAUCUCAGGAGGCAAGUUACCAGUGAUGUUAUUUCCAGCAAUUCUUAGAUGAGUUAAGCACAUGCAACUUCCCCAGUUUGUUGAGAUUUCUCCAAAGAACUUAUUGAAACUCAUGUCGAUAAAGUACAAUUUGGGGUAGACACCAAAGGUCUUGGAUAUGUUUCCAGUGAGUUGGUUUUCCUCUAGGCGUACUCUGACUAGGCUUGUGCAAUUUCUCAAGCUUAUAGGGAUAGAACCGGUUAAGUUAUUGUGACUCAGUGUAAAGUUUUGGAGCGAGCCACCUUGGCACAAGUUUUUUGGUAAGGAGCCGUUUAACUGGUUGGUAUCCAACUGUAGCACCACCAAGUUCACUAGAUCACCUAAGGAUUCAGGAAUUGAACUAGAAAGGUGAUUCUCGCGAAGGAACAAAGAUCUCAGGUUGGUCAAGUUACCCAGACAAGAAGGAAUUGGGCCAAUAAGCUGGUUUGUACUUAGCUCUAAGUCAAACAUAGUGUGGAGAUUUCCUAUCUCAUCAGGAAUGUGCCCCGAAAGCUGGUUACCAUAGAGAUAAAGAAGGGCGAGUUUUGUCAAAUUGCCUAAUGUUGGUGGGAUUGAACCGAUAAGAUUAUUAUCAUUAAGGCACAACUCGCUAAGAAGAUUCGAUUUUCCUAGCUCCAGUGGGAUGGAACCAGUAAGCUCAUUAGCAAAUAGGUGUAGCUCUAUCAAUUUGGUUAAGUUCCCCAAAGUGGAAGGAAUAGGUCCUGUGAGGAGGUUGGUGUCCAUGUGGAGCACUUCCAGAUUUGUCAUACUUCCCAUUUCAGGAGGAAUAUAACCAGAAAGGGAGUUGUUGUAGACAUACAAUGUAGCCAAUUUGCUCAAAUUACCUAAUGAGGAAGGUAUGGGUCCAUUCAACUGAUUCGAAUAUAGCGCGACCUCGGUGAGCAAAUGCAAUUGCCCGAUUUCUUGGGGAAUGGAGCCAUUUAACUCAUUGGAAACCAGGUGUAGGAUUGUUAGUCUAGUUAGAUGGCUGAUCUCCGACGGUAUUUUCCCCAUGAACCGAUUGAUAGAGAGGUCGAGAUAGGUGAGAUUGCUCAAUAGACCGAUUUGAGGCGGAAUAUAGCCAGAGAGACUAUUUAUACUCAGGUCCAUGUACAUGAGAUGAGACAAAGAUGAGAAUGGGAAUUCGUCGAGCGUACCUUGGACAUAGGCGCUAGUGAGAUUUAACCUAAUCACACUCCCUGCUUGAUUGCAAGAGAUGCCAUACCAAGCACAUGGACUCAUGGUUGAGUUGGAACCAGUGGCAUUAUGAGGAGAGGGAGUCCACGAGGAGAGAGAAGAAUCUGAAUGGUUGCCAAGAUUGGACUUCCACUUGAGGAGGGCUUGGGCUUCUAUAGGGGAAGCAUGAGCAAGAAGUGGAACGGUAAAGGUAGUGAAAAGGGCAAGGGCAGCUACAAGGCUCAUGAACCUCUUGAAUUCUGGUGAAGAAUUCAUGGAUUCUUCUUCUCUUUCUCCUGUUUUGGUUCGGGUAAGUUGGUUUGUCUUUCCCUGAGGCAAUGAGCAAUGCUUAAAUAGGCCGUGAAAACUCACCUUCCUAAUCAUUUUCCAUGGUAAUGGGUAUGCAAUAAAACAGGGACUAACCAGUGGAGACUAAGAAGAGGUACGUUUAUUUGUUUUGUACCCCGUAGGGGACCAGGGGUAGCCAUCUAACAGCCGACUAAGACGAAUUUUUGGUUCUUUGAAGACUCUGGAAUUGGUUACUUUUUGUAGUCUUCGUAGUGACAUUUUUGACUUGGUCAGUCCUCUUUUCGGAAUUGAGCCCACCCAUUAUAUGACUUCGGAGACUUUGACUUUGACUAGAAGUCUUCGAGGAAAGAGGCAAAGUCAGUCAAGGCCUCGCGUAUGGUUUGGGAACACUCAACUUUCCACAAGAUCAGACCCUAAUCUGUGCCGCACAAAAUUUUGAUUUUAAAGCGCAAAAGGAAAGUCUUCUCACUUGGCAUUCAUGAAAAAAAAUCUUGACGCGGUCGACCCCGUUAUUGCAGAAACGCCAGCUGAUGAUCUAGCCAAAUGGCCCCCGAGAGCAUGGUUAAAAUAAAAGAAAAAAAAAAAAUCUAACGACAUAUUUGAAGUGGAAAAUUGCUAAAAAUUGGAGCUUGGGUUGAAAUGGGUAUGAUUUGGGUCCAAGUGAGAUCAAGUGCAAGCUACCAAAAUUUUAUUACAAAAAUAUGGGUCGGUAUGUGUUAUAUUGGUCAAAGUGAAUUGGAUCCUUUUCUACCCAUUUGUACUAGAUCUGAUCCUUUACUAGGAAUAACACCUGAGAAAUCUAAAAGGUUAUUUAUAUCAAUUGAUGGAAGAGCAAAUAUUCACUAAGAACUUAAAACUUGUCCAUUAUGAAUAUUUUCUCCAAAAUUCAAUCAACUAUUAUACAAAUUUAAGGACAAAGUACAAAAACAAUACAAAAAUUUUAUGUGCUCAAUGUGGAAAAAAUUACAAAUCAUUCAAAACUUUCACUAAUCACCAAGAAUAGCAGAAAAUAUAGUAGUUCAUCUCUAGUCACACAGCUAGAGAAUGACCAUAUCGACGAUACAACAAUAUAUCAUUUAUAGAUUAACAAAAGAAGCAAGAAAACUCAUAAAUUGAAAGACAAAUUGGAGAAGGGUCUCAAUGAUGAACUUGAUCUCACAAACAAUAUACUAAAAACUGCCUCUUCUCCUUCGAACCUUGGUCUCUCCCCCUCUUUUAUUUCUCUUUUUGUUUGAACACUCCUUUUUCUCUUUUCACUAUAAAAAACAUUCCACCCUCAUUCUUAUUUCUUUCUCUUUAAAGAUGUGCUGGGCCCCAUGAGGCGGACCCAGCCCAUCGUCAAGUAGGAAGUACACCUGUUGGAACGACUCAGACUGAAAAUGGCUAUGACUAUCUUGAAGCCUUGUGCAUACAUGGCCAUUUUUCUCUUUUGGUCUGGAAGUCGUUUUUUCUCAGGUUCAAGACGAUUCCUCGAUCUUAUUUUCCUGUGAUUUUCCUAUUUGACAAUGAAAAUGCAUCAGCAAGUAUUAACUCGUGGAACGCAUAUUGGUAUUGAAAAUGUUGACAAUUCCCACCGGGUGGUUCUCUCUUGACAUUGCAUAUUUCUUGUUGUCUUUCUUCUAAGUAGUACGAUCGACAAUUGAGAUGAAUUGACACAACUACUUGAGAAGGUUGGGAGCACAUAACUCAUUGUCUCACUACACUUUGAACCGAAAAUGUCACGCUCCGAUCCUCCGAGCGCGUGCCUAUCCCUCGGUGGUCGAUUAAAUAGCGAUGUCCCAUGACGCGUCGCCGACUCCCGAAUGGGGCCUUCUUUGGGUCUAUCUUGCCCGUAAGGACACCAUGAUCUGAAUUGAUUGGGUCCUUAUGGGAUAGAUCCACAUCAACCUAGACAAUGGAUCUCACGAGUUCGUAGACCUAGGCUCCUUGGCUCCUAAGGAGAGGAAUAUGAGAGAUCUAUUCAGUGACCUUCUUCAGUUGGCCAAAACGCUCAGGAGGUACAGCCAUUUAAGGACUUGUAAAUGUUAGCCCAUGACGGGGUGAGAUGAUGUCUGAGCAAGUUCACCCCUAAACUCCAACUAGGAAGGAAAUAUGCCAAAUGAUACCUAUACACACACGAGAUAGAUGACUUACCUUUGCCUUAGUUAUGACUUACAUUUGCCUUAGUUCAUUUCUACAAGUCAGUACAUUUCAUAAACCUCAACUAAUCAAUCAGUCCAAUCGAUUCAAUACCAUCGAUACCAUCUAUCGAUCAACCCAAUCAAUACUAUCUAUCAAAUUGUUUCAUCAAAAUGAUCACUGCUCACCUAAGCUGAUAUACAAUAAGUGCUCGCUUAAGCUGAUAUAGAUAGAUAGUAUAGCUCACUGAAGCUGAUAUAUGCUUACCGAAGCUUAUAUAUGCUCAUCGAAGUUGAUAUAUGCUCACUGAAGCUGUUAUAUGCUCACCGAAGUUGUUAUAAGUAUAUUAUUCUCAUCAAUUGACAAUUUCAUCGUUUUUAUAAUACCUAGUAAAAAUAAUCAUGUGUAGAUACACGGUAGGCUUGAGCCAAAAAUAUAAUACAUUUAUUUUAUAAAAUCCCACUAAUUAUAUAGUCUAAAAAAAUAUUUUUGGCGAUGUAGACCGAAGCCUGGUAAUUUUCUAAUUAAAUACUAAAAUUAUUAAAUUUUGUGAUAAAUACUCAAAAUUACAAUUAACACUUAAUUUGCACAAUUUAGCACUCAAUUAAAUAAACCACGCAUACCAUUGCGAUCAGCACGGAAUUCCGAUCACCGACUAUCUCGGUAUAAUUUCCGAAAAAUAAUAGAUAAUUAAAUAAUCACCGAAAUUUAUUAAAUAAAUACCAAUAAAUACCAAAAAGCAAACUUAGGUCGGAAAAGCCUAGUUAAAUACUGAAACGGGCCCGGAAAAUUUCUGAACCUAUCUAAAUAAAUAAUACAACCUAUCUAGUCGCUAAUUAUGCUAUUCUAACCACCUAACAUGCAAUAAUGAGUAAGUAAAUUGCUAAUCCGUUCUAACUAACCAUCUAAUCCCUAAUUAGCCUAAACUAAUCAAUUUUUAAUCAUCAUUAACUCCCUAAGUGGAGAUUAUUGAGUAAACUCACUAGUUUUGAAAUUCGAUGAGUUCACGGCGAUGGCGUUGCGGAGACAAGUGACAAACUAUGAGGCUUGGAAGCAGUCCAAAGUGGGCCUCGAAGCCCACGGUGGUUUGCUGGGUUUCGGCUUCUGUUGUUGGGUCAAAGGGGCUGCUUGGACGGCUAGCUUAGGCUAGAAAUGGCAUGGGAUAGGUGACGAGCUGCAGCAGGGCUUGGCCGUGCUUGAUUGCGGCAGGCGGCGAUUGGAUGGCUACCAUGAUGGCUCAGAUGAGCUGGACAAAAGCUCGAUGGCGGUCUAGGGCAUGACAGGAGGCACAGGACGCGAGCGGGAGGAUGGCGCUGCUUUGGGUGCGCAACAGUGCCCGACGGUGCUCCAGUGGUUGGCAGGUGGUUGACGGACAAGUGGGUGGGGCAUUGCUCGGUUCUCUGCAAUUCUUGAGCUCUAAAGUGGAUGUUAAUAGAGAAAGCAAGCUAGAGGAAGAAGAAAGGGGACAACCAAGUAGGAGGGGGGCACUAGGGGUGAGCGCAAUUCCUGGUUCUUCAGGGACCGGUUCUGGUUCCUGAUUCCCCUUUUUUGGAAUUGGCGGUUCCCGGUUAGGGCUAAAAGGAAGCCCCAACUGACUUGCACUUUCACCGUUUCACAUACGACACUUUCCGAUUCACAGUUCUCUCUUUGCCCAUUUGACGCCACCGUCGCUCGCCCUCGACGCCACCGCUCACUGACCUCUGCUCGAUGCCAUUGUUGCUCGCCUGAAUGAGGUGAUUGAGAUUUGGGAGUGUCGCGACGGCGCGUGAGAUUUGGGGGUUUUUGGUUGUUUCUGCUGCUGCUGUGCGUUCGAGUGGUGGGGGUGGAGGUGAGGGUCGUGGUUCGCCUAGUCCAGCGUGGGUCGCACGUCGCGUGUGAGCGCAUAUUGUUUUUUAGAUCGGCUUUUGGGAUUGGUGUGUGUGUGUGUGUGUGUGUGUGUGUGUGUGUGUGUGUGUGUGUUGCUCGGUUGUCCGUGGAUUUGAAUGGAGGAAGCUGACGGGAGUGUCGAUUCUUGUGCUCUGCAGAUCUGCUGGGAAUGCAGAGACAAACUAGGUAUAUGGAGAGGAAAAAUUCGAUGAAUAAUCGAGGGAAGAGGAGCUUGGAGGGUGAAGAUGACUAGCAGCAGAGGAUAUGGUCUGCUCUCGCCAGGUAUGGCAGUCCCCACCCCCAAUUGGUAGCUCUUUUGUGAAAUGUGGUUUGUGUCUUUUGUUCGGCAUACCCAGUCUUCUUGUGCAAGAUUGUACUUUGAGAAGGUCUUGCGUGGUGGUUGUGAAGCACACUUAGAAAUUCUGCUUUUUUCUUCGCAGCAAGUUGAAAUGAACGUUCUUGUAAUGGGAUUUUCACCAAUUGCUACUUUUCUAGGCUGAAGCAAUAAGGCUUUUCCCCACUUUAAAUGGCAUGUCGAGCCUAUCCUAACACGUCUUUCUCCCCUUCCUUCUCCUCCUCUGUGAAUUAAGUUAAUUUUGUGAUAUUCUGACUAGUGUAAUCCUGUGAAAUUUGCGAAUUUUAUUGAAAUUCUAGCAACCUUUGGUGAACAAAAUGUUUAGCUAUGCUUUAUAUUUGCUAGUUGUGGGCUGUAGGUUCUGCAUUCAACUCUAUCUUUUGUUGUAUGAAGCAAAAGACAAGGUUUUUGGACCAAGAACUCCGGAUGAAAGUCAAAUUGAAUUGGAUAGCAGGAAAGACCAGAUCUCUAGUAACAUUGCCGAGAGAUAUUCAUGUAGCUCCACCUGAAAGAUUUGUUACUAAAGUUGCUAAAGUCAUUAGAAGCUGUAAAACAAUGAGGGAUAUGGAUUUAUUUUGGUGUAGGGUUGUUGCUGAGGUAAGGCUUGACUUUGUGAAGUGAACCGCUGGACUUUGUGAAAGAGAAAUAGUUUACAUUCUAGAAUAUUAAAUGCUUAUUAGUAUUAUAGAUUGUGUUAUAGUUAUAUUCUCUUUGAUGAAUGACAAGUUUGUUUAUUAUUGCUGCAUUCAUUUCCAUUUUUUUUAACUAAAAAUGAAAAAAAAAAAAAGAACCUGUUGGAACUUGGAACCGACCCCGGAACCUGUAACAGGGUAGGUUCUAAGUUUUUGGUUCCGACGGGUAGGUUCCAGGUUCCAAAAAAUGAGCAACCUGUACCCGAGGGUAGGUUCCAGGUUCCAGGCGGAACCUGUAAAGUACUUGGAACCGCUCACCCCUAGGGGCAACACCUCUUCUAUUCUAUCCCUUUGUCUCUUGAAGAGGUCCCACCAUGGCUGGCUGGCUUCCUCAGCACAAUUGCAUACCAUAAAGCUUCCCUUAGAAGCCAAUGAAGUGGUCCAAAGGGGCUACAAAUUUACUACAUUUUCUUUCAAAUCCACUUCAAUUCCUCUUGAAUUGAUUCAAUUCGGCUACCAUAAAUUCAACCAAGGUAUCCUCAACCCAAUUGACAUUUUUUCUUGCCAAUAGAACCAAUUUGCAUAGAAAAUGCGAUAAAAAACGGCCCUCUAAAUUUUCCGGUUGAAAAUGCCCUUACUUUGAAUUUCUGCCAAAAAUCUUGGUUUGUGGAAAAAUCUUCAUAGGAUGACUCGACGUUCCUAAAAUGACUCGUGACAUGACAACUUUCAAUUUCGGAAAUCGGAUUCAAAUUCACAGUUAAUUUCAAUCUGCCACGAUUUUAGCGUAACCUAGUCGAUCGGGUAGCUUUCAGGAAUUUUUAGUGCAAUUGACCCGUGAUUGAUUAUUUUUAAGCUACAACGUACAUCUUUGACAUAUUGGCGACUCUCGAUGGUAGUGAAAAUCUCGAGAUUUCAAAUGCGGGCACAAUGUACCAAAAUGACAGAAAAUCGGUCUAGUGCCGAUCGAUGAGAAUUUUGCAAUUUAAUGGAAUCACCCACACUUUGAUCACCUAUCUCAAUCAAACCGACCUAUCUCCGAUCCCUGAUUGAUUUUUAACUAUGCUGUAAUAAUCUCUGCUGAUGAGCACGGUCGAGUAGUCGAUUCCCGAUCGAAUUCUCAAGUCUUAUUGCCUUAAAAUCUCUUAAUGGCUUCCCUCAAUAAUCUAUUUAUCUCAUGAGUGAUCAGCUCAGAGAAUAGCACUAUAGGCGCGUCGAUGAAAAUCCCGAUUUAUUUAAUUGAAAACAAAAUUGGAAUUUCAAGGUGUCACACCAACGUGGCGGGUUGCUGCCCGGUCAUGCCGGAAGACCGCCGGCACUUGUGUGGGCCGUGGCUCGAGGGGUUGUAAUAAUUGGAACACGUGUGUCGACAAUGAUCAUGAAAUUCUAGUAUGUGUUCUGAUUGUUAUCUAUGCACAUUACACUAUUAUUGUUGUGCGAGACGCGCUAAUAUGUAGGGGUGUGCUGAGGCAAUGUGAGUUUAUGUGUGGCACGUGCUUAGGCUACCUUUGAAGCGAAUUCGUGUCCUAAUCGAGACUUAGGGAUUUAACUCGCUAAGAUUUUUAUCUCACCCCGUCGUUGUAAAAUAUUUUUAGGUCCAUAGUAUGUAGGGGUGUGCAUGGUUCGGGCGGGCGGUUCCUGACCUAGAACUAGGAAUCGCCCGCUAAGGACCGGUUCCAAUUUUUCGGAACCGAGAUUCACCCGUUAGUUGCAUGGAUCCACCCGAAAAACGGACCGGACUAAAACAAUUUUGGUUUUCGACUGAAAUUGCUAGUUCUUUGCUCGACCUAUUCUUCUUCUCCUCCUCCUACAACCCUGCUUCUUUGCAUGCUUUCUUUUUGCCCACUCACUACUCGGCGUUUUGUUAAGGACUCAAGGUGCACUUUGGAUUUUUUUAGCUUUUGGACCUCUCCAUUUGGUUUGACUAGAGAUUACCCAGCCCUGCUUCUUCACGAUCUUGACUUAAUUUUUUUAGUUAUUUGAUUUGGGUUUAUUAAUUAGUAAUUUCAAUUUUUUUAAUAUUAAAAAUUAAUAUAUUAUUUUAAUAUAAUCGGUCUAGUCUGGGUGGGUGGGUGGACAGAUCUGCCCAUGAAACUGGGAACUAGACUGGUACCCACCGGUUCCCAUAAAUUAGAAUUGGGAACCGGACUGGUUCCCUCAAGAACCACUGGUUCUAGGCGGUUCUGGUCUGAUUCCGGGCUGUUCGAGUGGGUUCCGAUUCUUUUGCACACCCCUAAUAGUAUGGAGUGUUGCCCUUUGCGUUUUGGGGUCCCUUGGGACAUGGAGGUAGAGACCACUCUAUAUCCUAUUCCUAGGACCGACCAAUUUCGUGAGCUGGUGGUUAUGAUAGUGUGGGUAGAUGAGGGCUUUGUACAUGUGGUGCCCCAUAAUUUUAAGGCAUGAUUCAUUAGGGAGGCAAAUGGCGAUCGGAUUGGUCCCCUGAAUGGUUUUCUUGGAAAUGUGGAUUGGCAAGUAGGCAAUCCCAUGGAUAUCGACAUCUCUAAUGAUGUUGUGGUGAAUCAAGAUUUCGAGCCGGAGGGGCCCGAGGAGCCAUGCUCGCUUGACCAUGUGCACGACUUUGCACCCGGAUACUAGGACGAAUGUUUGGAGUUUGUGUAGCUGGAAGUUAACCUUGACCUUCUAACCCUUUUUGGUUAUAGGUCGCAUAGGAGUUUCGUUUUGUGGUAGGCUUGUAUAUAUUAAACUCCUUGGGUUAACUUGUAAAUAAAUAAAUCAUGGUUUUUGGGAAAUCGUCAUUGUGUUUUACUAUUCCUAUUGUUGUUGAUUGACUGAGUGUUUAAUUUAGUCGCUUCCGCAUGUGUAUAAUCGAAAGAUAAAAAGAAUGGGUCGACGACGUGUCUUGAGAUCUCGCAUUUUUAAUCGACCACUGAGGGAUGUUCGCGUACUUGGGUUUAGGGCGUGACACAUUGCUUAAUUUUUUUUUCUCUCUAAUCUUGUUUGGAUGAAUGGAUUUCAUGUUGGGAAGCAACUAAACUGAUGAAAAUAAUAAUGUUAGUGAUUAAGAUGAGAUGAGCAAUUCAAUUGAAGAUGCUAGUGAUGAAUGAGUCAAGACACCAAGAAAUCCUAAGUUAGUAGCGAUGAAAACUAAUGUUUUUAGGCCACUAGAGAGUCCUUUUAAAGCAAUGAAUCGAGUGGAACGAACGAGAAAUCACAAUGCACAAUGAUAUUUGUUAUUAGUUGCAAAGCCAAUAUUUCAAAUGUUUUUCAUCUUUGGAAUUUAAUAAAUCUUUUUAAUGACAUUAAUGAUUUCUUUUUAACUUAAUAAUAAUACUUGUUUCACUUGUGAUUAUUUAUUUGGGUUAAUACCCAGAAAAACCUCAAACUGGUACACUUGUGAUAAAUUUACCUCAAACUAUUUUUUUGACCACAAAAAACCCCAAACUUGUAUACUUUGAUAAAUUUACUCCAAAACGGUACACUUGUGACAAAUUUACCAUUUAUUAGUUUUCGUUAAAUUUUACUGUCAAAUUAUUAAGUUAAAUGACACGUGACAGUUGACUAAUAUACUAAUUUGGGAUUUUACGCUUCGUUUGUUACAGUUUAUAAUUUUUGUGAUUUUUUUGUGGUAUUAAUUUAAUUUAAUAGAGGGUAUAUUUGUUACAAAUUUAUCAAUUUGGAGUUUUUUGCGGUCGAAUAAAUUAGUUUGGGAUAAGAUUUGUCAUAAAUGUACCAGUUUAUGAUUUUUUUUUUUUUUGUCAGUCGAGGUAAAUUUGUCACAUGUAUACUAGUUUGAGACUUUUCAUGGUUAAAAAAAUAGUUUGGGGUAAAUUUGUUACAAGUGUACUAAUUUUAGAUUUUUUAGGGUAUCAACCCUAUUUAUUUUGUGGUAUGUAAUUUUUUUUUCUUUUUCAAAUUCAAGGGUUUUAACUUACUGGGAUAUUUAGAGUUUCCCCGUUCAGAUAGGUGCUUUUUGGGCCUUUAUAAAUCUUCUAAUCCUAAAUUAAGCCAAGAGCAAAUGGAAAUGAUAUAAAGUUAAAAAAAAAACAAACAAACAAACAAAUAAGAAAUCGGUCACGGGAUUAUCCUGUUUUCCUCCAUUAAAAGCUGUGGCUGGUAUUAGACGGUUAGAAAAUUAAAAUUACGAUACCGAUAAGAUGGCCGAGCUCAUUGAAAUUAUAUGUCAGAUGUGGACACUUGGAUUUAUUGCUCCGACAUCACAUGUGAUGCGAAGGCCCCAACCAAUGCCCGGACGCUUUCCUCAUAUAAUUCCUGCCGUACACCAAUUUGGCGCACCACAAUUUCCAGCAGAUACAUUCAAUAAGGGCUUCAUGGCGCACUUUCGGUCCCAUCCCAUAUUCCAUAUCGCCCUGAAUCUUCACAAAACCACCAUAUUUACGUUAAUCCAUCACUUUCAGAUCCGAGGAGACCCUGGUAAAGAAUCGAGAGAAAAGGAAGUAGCGCAUGGGCGCGGAAGUCCGAACACUUAAUAAGAUCAAUUGUGCUAUAUCUUUUUACAAGAUUGCUAAUGCCGUGACUUUUCAUCGCCGUUGCAUGUCAGAAUCUCGCAACUAAUGCAAUGGCCGAGAGUAAGGCCAACGAAUCGAACCCAUUUUCUGGAAACUUCGUCAAGACCCAAAAAAAAUUGCCAAAUUCGGACACCCACCGCUGUAAGAAUAUAAACAGAUUGUGCUUAUAUCAAGACUGUGUUUCAUCCGGUUAAGCUUAUAUCAAACUUGAUUGUUUUAAUUCAGCAAUAUUUAUCAAGUUCAUUGAAAUCAGCUGUUCAUCCCACUAGGUAAUACCGUUAGCCAACAUUAGUUAGCAUAACAAAAGGACACUAGUUAGAGAAUUAGUGUAAUCAAGUAUCCAAUCUCUAUCUCUAGUUGCGUAAAAUUAUUUUUCCAGUUGCCUCCUAGACAGCCUCAAUAGACUAGUGAUGACCCCAAAUUGUAAUCUUGCCCCAGUUUUGGCCUCAUUCUUGCAGAAACGACAGCUGAUGAUUGAGCUAAUGAGUCUGGACCACACCCACUUGCAAACUCACAUCAAUUGAAAGGAAAAUUGAAGAGGAGAAAUCAAAAUUGUCUUUAGCCCACUUGUUCCAGUCUUUUCUCACAAACAAUAAUGUGGCUGUGGAGGCUUGCAUUUAUCGGUAUUUCUUGAUUAUCAAGUUGAUCAUCAUUGCCGGUGUUGCGAUGAGGCGAGCGAUCGAAUAAAAUAUAGACGGAAGAAAAAAAAAAUCGGACACCGGAUUUACGUGAUUCAAUUGUAAAGACCUACAUCCACGAGGAGAACAGCAGCGAAUUUCACUAUAGAUCAAGCGAUACAAGGAGAUUACACACUCAAGUCACUCAAACACUCUCUCAGUGUUUCCCAAACCCUAAUUUAAUCCCAAACCCAACUCACGGCACAAAAUUACCACGCGUUCAAGCUCCAAAUACAACGCUCUACGUAUGCCUGAUUUGCGUACACACAAAAUCCUGUAUUUCUUUGAGCUUCGCGCGACUUUGAGCGAUCGGUGAAUGUGCGGCUUCUUGGAUCGUCGAACGUUUGUGGCUUCGUAGGGUUUAUUUCACAGAGACUUCAUGCAAGCCGUCCCACGCACACUCGCAGAGAAGAAAAUAUAUUUUAUAUAUAUAUAUAUAUAUAUGUGUGUGUGUGUGUGUGUGCCCAGAAAAGGUCAAACAAUUGACCUGGGCCCACCAUCCACGUAUUUAGCUUCACACGGCAGAUUCCUCUCUCGGCGGACGUGUGUGUGCGUGUGUGUGUCCAAGGUCAAAACUUUGACCUUGGGCCCCACCAAUAAACCAAUCUUCGCAUGAAGAGGAAAUCCCGUGCAGGAGCUUCGCAAGUUUCGAUUCCGCAUAAUUUCCAAAGAGGAAAUUCAUAUCUAUUUUAGCAAACGCUCAAACUCGAGUCAUAUUUAACAAUCUUCACCUUGGCUCGACGUUUGAGCUAAGUCGCAAUCACUUCAUAAAAAUUCAAAUUCUGCUGCUACUUUCCUAUAGCCCCUGAUGGGCUCAACCAUCACAGAUAUUAUCCAAGUCCAAGCUUCGCUUGAACUUCACCAUAACCAAGGACCUCAUCAAAAUACCAACUCCACAUGCACUUUUAACUGCUUCGCAAGAAUUUUCUGACACAACCUCCUCAACCGCAGAUAAAGCAAAACCAUUAUUGCAUCCAUAUCUAUCAGGAGAUUGAAUACAUACCUUGUUAAUUUCAGCAGUUACAGCAAUUGUUGGCUCUAUAAGCUCCACCUCGCAACAAACACCAUCUGUGUCGAUUAUUUUGCUAGUACUAUACUCGCUACCUCAGGAGUUUCUGGUUGCAACUCCACCUCAAGCUGAACACCGUUCAAAUCCGUAUUAACACUGCUAUAAUCACUCCUAGCCAGAAGUACUUGAGACUUGUCAAGGGUAACUUCUCUGCUGUCAACAGGUGAAUUUAUAUCCGGACACCACAACUGAUCGCCCCGCUCACCUUGUGCAUAGCCAUAGAAUAUGCAUCUUGCCCUCCAAUUGAGCUUACCAUCACUCACUCGAAAAUAACAUGGGCAACCAAACAUUUUAAUAAUAUAAUAACCAGCAACGUUAUCUGACCACACUUCUUUAGGAGUUCGCCAUUCAAUAGCAGUUGAUGGGGAUCUAUUUACCAGGUAGCUUACCGUACUUAGCACAUCAAUUAGGAUUCUCCUAGCAAUACUAGCACUAGAGAUAAUUUUUCGGGCCAUCUCUAGUAAUGUUCUACUCGUUAAUUUUGCAAAUUGUUGUGAUUCAUUGGCACUACUGCGGUGUUUUACUAUGCUGUCUUUCAUGCAGAAUUUAUUUGCCAGCUCUGAGCAAAACUGAUCCAUGUAUCCUUUGAACACUCUGUUCAUUAGACCCAUACAAAUAGCUAGAGGGUUCGUCAAACCGAAUGAUAAUACAGUAAACUCACAAUUGCUGUAUCAAGUACGCAAUGUUGACUUCAAUGUCUUUCUUCCUGAUCCUCAACUGAUGAUACCCUGUCCUCAAGUCGAUCUUGGAGAAUAUCGAUGCACAAACACAACGAACCAUCUUUCUUCUUCACAAACAAGACUGAUGCUCUCCAAGGUAAUGCACUGGGAUGUAAGAAUCCCUUAUUUAACAAUUCCUACAUCUCCACCUUCAAUUCUUUCAACUCAGAUAAAGCCAUCCGGUAAGGAGCCUUAGGGACUGGCUCUAAUCCGGUUGCUAAUUCAAUCACGAACUUUAUUUCCCUUUCUGACAGCAACCUGGCAGUUCUUCAGGAAACACCUCAGAAAACUUCUAUACCACGGUUAAGUUCUCCUUACUUGUUCCGUCAACUAUCGCAUCCACUACAAUUGCCAUAUAGAUUUGGCAACCUACAACCAGACUCAGGUCAUCUUCAGUGAUGAACAACAGGGAUCGAAGGUCCUUUUUGACUUUCAGUAACUCAAAACUUCCGCACACUAACUGAACCAACUAAAUUAUAUCACUGCCACAAUUCAUAACAGCAGAAAGCUCCUCGAGCCAAAUCCUUUUUAUAAAUGACUCAUAGGUCAUAUAUAAGCAAACCCCUCAAGUACAACUAUAGUCAGAGAUACUUCUUUCUACUACUUUAUUACAACCAUGGAAACUCCACAACCUUCACUCAAAAUCCAGCUGUGCUACUCUGAUAAAAACACUUCAGAAACAUUCUUCCUUUAAUCAAUGCAUGGUCAAUCCAUUCUUAUUCCUUUCGCUAUCCUAGUGGCGUCAUGUCAGCGGUAGCGAUGCUCGAGUCCUCUUGGACUUACACGGACAUUUCCUAUCCCGAUGGCCGUGUUGGCCACAUUCAAAGCAUGCUCCCAUUGCACUUGGUCACCAGGUUGACUCACACUUCUUUUUUCAAACUUGCCACACAAUCAGUGAGUCCUCUAUCUCCUGUCAGGUAACAGCAUGCGCUCUUCCUUGUACUGAAGGUCUGUUCCAAAAACCCCACUAUGCGUUCUAUGGCGCAUUCCUUUCGAUCUGUCCCAUCGGUUUUCUAAGACCAUUUCUGGCCAGGUAACCUUGUUGGUCACACUUAGAACAAGCACCCGUCUUACCAGGACACGGGGCUGAUCCAUGUCGGCUUCCAUCAACACAACACACUCCAUUCUGAUUCAUUGCUGACCUAACCAUCCCACAUUUCCAUUUGGACGGAAAUAGAAUACUUUUCUAUGAUCAUAGACUCCUUCCUCAACUAAUUUCCAUCUCUACUGAAUCUGAACCUCGACUCAGAUGCAACGGCUUGCUCCCAUAUCAUAACUCCAGCUUGGGCCUCAACAAGCGCAGCAACAACAACGAUGACAACACUGGCGACGGUAAAUACAGCAGCAACAGCGACGGCUCGGUCCUGAGCUUACUGACUCAACAAGCUUCCAAGGAACACUAGCGCCUGAACGAUCCCAUCAAACCUAGGAUUGCUCGGUGCUGCUACACUAGUACUGACCUACAGCGGUACUCUCACACACGCGCUGGUCUAAGCCAGUGCUCCACCACGACCACCUCGGGUACCGAUCCUUGUCGGCAUGCCACCCCGAGUAACUGGUCUAAAGGUUCUCUCUAGGAGUCCUCUGCUCCUGAUCACUCAUCUACAGGAUCUUUACAGAAACCUGUUUCUCAAUUCUAAUCCCCAAUUAGAAUUUGAGUGAUCUACACCAAACAAUUUACCAAACAACUAUCAGCCACAUGCACCAGCAUGAAAUAAAAGCCAUUGCUACCAACUAUCCCAUAAACAAUUGCACCUUAUCACUCCAUUCACAGACCCGCUCUAAUACCACUUAAACGGGGAUGUCACGCCCCGAUCCUCCGAGCGCGUGAACAUCCCACUCUGGUCGAUAGAAAUGCGACUUCCCAGGACACGUCGCCAACCCUUUCAUUUUUAUUACGCAUGCGGAAGCGAAACAAAUCCCCUGACAACAUUUAAUUUGGGAUAGAAAAGCAGUCAAUCAAUCAUAACCAAACAAGCUUUCUAUAAACACAUAGGUUUAUAUACAACACUGGAUGGUCUACAAAAUAGAUAGGCUCAACAACUAGGGAACUGUCCUAUGACCAACUUGUCAGACACGUUCGCCGAUUCUUCAGCCUCCACCUUUCGAACUCCAGGACUUCCGGUCCUCCACGACCGUCAUCUAGGGACCUGAAAUAUUAUCCCACAACCGGGAUGAGACUACGUCUCAGCGAGUCCUACCCUCUAAAACUCAAUUAGGGAGAAAAUACGCCUCAGGGCGCUCUAGCCACACAAAUAGAAUAGAGGACUUACCUCGCCUCAGUCCCUUUCUUGCACGUCAGUACAAUUCAUAUUCAAACAAUGCUCGCACAAGCUGAAACUACCGACAUACCCAUCGGUAUAUCAAUUCAGUCAAUCCAAUUGAUAUCAUACGAUCCACACAUCUAUCAAUUCAUAUCAUCUAUUAAACCAUACCAUCUAUUCAUCCAUCAAUACAAUUACGGCUCGCACAAGCUGAAAUGGAUGCAAUGCUCUCACAAGCUGAUAUAGAUGGUAGCUCACACAAGCUGAUAUAUACAUAGAUGAUAGCUCGCACAAGCUAAUAUAUGGAUCGUUGCUCUCACAAGUUGAUAAAUGAUCAUUGCUCUCAUAAGCUGAUAAAUGAUCAUUGCUCUCACAAGCUGACAUACAGUACUCACACAAGCUGACAAUGAUGCUCACACAAGCUUAUACAUAUAUAAACCAAUUGCUCGCCAAAGCUGAUAAUUCAAUAAUAAACCAACUCAUACCUCAAUUCAAUCAAUCAAUAAAUCCAAUUGAUUCAAACUAGUCAUACAAAUCAAUUACGGUGCUAAAAGCCAACACCGGGUAUUUUCAAGUUAAAUACCACAACUUCAUCAAUAUCACUCAAUUCCACAUUUUUGGAAUAAUUAACCAUAAUCAUCAAUCACUCAAUUUCUCAAUUUAAACAUACAAUUAACACAAACCGACCGCACUGCUGUGAACAGCGUGAAAUUCUGAUGACCGGCCAUCCCGGCACAAUUUUCGAAAUUAUUAAAUAAUUAAAUUAAUUCCGAAAAUUAAAUAAUUAAAUAUUAUAUUAUAAUAAUAUAAUUUAAUAAAAUAAUAUUUAUAAAUUCGAAAUAAUUAAUUAAUUAAAAAUAAUUAAUUAGGGCUUAACAAGAUUACACUAAUUUAAUCAUACAAUUAGCCCUAAUUAAACACACAUUAAACUAAUCAUACAACUAAUCUAAUUUACAUUAAAAUAAUAUAAUUUAAUCACAUAAACCUAAUUAGACUAAUCUAAACACCCCUUAAGCGUCAUUAACUCACUAAGCAAGAAUUAGAUGAUAAACUCACUGGAUUAACGAGCCGAACGGCUCAAAACGACGGGGACGACGCGAGGAUCGAUAGUCUCCAAGGCGGGCCUAGCUUCUGGGGUCGGGAAGCCGGCCAAAACGGGCCAAAUAGCCCCUGCCAUACCCAUUUUACUAGCUUCUGUCCAUUGUUGGUUGAGGGCGGAUUCGGCACCGAUUGAGGCGCACAAGGGCCUAGAUGGACGGGGGAGACCAAACCGGACCUAGGCGGGGCUUCACGGUGGUCGGAGGUGAGCUGGACAGCUCCGGAUGAGCUUCCCCAGAUCUGGAAUGGCUGCUGGACUUGCGGAACAGCAGGGACGAGCAGGCACACGGCUGCUGGCUUCGUCUUCUUGCGACGGUGAAGGGGAGGUCGGAUGGGAGGCUCCGGUGAGCAGGGGCGAUGGAGGUUGGCUGACGACAACGAUGGAGCUCCUGCUAGCUUCAAUGAAGAUGGACAGAAGCAGAUCGGACGCGCGGACAUCCAAGACCACGCGGCUGGAGCAGCUUGCAUGAGCGGGCGCGACGGCGACUUCGGCCACUCCGGGGACAGGACGGUGGAGGGUGACGGACGGGGCUUCUUUGGUUCGCUGCUGGGCUUUCGAAGAAGAAGAUGAAGAUGGAGAGAGAAGGAAACGGUCGCAUGGUAGGGAGAGGGAGGAGAGAGGCAACGGAAGAGAGAGGGAGAGGAGAGAGAAGGAAGAUGGGACCACUUUUCUCUCUCUAAUGGCCCACCAUGACCUCAUGGAUGAUGUCACCUUCCACUAUCUCCCACAACCUCAUUCCAAUGGGUUCAAUUUCUUUUUCCGCCGUGGCAUAAAAUCUUGUACACUUAAUUCACUCAAUUCUCAAUCAAUUCCAUCCAAUUGAAGCUCAAUUAAAUUAACCCAUGUGUCCUCAGCCUUCUCAUGACACUUCCCCAUCAAAUGAUCCAACUUGCAUCCCGAAAAUUCGAUUAAAAAUGGCCCUCUGACAAUCCCGAACAUAAACGGCCUUACGUUGCUUUUUCCGCCAGAAAUCUUGGUUUGUAGAAAAAUCUUCUGGAAAUGAGUCGACAUUCCUAAAAUGAAUUGUGACUUGACAGAACUUCCAAUUUCUGUAAUCGGGUUCAAUUUCACGGUUAAAUUCAAUCUGGCGUGACUUUAGCACGUCCUAAUCUACUGGGUAGCUUUUAGGAAUUUUCUGUGCAAUUGACCUGUGGUUGAUUAUUCUCAAGCCACAAAAUGCAUCUUCGACACCUUGGCGACUCUCGAUUGUCGUAGAAAUCUCGAGGUUCUAUUACGGACACAGGGUACCUAAAACGACAGAAGAAUCGGUCUAGUGCCGGUCGACGAGGAUAUUGUGAUCAGGUGGAAUCACCCACACUCUAAUCACAUAUCUCAGUCGAAUUGACCUAUUACUGAUCUCUGUUAGAUUCUGACAGUGUCGUAAUGAUCCUUGCAGAUUAAUACGGUCGAGUAGCCGAUUCAUGGUCGAAUUCUCAAGUCUAUUGCGUUUAGAUUCCUUAACAGCUUCACCUGAUAGACUAGUUAUCUUGUGAGUGGCCAACUCAGAGAAGAAAGCUAUAGACACGAAGAUGAAAUGCUCGACUUAUUUAAUUGAAACCAGAAUUGAAAAAUCGGGAUGUCACAUCUUGGAUCGUCGAACGUCUGUGGCUUCGUAGGGUUUAUUUCACAGAGACUUCAUGCAAGCCGUCCCACGCACACUCGUAGAGAAGAAAAUAAUAUAUAUGUGUGUGUGUGUGUGUGUGUGUGUGUGUGUGUGUGUGUGUGCCUAGAAAAGGUCAAACAAUUGACCUGGGCCCACCAUCCACGUAUUUAGCUUCACACAGCAGAUUCCUCUCUCGGCGGACGUAUGUGUGCCCAAGGUCAAAACUUUGAUUUGACCUUGGGCCCCACCAAUAAACCAAUCUUCGCAUGAAGAGGAAAUCCCGUGCAGGAGCUUUGCGAGUUUUGGAUUUCGCAUAAUUUCCGAAGAGGAAAUUCAUAUCUAUUUUAGCAAACACUCAAACUCGAGUCAUAUUUAACAGCCGGUCUCUUUGGGCCGAUGCCAGCCAAACCUGAAGUGGCAGCUCAAGAGGGUGCUCAACCUGGAGUUCUUGGGGCGGGCAUCCUGAAGAUUUCAUCAUCGGAGAAGGCGAUUGGCAGCAAAUAACUUCAAUUCGACUUCAUUGAUGAGUGCCUGCACGAGGAUUUGGAAUUGCAGAAUGCAGAGCACGCACUUUUGAAGUUUGCUGAUGGGGAUGGUGCAAAAUUGAAUUGCGCAGUUUACAGUUUUGUAAAACUGCAGACACUUCUUGAAAAUCUUUCCAGCUUCUUCUUUUCCUAAAUUGUUCAAAUUGUUCUGCUCCUAUGUAAGCUCGCUGGUGAGGAGGCCAAUGUUGUUGUCAAGAAGGAGGUGAUGCAGAGUGAAGGAGGAGGCGUGAGCAAGAUGAAGAAAGAAAAGAAAAACAUAAAGGAAAAAGGAAAAAAAAAAAGGAAAAAAGAAAAGUGAUGGUUUUAGGUGAUGGGCCUAAGUUAGCCCGUCCGCCCAUGAUGCGCCUAAAAGCCCGGCCCACAUGAUUAUGGCCCAUGGACGAAGGGGUACGUUUGUAUUUUAGAGAGGACGUAUAUAAAGGAGGAGAGAGAGGGAGAACGUACCUUUUGACAUUAUGUAUGUUCCUUCCUCCCUCUCUCCCUCCAAAAACAACAGUAAGCAAAAGAGGUGACGCUGUCUUCCCUUCAAGGCCAAUUGACGUCAUCGGAUUGAACAUGAUCGGUUUCUCUUCCUCAAUCUUCAGCAUUGGUGUUUAAUCUGUGGUUAACAAGGUACGCUCGAAUCCAUGGUGUGCUUUAGGAUCGAUGAUACGUGAUUUUCCCGGGCUUCGUCUUCCGCAUUCGUUUUAGGGGUUCGAUUUAGUGUUGAAUCUGGUUUUUGGGGAUCCGUUAAUCCCAACAUUGGUAUCAGAGUCCGAGUUCAUAUUUUCCCGACCUUUUUUAUGUUUUUUUAUUGAAUUUUCGUGAAAGUAUUCAGCCGACACGGAUCAUGGCGCAAAAUCUCGACACCCGAGCAUUGUUUGUCCAUUUUUUCGAGUUUCUGUAACUCGAAAUCGAUUUCUGAAGACCUAGGGUGAAAGGGCUCGUCGAGACGAGUCCGACGACUUGUCGUGCGCCGCCGGGAGACGCCGCACGCACCCACAUGCACGGCCAGAAGCCGCUGUGCGUGGGCGCCACGUGCCAGUCGGCGAACCGACACACGCCGGUCGGCGACGCGUGCUGACGUCAGCAUGACGUCACCCGAUGGUCGGUAACCAUUGGGAUGACGUCAUCAAUGACGUCAGCACCGACGACGAUUGGCCGGGCGGUCACCGGCCGGCGACGCGACUAGCGACCCGACCUGACUCGCGAACGCCUGGCACGCGCGCAGCACGUGCCGGCUAACUUCUGUGUGACAUCAGCCCGCACACGGGCGCGGCACGUGCGGUCGGUUCGUCCGACCCGGCCCGACCGAUGCGACGACCAACGACCUGACCGUUGACCAUUGACCUGUUGACCGACGACCGUUGACCGUUGUUCCGUUGACCCGUUGACCGUUGACUCGAAAAAAGAAAAGAAAAGAACUUGUUUCUUUUUUUAGUUAUGUCUGUGUGGUUUAGAGGUAAUCCAUUUUUUAUUAUGCAUUUGUUGCAUGAAUCAUGGAAAAUUAUGUAUUUUCCAUUUUGUUUAUUGUGGAUUAUAAGUGAUCCAUUUUUUGGUUCUGCGUUUGUUGUAGGAACUAUGAUGCGUUAUGCACGAAUACCUGCAAUCCUGAGAACGGACGAAGGAAAAGCAAGACUUAAAAGGCCGAUGACAGAGUUAGCUGAUUAUCGGUGGCAUUAUGGUGAUUUAGUAUCACACGUGGUCAGGGUCAAUCAGAUGAUACAGUAAAUAAUCUAGAAUGGUUAUCUUAUGCCGGAUUUUGAGAAGGUGCCGGCUUUGAUGAACACUCUUCCACCUGAAUAGCAAGCAAUGUUAGAUCGGUUAUAGGAGGUCAACAUGGUCCCGGAUUAUAGGAGGCUAGUGGAAGCUUUUGUAAGAGAGUACUAUAGGAUUGAGUUAACCAAAAUUUCAACCCUUAGAUUGAGCGCCACAUGGCACAGAGUGAAUGCGCCUUGGAGGCGACAUGAGAGCUCUCCAAAAGUUUUUCCAUAGUUGGCAAAUGUACCAUCAAAUUUCUCAGAUAUUUUGACUGAUAGAUUAGAAGGGACUUUCCCUAUUUAUUUCUUAGAUUAGUUUGAGAUGUUUUUGAGUGUUGAAUAUCUCUCUCUAUGUUGAUAUUUUUCUUUGUAUAUAUUACUUAGGGUAAUGGAUGGUUGUAUUAGUUGAAAGCAUUAUUACUUUAUUGGAUGUCAAUUAUCUGUUGCUUUCUGUAAUUGCUAGUUAGCUGUGGGUAGUUAUAGAAGUUUUUGUAACUUCAUAGAAUUUAUUUUGCAUAAGACAAUUAUAUUAAUAAUAGUUUUAAGUUAGGAUUUUUUGGAGGAUGAUUGGAAACAUAGUGACCUUUUGAUUCUGAAACCUUACUUGAAUUAUUUAUUGAUAUGAUGGGUCUAUGCAAAGUGGAAGCAUAAAUGAUAUGCAUUAAUUAUUCGUGCAUAUAUGUCUGAUGUGUUCAGAUUGAUGGUUUCAGCAACUAAGAACGUAAUUGCUGAUAUGAACGGCAACAAUUGUGAAAUAUUGAAUAUAAAGAUUCAAUAUGUGCUGGAAAAGCAAGAAGCACUAGAAGCUCUUGACCAUGUUAUGGAAGAUCUUGAGGAUGCUGUGCGCCACCUUGAGCUAGUAGAGGACCGCUUAACGGCAUGUGAGCUGAAAAUAGAUAUUUGCAAUGCUGGUUCUAGCUCAGAAAUGGCUUUGAGCUCUAAACGCAAGCGUAUUGAUUCGUUCAAUAUGUGGGAAUGCAAAGGAUCAAGUCCUUAUUGCAAGAGAUCAAGAGUUAACCAACACAAGAGAGGAAAACGUCCUCAAGUGAAGAAAAUGUUAAGGGUGAGGUGUUACAAUUGUGACAAGAAAUGUCACUAUGCUCGCGACUGUCGUGAGCCAAAAAAAAAAAGAGAGAGAGAAGGUAAACACCUCUUGUACAUUUGAGAACUUUACUUAUGUGUCAAGUUCUGCAUUAUUAGCUGAAUCCAAUCAUUUGUGGACUGUAGAUUCAGGAGCAACAGACGAUGUAGCGAAGGAUAGAGGAUCUUUUGUGGAAUUCCGACAAAUACCGACUGGAACUAAGUGGAUCUAUGUGAGAAACAACUCAAGAGAUAAAGUUAAAGGGAUUAGCACCUGCCAAUUGAACAUGCGUGAUGGACGCACCUUGUUCCUACAUGAUGUUCUAUAUGCUCCGAAGAUUCGUUGAAAUUUAAGUGUCUGUUUUUUGUGUUGGUUAAGCUUGUUAUUAGUGUGAACUUCCGUAAUAGCGGUGUAGAUUUGUAUUUGGAUACAAACUACUAUGGUUGUGGUCAUUUUCUGGAUGGUUUUAUUGUACUAAAUGUUGACUGCAGUGAUGUCAAUAUUUGUUAUUCCCUUCUUUCACGUCUUCUACUUCAUAUGAUAAUGAUGUGAAUAUGUGGCAUGCUAGAUUUAGUCAUAUUGGCCAACAACGUUUUGAAUAGACUAGCCAAAGAGGGCUUGUUGGGCAACAUUGAAAAAGUCAAUUUGCCUAUAUGUGAGUAUUUCCUAGUAGGGAAAAUGACAAGGAAACCAUUUGGAAAAGGUAAAAGAGUUGAAUUUAAUCUGCAUUUAAUCCAUUCUAACGUCUGUGGUUCAAUGACUGUGAGAAGAAGGCAUGGGGCUGUUUAUUUCAUCACUUUUAUAGAUGAUAAUGCUCGAUUUGGAUAUGUCUAUUUGAUUUCUCAUAAAUCUGAAAUAUUAUGUUGUUUCAAAAAAUUUGUGAACUUGGUAGAAAAUCAAUUAGACAAGAAAAUAAAAGGAUUGAGAUCCGAUCGAGGUCGAGAAUAUUUAUUUGAUGAUUUCAGAAAAUAAUGUGAUGAAAAGGAAUAGAAAUACAGUUGUCUAUUCCAUAUACUCCUCAACAAAAUGGUGUUGCAGAGAGAAGAAACAGAACCCUACUGGAAAUGGUUAGGUCCAUGAUAGCGCAUGCUAACUUACAUAUCACUUUUUGGAGUGAUGCGUUGUUAACUACUGCCUAUAUACUUAACCGGGUGCCUUCCAAAUCAGUUACUUCCACUCCAUAUGAGUUAUGGACAGGUAGAAAACCGAACUUAAGUUUACUUAAGCCAUGGGGUUAUGUUGCCUAUACUCAUAUGUCCUCUCACAAGUUUGGGAAAUUGGGUUCCGAAGGAAAGUAGAGUAUUUUAAUGAGAUACUCCGAACACUCAAAAGGGUAUGUGUUCAUAAGUGAGCAGGAAAGUGAGAGUAUAACUGAAUUUUAAUCACAGGAUGUCAUAUUCUUAUAAGAUGAAUUUCCUAAGAAGGGCGAAAUAGGGGAAGAUUACCCCUAUUUGAAACCUUGGAUCAAGAUAAUGAUAUUAGUGGAGUUCGUCCAAGUGGGAGUAAUAUGAGAAGUGAUGAAUUGAAUUCAACUCAUUCUCAAUUGCAACCACGUGAUGAGACAACGUUAUCAUUAUCCAAUCCUAGUGGAAGUAUAAUGGGGAAUGAUGUGCAAAGUGUACAAUCUCCCAUACGGCGAACAAGUCACCAAAGUAUUUCCCGUUGACAUUUUGACAUUGAAGGGGAAACUUUUAUGAUUGCUCCGCAAGAUGAGGAUGAGCCAAGAAAUAUUAAUGAGGCUCUAAAUUGCCCUAGUAAGGAAAAAUGGAUUUAUGCAAUGAAAGAGGAAAUGGAGUAAAUGAAUUCAAACCAAGUUUGGAACUGGUUGAUCUUCCAAUAGGACGCAAAGCUAUUGGGAACAAGUGGGUUCUUAAAAUAAAGCGUAAAGCUGAUAGCUCGAUAUAAAGGCAUAAGGCUCGCCUUGUGGUGAAUGGGUAUAAUCAACAGGAAUGAAUUGAUUAUGAAGAAACAUUUUCUCCUGUAGUGAGAUUUACCUCGAUUCGCAUAAUUCUUAGCAAUAGUAGUUAGUAUGGAUCUUGAGUUACAUCAAAUGGAUGUAAAGACUGCUUUCCUCAAUGGAGAAUUAGAGGAAGGAACAUAUAUGGAACAACCUGCUGGUUUCAUAGUGAAAGGCCAAGAAGAAAAGGUAUGUCAACUUUUGAGGUCGAUAUAUGGCCUUAAGCAGUCGUUAAGACAAUGGUAUAUACGAUUUCAUAAUGCCAUAAUGACAUAUGAUUUUACAAUGAUAAAUGAAGAUCAUUCUAUAUAUAUCAAACGAUCCAAGGAUCAAUUUGUGAUCAUAUCAUUAUAUGUUGAUGAUAUACUAAUUGCCGGAAGCAAUAUGGAACUUGUCAAUACUGUCAAGAGUUGGUUGUCUUCCAACUUUGAAUUGAAGGAUAUGGGAUUGUAAACUCAUAGACACUCCUAUUGCAAAAGGUGAAGGAUUGAGCCAUAAACUGUGUCCAAGGACUCCACAAGAUAAGGAACAAACGAAAUAUGUUCCUUAUGCUAGUGCUGUUGGGAGCUUGAUGUACGCUAUGAUGUGUACAAGACCUGACAUAUGUUUUGCAGUUGGAAUGGUGAGUAGAUACCAAUCCAAUCCAGGUCAAGCACGUUAGAAAGCCGUUAAAUGAAUACUAAGGUAUCUAAAGGGGAUUGCUGAUUAUACGUUGAGUUAUUAUGGAAAUGAUCUGCAACUCAAAGGCUAUUCUGAUGCUGAUUGGAGAGGAGAUUUAGAUGAAAUAAAAUCUACCUCUGGGUUUGUUUUCUUACCGAAUAAUGACACCAUAUGUUGGAGCAGUAAGAAACAAAAGUGUAUGGCAUUGUCCACGAUGGAAACUGAGUUCGUGGCAUUAUCAGCAGCAAUAAAAGAAGAUGUUUGGCUUAAGAGAUUAUUGGAUCAUUUAGGUGUUAUUUGAAGUGCUGCAGAUUCUUUGUUGGUUAACUGUGAUAGCCAAGCAGCAAAAGCGUACACCAAAGAUCCAAAAUAUUAUGGCAAGACCAAACAUAUAGAUACCAAGUAUAACUUUGUCAAGAAUAUGAUUGUACGAAAAGAUGUGAACUUACAGUACAUAUCUACACAUAUAAUUGUAGCAGAUCCUAUGACAAAGCCAAUAUCUAGAGAUGUGUUUUGUGGCCAUAUGAAAUCUCUAGGAUUGCGUAGAGUCUGAUGUACUGGAUUGUAAUUUCCCUGAAGUGUUCACAUUUGAUGAAUUUGUGUUUUUUCAUCAUUAAUGCCUAUGAAUCUUUGUUUGAUCUUUAUGCAUCUUAAUGCGUAGUGUAUUAUUUUAAGUUGAGAAAGUAUGUCGGACAGAUAUAAGAUUAGUCCACUCACACGGGUAAUCGCCUCUAUUUACUAUGUGAUAAAUAGAGAUGAGACUGUUUUUAAGCUUAUUAUCUAGGUGAUAAUCAAGAGCUCAAGCUUAAAAUACGUAUGUCGCCUUAACCGGGUGUUAAGAUGAGGACAUAAUACUUACUAUAUCCGAAAGUAAAAUACCCCACAUAUUUUACUUUAUCUGUCUAUGAUGCAAGAUGUGAGUUCUGAUGAAUUUUGUGAAUGAGUAGAUACGUGAACUCAAGUUAGACAUUGGGUAUGUCUGAACUAUCAUCUGUACGGUAUUGAAGGUGUAGACAUACGCUCCAUGGGAAAUGAGUUAUUACAGUAAUACGUAUUUCAUACUACGUAUGCAUGUAACGACCAAUAAUAGUGGCAAAAGUUUGAUCUCAACUUUUAUGUCGUGUGAGACUCUUGAGGAAAAGAAUUCCUCAAUUUUUAGUCCCCUCAUGACUCUUACUUAUUCUCAAGAUUUCUAUUUAGUGUUUGUUAUCUUAGGAUGUUGCCAAUGGUCAUGAGUUGAUUCGAUCUAAUGGGAUAUUUCUAGAAAAGUAAGCUGAACUGAAAUUGAGAGUUUGAAGGAAAGAGGAAGAUCGAAUUUGGAGAAUCACAUUGUAGUUUUGUAUUCACUAGUUAACCAAUUAUGACUAUCUUUAGGAUAAUCAUAAUUGUAAAUACAAUAUAUAUCAUUGUUUGAAAGAGAUCAAGAGAGAUAUAAAUGUGAUUGAUCGAUCUAGGGUACUGCAUACUAAAUCUACUCAGAAUGUGAUGCCCAUUAUGAGCUGCUAUAUAUUCCUAACAGAUGUAUGUCAACGAGCUCUCAAAGUAUGCUGGUCGCACUGAUUAUUCACCGGUAUGAAUGUUGAAGAGAGGUAAAGAGAAUUCUGUUCAGCCCACCAUGUGCAAGUGGGAGAUGAUGGUUUUAGGUGAUGGGCCUAAGUUGGCCCGUCCGCCCAUGAUGGGCCUAAAAGCCUGGUCCACAGGAUUAGGGCCCAUGGACGAAGGGGUACGUUUGUAUUUUAGAGAGGACGUAUAUAAAGGAGGAGAGAGAGGGAGAUCGUACCUUUUGACAUUACGUACGUUCCUUCCUCCCUCUCUUCCUCCAAAAAGAACAGUAAGCAAAAGAGGCGACGAUGUAUUCCCUUCAAAGCCAAUUGACGUCAUCGGAUUGAACAUGAUUGGUUUUUCUUCCUCAAUCUUCAGCAUUGGUGUCUAAUCUGUGGCUAACAAGGUACGCUCGAAUCCGUGGUGUGUUUUAGGAUCGGUGAUACGUGAUUUUCCCGGGCUUCAUCUUCCUCAUUCGUUUUAGGGGUUCGAUUUAGUGUCGAAUCCGAUUUCUGGGGAUCCGUUAAUCCCAACAAAAAGAAAAAGAAAUCCUUAGAGGAAAAUACGCCUAUCUGCAAAUAAGAUUUGGCUAACUUGUAAGUUGAGAUAUUUAUUGCAGACUAAAUUAGUCACUUUAGAUCCUUAUUUGAGAUAACAUCUACUUUAAAACUUUUUUUUAAAAAAAUGAUUUCACUUUAAUUUCUUCUUUGAAAAUUUCCCUUGUUUUAUUAUACUUAAAAGUAGAAGAAUAUUCACGAUAAUGAUUUACGGUCUACCUGUUUGAAGGAAAACUAUUACAUAAAUUGUUUUCCAACCUUUUGGUAUUAGAUGACAAAAAACUAAUCAAAUUACGGAAAAAAAGUAUUUUCAUAUAUUGAAAACAACAAGUUUACAUCGAGAGAAAACCAUUUCCACUUCUAUUAAGAAGGAAAUCACUUUUUCGAUGAAAACUAACUAUUCUAGGUGAAAAUAAUUUUCACUAUUUUUUUUUCUGUUAUCAUGAGAUAGAGUACGCUAUGAUUAUUUUGGAAUUUUGAAGUGCUCGAUGGCUCCGAUCCAGAUAUGUCCGCACGUUACACGGAGUAAUGAUUUUGUCGUUAGAUCAUGAAUUUGUAUAGUUGGAUUAUAUCGAAAUGUAAUGACCACCACUGGAAUCUACACAUAAUAAGAACUAAUUUUCCUUUUAUUUAUAAGCAAAGCGAUUCAUUUUUUCUUUAGUUUAUUGCAUUUACUAGUUUUGUAAUAAAUCAAAAUAGUGAGUACCAUUGCCAUAAUUUGAUUGAAAAAACUAAUGGCCGCAAGAAAGUGAUGGACUUUUUUUUAACUGGUUAUUUCUUUCAAUAUGCUAUUUUCCAUAACCAAGGGAAAAAUUUACUGAGAAUUGAAACCUAAUUGUAUUAAGUAUGAGUUAAGUUCAGUGGAGUUGUGUGUAGAUUGUUAAAAUUGUAUUAUGUAAAGAUGGAAUUGUAUAAGUUAAAUGAGUCAAUUUGAGUCAAACUCAUUUGCAAUUGGAUCGAACCUCAUCCAACAAUCUAAAAGUCAGUACAAUCAUCAAUAUUAUUGGAAAAACACAAGAUAUACUUAAGAGACUACCAAUCCUACAAGGGUAGAGAGAAGCGUAAUCAAUACUUAAAUUACAAUUUUGAGAUUUUUUGGUGUUGCAAAAAAAGUUUAGAGUAAAUAUAUUAUGGUGGGUAUAUAUUUUGGGGUUUUUGGUGACUUUUUUCAUUUUUUCUUUCUUUUGUCAAGAUGUACCCUUACCAUAGUUGUUAAAUCAAGAUACCUAUUGCGAAUUGAGAUCUUGAAAUUACUCGGGAUCUAGUCGAGUCGUAAGGUUCGGUCAAGUAUCUAAAAUUGGCAUUUCAAGACAAUUACGAGUUUUGUCAAUAAUACUUUGAAAGAAGAACAUUCAGUAACGUUAUUAUAAAAUACGAGCUUAAGGAAAGAGAAUUUCAAAUAAACAAGAGAGGCCCAGCCUGGAAUACGCCUUUUGCAUAUGAUUGGUAACCGUUUCCCUGUUGUUUUUCUCCUAUGGCAAGUUAGUUCUUGUUCGAGGAGUAAAGCAGAGCCUUGAGGAGCCGAGAAAGAAAAAAAAAGAAGAAGAAGGGGAUUGCAGAAAGAAGAAGGAACUGGACAGCUGAUUGUCGCUCCACUCUUAGUCAAGCCUAGAGGUUUUCCAUCUCAUUUGGAAAAAGCUGGUUACCCGAGAGAGAAAUCAAAGGGUAAGUUCUGUCAAGUUGCCUAAAGAUGGCAAGGUCGUGAGAUUAUUAUUGUAAAGGCUCUACCAUUGAAGAAAUUUCAAAUUCCCUAACUCUGGUUGGAUGGAACCUCUAGGUUCAUUAUCAAGUAAGAAGUGCACUUGGUGGAGUGACCUAAGACCGUGAAAAUGGCUGGGGAGCUAGAAGCAUUAUGACUAUCUUGAAACUAGAUGCCAGUAACUUGAGGAAUUUAAAUCGUGCUAGUCCAUUUUCACUCUCUAGAAGUAUAAGGUAGUAACUUGGGGAGCUAGAAGCAUUAUGACUACCUUUAAACUACUUUGCCUUCACGCUCUUGAAGUAUAAGGUAGUAACACAACAAAACUUGCAAUCCUUAUGAGACAAAGCAUUGUACUAUAGAAUCUCAACUAGAGAUAAAAUGAUGAUCAAUGAUCUUCCUAGUUUAAGCACUUUUACAUGGUAUUGGAACCAGUGCUAUUUCUUCUCCAUAAGUGUGUUUACGCAAGAGGGUGUGUUGAAAUAUUAUCUCACACAGCUUAAUAACAUUUAAUAAACACGGUUGAUAGCCGCCAUUAGAACAUUUAGUUUCUGAUUGAACGAACUCUGAAAAGAUGCAUGAUUGAAACUCUUCUGCUUGUCGGAGGAUUUUAUAUCAACACAAAUCCACAAUGAACCUUAUAAAAGGAGUAACAAAGGACAAGAUUUCAGAGACAUAAUAUAAAUAUUCCACUGCGACUAUUUUGCUCUCGAGAUGAUAACACUGGAUACAUAAGCAACUUUACACUGACUCGAAAGCCAUAUUUUCUAACUCUAACUAGACAUGGAUAUAUAGCAUUUGCUGCGACGACACUAGUCUGAAUAAUACUAGAUACAUAAACAGUUUGAAAUAUCUCGAGUUCAGCUGUUCUCUCUCCAAAUGAAACUAGAUGCUAGUAACUUCAGGUUUUGCUCCUUCCAAAAGAAAAGGCAGUUCUAUGCUUACUUGGGCAUGAAGGACACGUAGUCCUCAUCCUCAUGCUGGUGCGCGCUAAACACGUAACUUUGUUUCCGGUCAAAAUAUUUCUCCUAAAUGCAAAUCAAGUUCACAAAAUAGUGAGCGAAACAAUAAACUAGAAAAAAGCUCGAAACUUAAUUUAUUAGUUUAAACUUGUUUUUCGUUAGAGACCAGACCUUCCUGCAUGUGGUUGACAGAGCAAAAUCGUUUAUCAGACGAUAUCUUCUACAAAUUGAUCCAGUUCACGGCUUGAAUUUGUUGCAUCUCUCACAGGAUCUGUGGGCUUCUGUGAUUUUUUAACUCCAUCGAAAAGGGUUGAACGAGCAGAUAGCGCAUCAGAAAUCAUUUCCAUCGACGGCCUGAGUUGGGGAUUAGCAGAUAUGCAAGCGACUGCAAACUUUAGGAUGGUCAGAAGUUCAUCCUCAAUGCCUGGCGUGGGCGUUGGCAGGCGUGAAUCCAAUAUAUUCUUUAAAACUACCGAGAUCUCCAUGUCGACCAGAGCUAAUAAAGAUGAAAGGCUAUCACCUGGAUGUCUUCCUUUGAUCACCUCGAUGGCCACUAUUCCAAAGCUAUACACGUCGCAUUUCUCCGUCACCUUCAUUGUGUAAGCAAGCUCUGCACAAAGGAGAUAUAUAUGUUAGUACAAAGGCAUUGCUUUAGCUAAACCAUCAGAUCAUGAGUUGAUUUUAGAAAUUAACCUGGAGCUACGUAACCAUAUGUGCCAACGACUGCGCUCCAGUUUGAUGUGUCCAGCUUAAGAAGCUUAGCUGUGCCAAAUUCAGAAACGUGUGCCUCGUACUCCGAAUCAAGCAAAAUGUUGUUACUCGAAAUAUCUCGAUGAACGAUUGGAGGAAUACAAUCAUGGUGCAUAUAAGAUAAAGCAUGAGCCACGCCUUUUACUAUAUUCACCCUCUUGUUCCAGUCCAACUCUUUAGCUUCUUCUUCAUUGCUCAAGAUUGUAGACAAGCUUCCUCUGUCAAAGUACUCAUACACCAAGAAUGAGUGUUGUGGAUGCGAACAAAAGCCCACAAGUUUCACAAUAUUGCAGUGUUGAAUUUCCGUCAAUGCCCUAAUCUCAUUCAAAAAUUCCUUUUGAUCUGUUUGCCCACUAUCAGCCGUUUGAUGGAGCUUCUUUAUAGCUACUAUAUCACCAGAUCUUAAUUUGGCCUUGAAGACACUUCCAUAGCCACCCCUUCCAAUAUAGAAAAUCUCAUUAAAAGCCCCAGUGGCUUCCAUGAUGUCUUUAUAUGAAAUCAUUCCAUCGUACUUUGAUAGAGAAAAGACUUCAAUUGUCUUGGGUGCUAGUUCCACUCUUGGAUGGAGCUUCUUUCUACGGAAAAUGAAGAAUAUUCCAAAGAAAAUAAACAAAAGAACCGCUCCUAGCAAAGGGAACACAAUAAGAAACACUCUACCUCCCACCAGAGAGCUUUCCCUAUCCACCACUACUUGGUCACAGGGCUCAAGUCCUUCAACAUUUCCACACAAUCCACUGUUGCCUUGAAACGCUUCUAUUGUUGCAUUUUGGAAUGCCGUGGUGUUGGGGAUGGGACCCUCAAACUUGUUAUAAGAGAUGUCCACCUCCAUCAAACCUCGCAUAUCCUUGAAAGUCUCAUAUAUGAGGCCAGAAAGAUUAUUGUGUGAAAGGUCAAGUUUCACUAAGCUUUGAAGCUUGUUGAAUUCAACUGGGAUCCCACCACUUAACAAGUUAUGACUCAAGUCUAGCUCGGAUAGGUGAAUCAACAUCCCUAAUUGCCUCGGAAUAUCUUGGCUCAACUGGUUGUUACUUAGAUUCAAGAAGACCAAGUUUGAAGAAAACCCUAUAGCCUGCGGGAUAGACAUGCUUAAUCUAUUCUUGGACAAAUCCAAUUUUUGAAGACCAGGUAAUGAUACAAUCUUGGGACUUAUUUGGCCAGAAAGUCGAUUUCUGCUUAGAUUUAAAUUCACCAAAGAAGUCAAUUUUCCAAAUUCUUUUGGGACCUCACCAAGUAAACCAUUGAAAGAAAGAUCAAUUUCACCAAAUCGAGUCGCAUUCCCAAUCUCAGGAGGCAAGCUACCAGUGAUGUUAUUUCCAGCAAUUCUUAGAUGAGUUAAGCGUGUGCAACUUCCCCAGUUUGUUGAGAUUUCUCCAAAGAACUUGUUGAAACUCAUGUCGAUAAAGUCCAAUUUGGGGUAGACACCAAAGGUCUUGGAUAUGUUUCCAGUGAGCUGGUUUUCCUCUAGGCGUACUCUGACUAGGCUUGUGCAAUUUCUCAAGCUUUUAGGGAUAGAACCAGUUAAGUUAUUGUGACUCACUGUAAGGUUUUGGAGCAACCCACCCCGGCACAAGUUUUUUGGUAAGGAGCCGUUUAAUUGGUUGGUAUCCAAUUGUAGCACCACCAAGUUCACUAGUUCACCUAAGGAUUUAGGAAUUGAACCAGAAAGGUGAUUUUGGCGGAGGAACAAAGAUCCCAAGUUGGUCAAGUUACCCAGAGAAGAAGGAAUUGGACCAGUGAGCUGGUUUGUACUCAACUCUAAGUCAAGCAUAGCGUGGAGAUUACCUAUCUCAUUAGGAAUUUGCCCUGAAAGCUGGUUACCAUAGAGAUAAAGAAGGGCGAGUUCUGUCAAAUUGCCUAAUGUUGGUGGGAUUGAACCGAUAAGAUUAUUAUCAUUAAGGCACAACUCGCUAAGAAGAUUCGAUUUUCCUAGCUCUAGUGGGAUGGAACCAGUAAGCUCAUUAGCAAAUAGGUGUAGCUCUAUCAAUUUGGUUAAGUUCCCCAAAGUGGAAGGAAUCGGUCCUGUUAGGAGGUUGGUGUCCAUGUGGAGCACUUCCAGAUUUGUCAUACUUCCCAUUUCAGGAGGAAUAUAACCAGAAAAGGAGUUGUUGUAGACAUACAAUGUAGCCAAUUUGCUCAAAUUACCUAAUGAGGAAGGUAUGGGUCCAUUCAACUGAUUCGAAUACAGCGCGACCUCAGUGAGCAAAUACAAUUGCCCGAUUUCUUGGGGAAUGGAGCCAUUUAACUCAUUGGAAACCAAGUGCAGGACUGUUAGUCUAGUUAGAUGGCUGAUCUCCAGCGGUAUUUUCCCCAUGAACCGAUUGAUAGAAAGGUCGAGAUAGGUGAGAUUGCUCAAUAAACCGAUUUGAGGGGGAAUAUGGCCAGAGAGACUAUUUAUACUCAGGUCCAUGUACAUGAGAUGAGACAAAGAUGAGAAUGGGAAUUCGUCAAGCGUACCUUCGACAUAGGCGCUAGUGAGAUUAAUCCCGAUCACACUCUCCACCUGAUUGCAGGAGAUGCCAUACCAAGUACAUGGACUCACGGUUGAGUUGGAACCGGUGGCAUUACGAGGAGAGGGAGUCCACGAAGAGAGGGAAGAAUCUGAAUGGUUGCCAAGAUUGGACUUCCAUUUGAGGAGGGCUUGGGCUUCUAUAGGGGAAGCAUGAGCAGGGAGUGGAAUGGUAAAGGUAGUGAAAAGAGUAAGGGCAGCUACAAGGCUCAUGACCCUCUUGAAUUCUGGUGAAGAAUCCAUGGAUUCUUCUUCUCCUUCUCCUGUUUUGGUUCUGGUAAGUGGGUUUAUUUUUCCCUGAGGCAACAAGCGAUCCUUAAAUAGGCCGUGAAAACUCGCCUUCCUAUAAUUUUCCAUGGUAAUGGGUAUGCAAUAAAACGGCGACUAACCAGUGGAGACUAAGAAGAGGUACGUUUAUUUGUUUUGUACCCUGUAGGGGACCAGGGGUAGCCAUCUAACAGCCGACUAAGACGAAUUUUUGGUUCUUUGAAGACUCUGGAAUUUGUUACUUUUGUAGUCUUCGUAGUGACAUUUCUGACUUGGUCAGUCCUCGUUUCGGAAUUGAGCCCACCCAUUAUAUGAAUUCGGAGACUUUGACUUUGACUGAGAAGUCUUCGAGGAAAGUGAGGUAAACUCAGUGAAGGCCUCGCGUGUGGUUUGGGAACACUCAAUUUUCCACAAGAUCAGACCCUAAUUUGUGCUGCACAAAAUUUUGAUUUUAAAGCGCAAAAGGAAAGUCUUCUCACUUGGCGUUUAUGAAGCAAAAUCUUGACGCAGUCGACCCCGUUAUUGCAGAAACGACAGCUGAUGAUCUAGGCAAAUGGCCCCCGAGAGCAUGGUUAAAAAAUAAAAUAAAAAAAUCUAACGACAUAUUUGAAGUGGAAAAUUGCUAAAAAUUGGAGCUUGGGUUGAGUUGGGUAUGAUAGGGUCCAAGGGAGAUCGAGUGUGAGCUACCAAAAUUUUAUUACAAAAUUAUGGGUCUGUAUGUGUUAUAUUGGUCAAUGUGAAUUGGAUCCAUUUUCUAUCCAUUCAUACUUGACAUGAUCCUUUACUAGGAAUAAUACCCGAGAAAUCUAAAAGAUUAUUUAUAUCAAUUGAUGGAAGAGCAAAUAUUCACUAAGAACUUAAAACUUGUCCAGUAUGAAUAUUUCUCCAAAACUCAAUCAACUAAUAUAAAAAUUUAAGGACAAAGUACAAAAACAAUAUAAAAUUUUUAUGUGCUUAAUGUGGAAAAUACUACAAAUCGUUCAAAACUUUCACUAAUCACCAAGAAUAAUAGAAUAUAUAAUAGUCAUCUCUAGUCACAUAGCUAGAGAAUGAACAUAUCAACGAUAUAACAAUAUAUCAUUAGUGGAUUAACAAAAGAAGCAAGAAAACUCUAACUAUUACUAGAGAAAUUGAAAGACAAAUCAGAGAAGGAUCUCAAUGAUGAUCUUCAUCUCACGACCAAUAUAUUAAAAUUUCAGCUGAUUCUAAAUUUGAACUGUCUCUUCUCCUUCGAACCUUGGACUCUCUCCCUCUUUUAUUUCUCUUUUUGUUUGAACACUCAUUUCUCUCUUUUCACUAUAAAAAACAUUCGACCCUAAUUCUUUUUUUUUUUUAAAUGUGCUUGGCCCCGUGAGGCGGACCCAGCCCAUCGUCAAGUAGGAAGUGCACUUGUUGGAAUGACUCAGACUGAAAAUGGCUAGGGAUGCUAGAAUCAUUAUAACUAUCUUGAAGCCUUGUAAAUACAUGGCCAUUUAUCUCUUUUGGUCUGGAAGUCGUUUUUUCUUAGGUUCACGAGGAUUCCUCAUUCUUAUUUUCCCGUGAUUUUCUUAUUUGACAAUGGAAAUGCAUUAGCAAACAUUAACUCGUGGAACACAUAUUGGUAUAUGCCGUUUGGCAUAAUAAAAAUGCUGUCAAUUCCCAUUGGCUGGUUCCUUCUUGACAUUGCAUAUUUCCUCUUGCCUUUUCUUCUAAGCAAUACAACCAAGAAUUGAGAUGAAUUGACACAACUACGUGAGAAGUUUAGGUGCACAGAACUCAUUGUCUUGCUACGCCUCGCUUCAAAUAGCUGUCCCUUCAUUGUUUUCUAUCUAUACUAUUCAUUCACGAAGUUUUUUGAAAUUUUGAUUUUAUGAUGUUGGGUUUUACGUAAGAGUGAUCGAGGGCCGGGUCAAACAUUGGUCUACUAUGGUAUCCUUUUUCAAAUUCUCAAAGCUCUCAGAGGCUAAAGUCUAUUGUUUUCCAUAUGAAGUUCAUAAGGAGACGUUGUUCUGACAUGUUUUGCGCAAGAUCUAAGUUCUCUGUUUUGAAGUGUUAAAUUAUGUCUCGAGUUUGAGUGUUUACAAAAUGCGAUUCGUUGGAUUUUUGAAGAUUUAUAAAAGAGAAUAAAAUAGAAUAUAAUAAAAAAGGGCAGCAAAGUUUUCUUUUUCGUUGCAAGAAGGCCGAAUAAGGUUAGUUAUGUGGGGCCCAAAGUCAAAUGUUUGACUUUGGGCACACGCAUAUAUUCCACACCGGAGUUUCCUUUUCGCUAUGGAAAUUAAAGGGUGGAGUCUGCACGUGGAGCCGAAAAAAAAAGGAGAGCUGGUGGGCCUAGGUCAAUUAUUUGACCUUUGGGCACAUGUUUUUCUUCAUUAGGCGUGCGUGAAGUGGUUUAAAAAAAAAAACCCUACGAAAGCAGAGAAAGAGAGGAGCCGCACAUACUUGCUGCUUGAGAAGAGCCGCAAGUUUUCCUUGAAGCCACAUGAAGUUUUCCAAAAGAAAGUGAAGAUUUACGUACGUGGACCAAAGACGAACGCCGGAGUUCUUGAUUUUGGUGUACGUAGAGCAUUUUGUUUUGAGCUUGAACACGUGAUAAUUUUCUGCCGUGGAUCUAUAUCUAAAUGAGUUGUUUAUUUAUAAACACUUUGAGUUUGGGAUUAAAUCUAGGUGUGGAAAACACUUGAGCAUAUGAAUGAUUGUAAACUCUAAUUCUCCGAUUAUAGUGGAUUAUUUGCUGCCGACUUUGCCGUGGACGUAGGUACCGAUACUCGGACCGAACCACGUAAAUUUUUGGUGUCUUUAUUUUUUUCGUUUAUUUCUCUGGUGAUUUUGUGUUAACGAAAAUUGCAAGAUCCUAUCAUUUCCGCGUAUUUUAUCCCAACAUGAAGAAUAGAAAAGAUGCUUGAUGAUGAACUAAAACCCCAAUGAGUUCUACUUGUAUUUGACAAUGGAGCAGGCCUAGUAAAAACAGCCCAUCAUGAUUUAAAACCUCCACGAUUUUAGAGGGCUGGAUAUCGUCUACCUUCACGCUCUUGAAAUAUGAGGUAGCGCUAGAACAGAACUUGUAGUCUUUCUGAAACAAUGGAUGAUCUCCUCUUGAGAUGAAACGAUGACCAGUGGUCUUCCUAAUUUGAGCACUUCAAGUUCGAAGCUCUAAUGAAAACGAAGUCCGGAUCUCUCUAUUUUGGACGAUCAAAAGAUGCUAAACUUCUAUUAACGACUCAUGCCACAGCAACAUGCACAUGGCACUCCGAAUAGGAACGGAUUGAUUGCCCUCUCUGUCAUGAUACACGGUUGUAGUAAUUGCACAAAACCCAAAAUUAUGGUGGAUGGCCACGAUUAGGGACAAUUAGUCUCUGAUUGAAUGCACUCUGAAAAGAUCCAUGAUUGAAACUCGUCUGCAUAUAAGUCGAUUUUGCAUCUAAAUAAAUCCCAAAUAAACAUAUAGAAGGACUAAUAAUGAUCAAGAGUUUAAGAGUUCAUAUAAAUGCUCCAUUUCAUCCUUACAUGGACAUUUCGAUUUCAAGAUAACAACACUGGAUACAUCGUCAACUUUACAUUGAUACAAAAGUAAUUUUUUUCUAAGUCUGACUUGACAUGGAUAAAUUCACUCCAAAGACACUAGUCUGGGUAAAGACUAGACGCAGAAACAUUUUGAAAUAUCACUUGAGUGCAGCUGUUGUCUCUACAAACGAAAGUAGAUGCCAGAAUGUUCUAGUUUUGCUUCUUCCAAAACAGAAGGCAGUUCUAUACUUGGGCAUGAACGAAACAUGGUCCGCAUCCUCAUGCUGAUAUGAAAUACUCAACUUUGGUUGACGGUCAAAAUAUUUAUCCUAAAUGCAAAUAAAGUAAACACAUAAGUGAGGGAAACAGUGUAUUGAAAAAAGUUUGAGACUUAAUCAAUUAGCUCAAGCGACUCUAUUUUUCAUUAAAGAUCUUAAACUUCUUGCGUGUGGUUGACAGAGCCACAUCAUUUAUCAGACGAUAACUUCUAUGAAUUGAUCCGGGAAAUGGCUUGAAACUAUUGCAUCUUUCACAGGCUCAGCGGCUGUCACUGAAUAUUGAACGCCGUGGAAAGUGGUUGAACAAGCUGAUAGUCUCUGAGAAAUCCUGUCCAUCGACGGCCUGAUUUGGGGAUUAGCGGAUAAGUAAGCGACUGCAAGCUUGAAUAUGGUCAGAAAUUUAUCCUCAAUGCCUGACGUGGGCGUUGGUAGGCGUGAAUCCAAUAUAUUCCUCAAAACAACUUAGAUCUCUAUGUCGACUGGAGCUACUAGAGACAAAAUGUUGUCACCUAGAUGUCUUCCUUUGAUCACCUUGAUGGCCACUAUUCCAAAGCUAUACACAACACAUUUCUCUGUCACCUUCAUUGUGUAAGCAAGCUCUGCACAAAGAGGGUGAUAUAUGUAUUAGCAUGAAGACAUUGCUUUAGCUCAACCUUCGGAUUAAGAGUUGAUUUUAGAGUUUACCUAGAGCUACACGACCAUAUGUGUCGACAACUAAAGUCCAGUUUGAUGUAUCCGGCUUAAGAAGCUUAGUUGUGCCGAAGUCAGAAAUAUGCGCCUCGUACUCGGAAUCAAGCAGAAUGUUGUUACUUGAAAUAUCUCGAUGAAUGAUAGGAGGGUUACAAUCACGGUGCAUAUAAGAAAGAACAUAUGCCACGCCUUUUAUGAUAUUCACCCUCUUGUUCUGGUCCAACUCUUGAGCUUCUUCUUCAUUGCUCAAGAUCGUAGACAAGCUUCCUCUGUCCAAAUACUCAUACACUAAGAAAGAGUGGCAUAGAUGUGAACAAUAGCCCUCAAGUUUCACAAUACUGCGGUGUCAAAUUUCUGUCAAAGCCCCGAUCUCAUUCAAAAAUUCCUUUUGAUCAGUUUGCCCACUAUCAACCAUUUGAUUGAUCUUCUUAACAGCUACUAUAUACCUGAUCUUAAUUUGGCCUUGAAGACACUUCCACAGCCUCCCCUUCCAAUACAAUAAAUCUCAUCAAAUGCCUCGGUGGAUUCUAUGAUGUCUUCAUAUAAUAUCUUUCCAUUGUACUUUGAUGGGGGGAAAGACUUCAGUAGUCUUGGGUGGUAGUUCCGGUAUUCGAUGGAGCUUCUUUCUACAAAAAAAUGAAGAAUAUUCCAAGGAAAAUAAACAGAAGAACUGCACCUAAUAGAGGAAACACAAUAAGAAACACUUUGCCUCCCGUAGGAGAGCUUUCCCUAUCCAACACCGCUUAUAUGACAUCAUGAAUUUCCAGUUCUAUUUUCAAUUAAAUGAAUCAGCUUUUCAUUGACGCGCCUAUAGUUCUAUUCUCUGAGCUGAUUACUCACGAGAUAACUAGUCUAUUUGGUGAAGCCGUUAAGGGAUUUUAACGUAAUAGACUUGAGAAUUUGACCAAGAAUCCAUCGCUCGACCAUGUUAGUUUGCAAGGAUCAUUACGGCACAGUUAAAAAUCGACCAGAGAUUAGAGAUAGGUUGACUCGACUGAGCCAUGUGAUUAAGUGUGGGUGAUUCCACCUAAUUGCAAAAUCCUCGUUAAUAAGCACUAGACCAAUUUUUUUUGUUAUUUUGGUACCAUGUGUCUGCAUUUGAAACCUCGAGAUUUUUACGACAACUGAAAGUUGCCAAUGUAUCGAAGAUGUACAAUGUGGCUCGAAAUAAUUGACCACAGGCCAAUUGCACUAAAAAUUCCUAAAAGCUACCCGAUAGGUUAGGUCACGCUAAAAUCGUGCCAGAUUAAAAUUAACCGCGAAUUUGAACUCGAUUUCAGAAAUUGAAAGUUCUGUCAUGUCACGAUUUAUUUUAGGAUCAUUACCUCAUCCUUUGAAUAUUUUUCUGCAAAUCGAGAUUUUUGGCAAAAAUUCAAAGUAGGGCCAUUUUUUACCAGAAAAAUUCGAGGACCGUUUUUUAUCGCGUUUUCGGGAUUCACGUUGGUUCAAUUGGUAAGGAAAAAUGUUAAUUUAGUCUAGGACAUUUUGGUUGGAUUUAUGGGGAUCGAAUUAGACUCAAUUGGAGAGGAAUUAGGUUCUAUUCGGCGGAAAAUGUUACAAAAUUCGUAGGCCAUGGGAGGGGGAACAUUUUGACCACUUGAUUAGCUUCUAAGGGAAGAUUGUGGGCUGCCAAGGGGCCAUGGAUGACAUCCAUGGCUGGUGGGGCCUUGCCAAGGGACCAAAUGGAUAGAAUGAAGGCUUUAGAAGCCAAAGAGGGACCCUCCACCUUCAGCAGCUCCUUCUUCAUUUCCAGCCACCUUUCUCCAUUUUUAGUCUCUUUUGAAACUCCAAAGUUGCAGAGAAACCAACCAAGCUCCCCCUAGCCCGUCACACGCCCGCCGAGCCACCAAGACCACCGUGUCGCCGUCGCGUCACCCGUGAGCCUCACGUGCUAGCCCAUUCACAUCCCGCUUGUCCCACACCAUCUCGUCAUCCCCCGCGAUCCAUGGGCCACUGUCGAGCCUCCGUCUAGUCACCUGAGCCGUCUCCGUUGCCAUCCAGUCACUGUUGAGCGUCGCCAUCACUCGCUGCAACCAUCACCACCCGUCCUAGCCAUUUCCAGCUCAACUCGUUGCUCGGUUCGCCCUCUCGACCUAGCAACCAAAGCCGAAGACCAGCAAGGGUCUUUGGGCUUCGAGGCCCGUUUCGGACCUUUUCCGGGCCUUGUUUGGCUUCGUCGCCAAGAGAUUUGUUGCCCGUCUCCUCGUUGCUGUCGCCGUGGACUCAUCGGAUUGCUAAACAGGUGAGUUUACUUACUAAACUUGGCUUAGGGAGUUAAUGACGUUUAAGGGGUGUUUAGAUUAGGUUAAUUAAGGUAUGCAUGUUAGAUGGAUAGGACGGCUUAAUUAGGGACUAGAUAGAUCGUGCUAUUUAUCUAGAUUGGUUCGGAAAUUUUCCGGAUCCGUUUCGGUGUUUAAUUAGGCAUUUUCGGCCAAAGUUUCUAUUGUUGGUAAUUAAUUGCAUUUAUUUAAUUAUUUUUGGUAUUUAUUUAAUUAAUUAUUAUUUUUUUAAAAUUAUACCGAGAUAGCCGGUGACCGGAAUUUCAUGCCGAUUGCAAUGGUGUGCUUCGUUUAUUUAAUUGAGUGCUAAUUUGUGCAAAUUUAGUGGAAAUUGUAAUUUUUGGUAUUUAUAUCAAAAUUGUGUAAUUUCGGUAUUUAAUCAGAAAAUACCAAGGUGUCGAUUUUUAACGUCAAAAAUGUUUUUAGGCACUAUAUUAAAUAGUGGGAUUUUUAAAAAGAAAUAUAUUAUAUUUUGGCUUAGACCGACCAUGUAUCCACACACGAUUAUUUUUAUCGGGUAUUUUCAACACAAUGAAAACAUGCCAAGUUCGUUAUUUAAUUGAGGAAUCAGUGUGCAAAACACAAGGUCCUUGGUUGAGAUUGAUUUAUCAUGUAUCAGCUUAGGUGAGCAUUAUUGAAUUGUUAGCUUGUAAGAGCAGUAUGCUAUAUCAGCCUAUGUGGGCUUGAUAUGUCAGCUUGUGAAAGCAGUAUACCUUAUCAGCUUGUGUCAGCAAUGAUCAUUUAUCAACUUGUGCGAGCUACUAUCUAUCUAUAUCGGCUAGUGCAAUAUACCAUCUAUCUAUAUAUUAGCUUGUGAGAGCUAUUAUCGUCUAUACUUCAGCUUGUGGGAGCAGUAAUUGAAUCGAUUGUUUGAUAGAUGGUAUUGAUUGAUAGAUGGUAUGAAUCAUAUCGAUUGUGUCGAAUUGAGUUGAUUGACUAGGUGGAUCGAUGGAUCGAUGAUUUGAAUUGAAUUGAUUGGUUGAGUAUAUGAAUCGUACUGACUUGCAGGAAUGAAUUGAGGCAAUGUAAGUCAUCUGUCUUGUGUGUGCAUAGACUGCCUUUAGGCGUAUUUCUUUCUUAAUUGGAGUUUAGGGAGUGAACUUGCUGAGACAUUGUCUAACCCCGUCGUGGGCUCAAUAUUUUUAGAUCCUUAGAUGGUGGUUCCUCCGGAACGUUUUGGUUGGCCCAUGAGGGUUAUCGAGCGGGUUCUUAGCUACCCCGAUCCCGGAAGUCACUGGGUCUAUGAAAUUGUGGUGACCACCAUCUGGGUCGAAGAGGACCUACCUCAUAGGGUAUCUUAUCGAGUUAGAGCGUGGUUUCACUAUGGACCCAAUGGAUUCAGGAUGGGUCCCAUCAGGGGUUAUGAAAUUUCUGUUGUAAUAGUUGAUAGGGGUGUGCAAAAGAAUCGGGAUCCACCCGGACCGCCUGGAACCGGAUCGGAGCCACCUGGAAUCGGUGGUUCUUGAGGGAAUUGGUCCAAUUCCUAGUUCCAAUUUAUGGGAAUCGGUGGGUACUGGUCCAGUUCCCAGUUCCAUGGGCAGAUCCGUCCACCUGCCCACCCAGACCGGACCGGACCGAUUAAUUUUUAAUAUUAACAAAAAUUGAAAUUACUAAUUAACAAACCCUAUCGAAUUUUCUCUCUCUCUCUCUCUCUCUCUCUCUCUCUCUCUCUCUCUCUCUCUCUCUCUCUCCAUCACCACCGUUUUCCAGCUUCAGCUUCAUGCUUGUUAGUCGACCCACCACCGAAAACCUUACCAAGUCCCGAGAGCCUAUGGCUCUCGACGCUCCCUUCCUUCCCCAAAAACUCGAAAGAUCUCAACUUUGAGGUUCCCCAGCUCGCCAUCCUCCAUCGACGUUGCGGAGCUCCAUUGCUUCCCGGUGAAAUGGCACGAAAGGGAGCUAUAAAACAGUAGUGAAGAAACCUUAAAACACUGCCUCCACCCCUCCAAAUCCAAAUACCAUAACCCUCCCAAGUACCCAUCUUUAUUCUAGCUCAAAAGCCUUCUCUUUCCACUACAAUGUCCCAUCUUUUUGGUUCUUUGACAUUGCCCCUUCCAUUGGUCAUUCUUUAUUGGUGAGACCGGUUCCAUAGAUCCACCCGAGAACCGGACUGGACCGGUGGUCCGGUUCCCAGGUGGAUUCAUGCAACAAACGAGUGGAUCUCAGUUCCAAAUUGGAACCGGUCAUUAGCGGGCAAUUCCCGAUUCUAGGUCGGGAACCGCCCGCUCAGACCAUGCACACCCCUAAUAGUUGAUGUCACUCUAGGUGAAAGUGCAGCUGACCCUCCUAAUGGUGUGGUGGAGGACCCGACGCCCCCGGAGCCUAUGGAGACAGAAGGAUCGGCGAAUAUGUCUGGCUAGUUGGUCUUCGGAUAGCUUCGUUUGAGAGCCACUCUUUUGUAGACUUUUGUCUAUAGACUAGUAUUGUAAAUAAACUAGUUAGCUGUGUAUAAAGGUGUGUUGUGGUUGUGUAAUGAUGGUCCUGCUUUUCUAUCACAUCUUUGUGCUGUCUGGGGAUUUAUUUAUACGCUCCACAUAUGCAUUCAAAUGAAUGGGUCGGCGAUGCGUCCUAGGACGUCGCAAUAUAAUUGACCACCGAGGGAUGGGCACGCGCUUGAGGACUGGGGCAUGACAACUUACUUGGCUCUAGUCCUUCAACAUUUCCACACAAUCCAUUGUUGCCUUGUAACACUUCUUUUGUUGCAUUUUGGAAUGCCGUGGUGUUGGGGAUUGGUGUAAUACUUGAGAUUCAAGCGGUGGGGCCCACACAAAAAAGAAAAAAAAGAAGAAAGAAGUUUGAAAAGUCAAAAUAAAAUGGAAAAAGAAGUGAGUGGGGCUAAGCUCUUUUAAGAGAGCCCGAACUAGUUCAGGAAGAGAGAGAAAAGAAGACAGAGAAAGAAAGAAAGAAAGAAAAGGAGGAGGAGGAAAAAGAGGAAGAGGGUUUGACGCGUGCAUGCUGUGGACACCUCGCCAAGCCGACUUGAUUCUGUAAUGCAAUGCCCAAUAAGAACUUAUGCCCCUUGUUCGUCCAAUCAAAGUAUUUUCUAGGAUUAGCGCUCAAAUUCGAAAUUUGGAAAAAAUCUAGCAGCGAAGUUCGAUUUUUGAGUUGUUGAGCCACGUAAUUUUAUAGAAAUGAUAGUUUAGGGUGUUGUAGAGCUAUAGGAUUUUACGGAUCAUGAUUAAAGCUUACGGUUUGCCUAAAACAAAAUUUUGAAUUUCUUGCGUGCGAUGAACAGUACACGUCCAGCAUAUUCGGGUCCUUAUUUUGUUGUUUUUCAGCCUGAUUUUGGGAUGGUCAAGUUGGGAUUCUUGUAAUCUAUUUGAAGAGCUUUCUAUUAACUAUAAGUAUGUUUGGAAUAGGGUUUAUAGGAGAAAGUUAUGACAUAACCAAAGUUGUGCUCAACCUACGCAUUGCGAACAGCUUGAAUAAUCGCUUUGGGUAUAUGAUUUGUUAGUACAUAUGAGUCAUUUUGUUAGCAUUGAAGUGUAGUUUAGUCAUUUCGUAGUUAAGGUAGAGUUUUAUUUGAUUUUAACAUUAUUCCUUGGUUAUUUGAUAGGGCUACGAGUUCAACGAUACGAGUAUCAUUAUUAUUUGAUUGUAAGUGUCGAGAUGAGUGGUACUAUAUCUUCUUUGAAUUUGUAAAACUCAUGUUUUGAAAAUGCUGCAAAUUAUAUAUAUAUAUAUAUAUAUAUAUAUAUAUAUAUAUAUUAUGAAUUAAGAAAAUGCAUUGUUAUUGCAUAAAAGCCAGAUUGAAUACUUACUACUCUUUGGUUAUUUGUGGAUGUUUAGAAAGUGUAUUUGCAAAGUAUUGUAAAGUAAUAUAUACAUGUGACUACUUUGCAACUAGCUUAUGGAAAUGUCUAUAAAUGACUUAAGAAAUGAUGGAUGAUUAUGUUCUGGCAAAAAGUUAUUCUUUUGGUUUAGGAAAUUGAUUUCUCGAUUGGAUUCCUAGUAUUGGAGGAUGAAUAUUUAUGUUCAAUAGGACUAUGAACCUAGUGAGGGGUUAAGGGUUAUGCAUAUCGGGGUUAGGAUAUCUUUUUAGGCCGAGCCACUGGCUUUGUAGGCAGAGACUUUGCCAAGGGGGAAUCUUGGUUACCUUAUUACCAGUGUGACGUCAUGAUUUUCAGGUUCUACUUUCGAUUGGAUAAGUUGGGCUUUUCAUCGACGUAUCUACAGUGCUAUUCUCUGGGUUGGCCACUCACAAAAUAACUAACUAUUAGGUGAAGCUGUUAAGGAAUAUAAAUGUAAUAGAUUUGAGAAUUCGACCAGAAAUCGACUGUUCAACCGUGCUAAUCUAUAAAGGUCAUUACGGCAUUGUUAAAAUCGAUUAGAGAUCAGGGAUAGGUCGAUUCGAUUGAGAUGUGUGAUCAAAGUGUGGGUGAUUCCACCUAAUUGCAAAAUUCUUGUCAAUCGACAUUAGAUCGAUUUUUCUGUCGUUUUUGGUACCCUGUGUCCGUAUUUGAAAUUUGGAGAUUUUCACAAUUACCAAGAGUCACCAAUGUGUCAAAGAAGUAUGCUGUAGCUCGAAGAAAAUCAACCACGAGUUAAUUGCACCAAAAUUUUUUAAAAGCUACUCGGUAGGUUAGGUCAUGUUAAAAUCGUGCCAGAUUAAAAUUAACCAUGAAUUUGAAUCCAAUUUAAAAAAAUUGAAAAUUCGGUCAUGUCACAAUUAAUUUUAGAAACGUCGACUCAUCUUCCGAUUUGGUGAGUUCAGGAUUUUUAAGGAAAAUCGAUUCGGACGAUUCGGAAAAAAAAAAAUCAGAUUGAUCAAAUUGAAGGAAUCUUUGGCCUCAAAAGUGAGCUACUUAGCAAUGGGAAAUCGUGAACAUUGUGUGGGCUUCUUUCUAAAAAUAAAAUAAAAUUGGACAUUAAAUUGGAGAAUUGGAUAGAAAUGGAAGUCCAAUUUGUGAAUUCGGAGGCUAGUGUGGGAUUGCAACGUUUGGCACCAAAUUUGACUUGUUUGUGGAAUUUUAUAUGCAUAAAAGCUUAGGGGACAUUAGGGAUUUGCAUGUGAGCUUGUGGGACCAAGACUUGGUGAGUAUAAGAUAUUUUAUCUAUUUUCCCCCUCCUCCUCCUUCAGUCCCUCCAUUUCGCGUGCCUCUCUACUUCUUUUUCUUAUUUUCGUACGUCCUCCCCACCAGCUGACGAUCCCGUGCAUGCUCUUCCUUUUGCUUGUUUCUUUGACCAUGUGGGCCAUUCUUAUCCACAUUUCUCGUACGNNNNNNNNNNNNNNNNNNNNNNNNNNNNNNNNNNNNNNNNNNNNNNNNNNNNNNNNNNNNNNNNNNNNNNNNNNNNNNNNNNNNNNNNNNNNNNNNNNNNCGAGCAGCCUAUUCACCAUUCCAGCUUUCCGCCCCAACAAAACCGGUCCACCGAGCAACCCCUUGCAUCUUCCAUCUCUACCGAAGCAGCAAGUCCAGCAGCACAGAAGCAAAAGCCAAGCUCAAUCGUGAGCUUCCUUUAGGCCGUCUCGGCCCCGCUUGGUGCUCCCGCUUCAGAAUUUGUUGGCCACUGUCGCCGUGGAUUAAGUGGUUAGUUAGAACAUAUUAGUGAUUUAGUCAUUCGAUAUUACAUGUUAGAUGGUUAGAGUAGUGCAAUUAGCAAGUAGAUAAGUCGUAGUAUUUAUUUAAAUAGGUUCGGAAUUUUUUUGGGCCCAUUUCGGUAUUUAAUUAGGCUUUGCCAGCCUAAGUGUGCAUUUUUGCUAGUUAUUGGUAUUUAUUAGUUAAUUUUCGUAAUUAUUUAAUUAAUUAUUAUUUUUUGGAAAUUACAUCAGGAUAGCUGGUGACUGGAAUUUUAUGUUGAUCACAAUGGUAUGAUUGGUUUAUUUAAUUGAGUGCUAGAUUGUGCAAAUUGAGUGUGAUUUGUAAUUUUGGGAAUUUAUCCUAAAAUUUAAUAAUUUCAAUAUUUAAUUAGAAAAUACGGGGCGUCGGUUUAUAGCGUCAAAAAUGUGUUUGUGGACUAUUGGAAUUAGUGAGAUUUUAAAAAGGAAAAAUAUUGUAUUUUGAUUAAGGCCGAUUGUGUACCCAUACAUGAUUAUUUUUAUUGGAUAUGAUAAAAAUGGUGAAAUUGUUAGAUGAUGAGGAUGGUAUACUAUAUCAAUCUGCGGGCUUGAUAUGUCAACUUAGAGUGAGUAGUAUACUCUGUUAUCAGCUUUUGACGAGCUAUAUUUAUUAUUAGCUUUGGGUGAGCUAUACUAUCUAUCUUCAACUUAGGGAUAGCAAUUCUUGAUAUGAUCGAACUCAAUAGAUAGUAUUGAAUGAGUUGACCGAGAGAUGGUUUUGAUGGCAUGAAAUCGAUUGGGUCGAUUGGUCAAUGAUUCGAUCUAAGUUGAUGAUUUGAGUUAAUUUGAGUUGAAUUGAUUUGUUGAAUUAUACUAACUUGCGGGGAGGAAUGGAAGCAAAGGUAAGUCCUCUGACUUAUGCUUGUACUUAGGUAGCCCUUGGGGUGUAUUUCCUUCCUGGUUAGAGUUAGGGGGUGAACUUGUUGAGACAUCAUCUCACCCCAUUGUGGGAUAACAUUUUCAAGUUUUAGAUGGCGAAUCCCCCUGAGCAUCACGGUCGUCCCAUGAGGGUUACCGAGCGGGUUUCUAGUUUCCCCGAUUCCGGAAGUUUUUGGGUCUAUGAGCUUGUUGUAACCAUUGUCUGGGUCAAAGAGGUUCCACAUCAGGAGAUACCUAAUCGAUUCAGAGCGUGGUUCCAUUACGCUCCCCACGGUGUCAAGCUAGGUCCCCUUAGGACUUUUGAUAUUCUCGCCAUGGUAAUUGAUGCUACUUUGGAUGAGGAUCCAGCUGACCCUCCUGGUGGCGUAGUGGAGAACCCGCCGUAGCGCCCGGCUCUUGUGGACACUAAAGAAUCAGCGAACAAGUCGAACUAGCUGGUCAUAGGACAUCUUGUUUUGAGAAUCGACAUUUUUUUAGACCUUGUAAAUAUCGGCUAAUAAUGUAUAUAAAUUAGUCUGGUAUGUAUAAAGGUGUGGUUUGGUUUUCGAAAAUUUGUGGUCCUAUUUUUCUAUCCCAUCGUUGUGUUGUCUGGGGAUUAAUUAUUUGCUUCCGCAUGCGUAUUACAAUGAAUGGGUCGGCAAUGCGUCAUGGGAUGUCACUAUUUGAAUCGACCACUGAGGGAUGGGCACGCGCUCGAAGAUUGGGGCAUGACAACUAGGCAUUGUGUCAUGACUAUGGUAGGAUAGUGAGCCAUAGAUUGGUCAAGGUAAUGGACCAUUGACGUGUGAUUUGAUGAGAUUAAUCAACGGAAUAGACCAUUGAUACGUGAGUUGUUCAAAUUGAUCAAUGAAUUUGACUAUUGAUGUUUAUGAUGAUUAAAUGAUUAUUUUAUAAAUUGCAUAAAGCUUGUUGAAAUUAAAUAACUCAUGUGAUUCGAUACAUAUUUUAUACCUUGAGUUUGGAUUAUGAGUUUUUGGUAUUGUUUUUAUUUACAUGCAUAGUAGUUGUUCGAUUUGCUUAGAAGAUAUACAACUCAUUGACCUUAUGGUUGCUCACCUCUCUCUUUCCCAACCUUCUCAAGUUCUUUGGUUAGCAGCUAGUAGAGCAAGAGUGUUAUCGACAGGGGCUUUUGGGAGUUGAAUUUUGAUGGUUUGAGGCUGCGUCCUUCGAGUGGAAGGACAACCAUGUCAUCUCCAUCCUCGUAGGGUUUGGGGUGUGAUAUAUUGUGAUAUCAGAGUUUAAGUUAUGAUUUUUAGGUAUAGAUUCUUUGGGUCAUAGUGAGCUCGUGUGCUAGCGUAUAAUGCGUUAGUUUUUUGGGAGAUACUUGGAUAUAUGUUUCUUUUGGUGCAAGUGCUCAUCAAUUAGAGAUGGGUGAGUUAUUAUCUUUGAUGCCAAAAAUGGAUCUUAUGGUUCUUGAGGUUCACUUUUGAUAAGGAGAAUUUAUCUUGAAAGUCUUGAGGUGUUACAUGAUGAUAUUCGGUGUAAUAAGAAUUGAUUUUAGAAGUCAUAAACUUGAAUGGUCAUGUGAGACAUAAAUUUACUUAUGGUGAAUAGGUGGGAUCGGUUUGUGAACUUUUGAAUUGCAGGUGAUGAUCUUACUUUAAGCAACUUUAUGGAGCUAAUAGACAUGGUUAGUUUCAAUUGUAGUUUUCCUAGAGGCAAAGUGAAUAUUUAAGUGUUUGAUUUAAGAAGUGAUAAAUUUUAAGUGAUGAUUCUUUAAGUUUAGAACUUGAGGCUCAUUAGAUUUAAUGGAAGCUAGCUAAGUUCUUAUCUCGGCGAUUUGAGGAGUUAUAGGCAUUUAGCCGUAAGUGAUGAUCUCAUAAAUGAUGAUAUUAUUAGGUUAUGAUUGUUAGGGAAAUCCAUUAUGAUGUUUUGAAGAUGACAAAAUAAAUCAAUGGCUACUAAUGUGUUUAAUUGUUGAGUAGUAGACUAUGCAGAUGAUAGAACAUGUAAAUGAUAUUAUUCAAAGUCUAUUUUGAAGAUUUCCAGACUUUUGUGUCAAAGUCUGAAGACUGCCAUACUUUAGUGUCAAUGUCUGUUCUACAUCAGAAGUUUGCCUACUUUGACAAAUUCUAGAUUGAACGUGAAUGAAGAACCAGAAGAUGGACUUUAUGCUGAAGCUGAACUUAUUCAGACUGUGUUCAGACCUUAAAGCUAAAUAUGUUCAGAAGCAGAAUAUGUUCAGACCUAGAUUGUAAAGUCUAUUGUACUCGGAUUCAAAUUGUAAAGUCUAUUGUACUCAGACUUUACAUUCAAAUUCGACAGAACGUAACACAAGCCCUAAAUGUAUAACGGCUAGUGAUCUGAUUUAGAUUCUACAUCAAGAUUGAUUUGAUUGACUAAAUCUAAUUGAUUGACAAAUGGAUCAUGAAGACAAGAACUUUCUAUACGAAGAAGCUCUACUUAUGGAAACCAAGAUUCUGUUUGUAUGGGUGAUCAGAAUCAAUUUGGGAUUCUAUUUUUAUCACUCAACGGCUACCAAAUCUUUUAGAUAUAGAUCUGUCCAAUGGGUAGAUUGGAAGAUGAUCUUCAAGAUAUUGUCCAACGGCUAGUUUGGAAGUGGAGGAGUAUUUAAGGAAAUUAAGGAACGAUGAGCAAGUAAGAGACGGGGCGUAGAAUUUAAAUUCCAAAGUCCGAGCAACCUUCGAUCAUACACUUGUCUUUGGUGAGCUUAAACGUUUGUGAUUGUUAGAGAAAUACCAAAAGAGUGACUUAGUGAAAUAGUGUGAUCUACUACUAAGUGUUUGCACUCAAAGUUGUAAGCUAUUGUUGAUUGCAUAUUGGAAUCCAACCAAAAGGCUGUUAGCGUGGGAAAGUGGACGUAGGCUUGAUCUAAGCCGAACCACUAUAAACUUUGUAUUCUUAUUCUCUUCCCUGAACUCCUUUAUUUUGUUCGUAGUCUAUUUAACUACUAAAGUCUGAACUCGGUCAAAGUCUGUUGUUCUUCAAACUCAGUUUCAAAAGUCUAUUAUUAUUUAGACUCAAGUUAAAAGUAAAGGUUUUCACUGCAUUUUGCAGAAUCUAUUUUUACACCUAUUCACCCCCUUCUAGGUGUUCAUACUAGUACUUUUAAUGAUCUAUUUUGGUGUAGAUUUUAUAGGACGUUGUGAGGUCGUGUGUUAGUUUGUAAUGCGUCAGUCUUUUGUACAUUUCUUUUUAGGUCCAAGUGGUCAUUGAUUCUGAUUUACAAUGGUGUAUCUUAAGGUUCUCAACAUGCAGUUUUGGUAGGAAACUAAAGGGGAAAAUAUAUGGGGAGUCAUGACUCAAGAGAUGUACUCUUGAACGGGACGCAAUUGUCAUCCACCAUGGACAAGCAAGAAGACAAGGAGCUUUUAGUCUCUAGUGCAUCAGAAAGUAUAAUGUCGGCAAGCUAAGAUAGAAUUAGUGGUGGAAGGGAAGAAACCUUAGAUGGAGCCAAGGAUUCUGGUGGUCAAGGUCGGAGGAGGGGCCUUGUUGUGGAAACUGUUGCAAAGGAAUGUGCAUUUAAUAAUGGAAAUGACUUAAUAGUCAAGGUUUCAGAUUUUGAAGUCUUUGUAAAUGGCGGUUGCAAACCUAGUGAUGAAGAGAAUCUAAACGUUUAAGGUAGGUGUGAUGCAUUGACUAGCAGAAAUAGGAGGUUAAAGAGAGAUGCAAAGUCUUUGCAAGAAGAAAUUAAGAGCUUAAAUUGGUGCUAUAAAGUGUUCUCUCCCAAGUAGGGUAGGCAAGUCUCGACCUUGCAUGUGUCGGAUAAAUAGUGAAGGGGUAUAUAUAUAUAUUUUUGUCAUCACAAAGCCAGUCUAAGAACAUAAGGUCUGCAAAACAUGGGGGUUCAUAAAACUACAGAUUCUCUUGCUCCACCUCCUUACUAUCAUUGGAGCCUUCCUCCGAGUACACCGGAGUUCCUGGAUCUUCAAGAUCGGGGUCCACCGGGUCUACCAUCAAACCACCAGGGGGAUCUACAGUGUCUUUCCAAAAAGCAACCUCCAACACAUACACAUGUAUCUCCGACUCAGAUAUGAGUCCCUCUCUCUGUCCGUGCCGCUUACGACGGUACCAUGAUCUGUAUCAAUGGGGUACCUUGUGGGGUAGAGCCUCAUCCACCCAGAUUAUAGACUUCAUGAGCUCAUAGACCAAACCCCUAGGGUGCCCAUGAAUCGAAAUAUAGACUACUUGUUAUGUGAUCUUCUUCGGUUGACUAAAACGCUCGAGAGAAGCUACCAUUUAUGGACCUGAAAUUGUUAUCCCACAAUGGGGUGAGAUAACGUCUCAGCAAGUUCAAUCCCCUAAGACUUGACUACGAAAAAAAUACGCCCCAAGGGCUGCCUAAGCACAAACAUGAGUUCAAGGAUUUACCUUUGCCUCCACUUCUUCCUACAAGUCAAUAUAAUUGAAAUUCAUGGAAUCACAUCAACAAAUAAAAUCAUCACACCCAAUCAACUUAUCGAUCAAUCGACCUAAUUGAUUUCAUGUCAUCAAGACCAUCACACAGUCAUUUCAAUUACUCAUCCCAACUAUUAAUUAUGGCCCAAUGGGCACGGCCUACUAAAAGUUCAGCGGUGGAUUACGGCCUAAUGGGUACAGCUUGUUCCAAGUUCGACGGUAAAUUAUGGCCCAAUAGGCACAACCAUACUUCGGCGUUAAUUACAGCCUUAUAUGCACAGCCUGCUUCAACGGUUUUCUUAACUUAACUCAUUCAUCAUGCACCACAUACGUAACCUCAUCUCUCAAUAGUCAUCUUAUUACGACUAUAAUCCAUCACACGAUUAUUUACCCACGGCCAAUGACCAUUGUGCCUCACACUUCAAUUCCCCAAUUUAAAUCAUAUCUUGGCUUAUUUUCCUCGUGUUAAGGAUACCCAAUAAAAAUAAUCAUGUGUGGGUACAUAGUCGGCCUCAGUAAAAAAUAUAACAUCUUUACUUUAUAAAAUCCCAUUAUUUUCAAUAAUCCAUAAGGAUAUUUUUGGAGCUGUAAACCGACGCCCAGUAUUUUCUAAUUAAUUACCGAAAAUAAUAAAUUUUGGAAUAAAUACCCAAAAUUGCAAAUCAUACUCAAUCAGCAGAAAUUAGCAAUCAAAUAAAUAAUUCAAUUAUACCAUUGCAAUCAGCAUAAAAUUCUAAUCACCGGCUAUCCCAGUCUAAUUUUUGAAAAAUAAAUAAAUAAUUAAAUAAUUAUGAAAUUUAAUUAUUAAAUGCCAAUAAAUACCCAAAAUAGCAACUUAGGCCAGAAAAGCCUAAUUAAAAGCCGAGAUAGGCCCAAAAAAUUUUCGAACCACUCUCGAUAAAUACUAGAGCUUGUCUAGGCUUUAAUUAAACUACUCUAAUCACUUAACAUGCAAUAACGGUUAAUUAAAUUGCUAAUCUAUUCUAACUAUCCACCUAAUUCAUACUUAGUCCAAACUAAUCAACUAUUAAGCAUCAUUAACUAACUAAGUAAGGAUUAGUGAGUUAAACUCUCUUGAUUAAAGAUCCACUCGAAUCAAAACAACGGGGACGCAGCGAAGGUCGAGAUACUUCAAAGCGGGAUCGCCUUUCAAGGUCCCAAAAGCCACAAAAACGGGCUAAACAGCAGCUUGGAGACCCACACGGUUUGGUUCUGCACAAUGGCUGAAGGAGAUGCUCCGAUGGUCAAUUGAGGUUGAAACGGGUGGUGGGCCUAGUUGCGGGUCUAGGCGAGCUGUGGCGGUGUUUCAUGGCGGCGAAGGAGGCCCGAACGGGCUCUAAUGGUACUUGACGAUUUGCUGGGCACGAAUAGGAGGCGGAACCAACGUGCAGUGCAAGUAGACGGCGAGAGCAUGCAUGUGGGCGAGCAGCGCGAGCGACGGCAUGCAGUGGUCAGACAGGUUGCUGGGUUGCUUCGUCGGCUUGCUGGUUCGGUUCCUGGGCUUGCUAGAAGUUUUAAGGAGCUGCCAAAGGGGAAGGAGUCUACGGAAAUGGGGAAGAAUGAGAGGGGGAACCGGUUGGGCUAGAAGGGGGCCACCUUAGUCUUCUCUUAUCUCAUUUGGUCCCCUUGACUUGGCCCCACACCAAACUGACUUCCUCAGCACAUUUCCAGCAGCCUAGCUUCCUUCUAGAAGCCUUGAAGUAGUCCAAAGGUUGGGUCCAAGGGAGGCAAACGAAUUUGCACAACCUUUGGCUCAAUUUGGAUUAAAUUUUCACUUGAUUCAACUCAAGUCGGCCUCUAUAAAUUCCAUUAUCGAACUCACGAUCAAAUUGACAUUUUUCCUCACCAAUAGAUCUCACUUGCAUGCCAAUUUCGCGAUAAAAAACGAUCCUCUGCAUUUUUCAAUUCAAAACGACCCUACGUCGACUUUUUUCGCCAAAACCUCGGUUUGCAGAAAAAUCUUCGGAGACAAAGUCAAUGUUCCUAAAAUGACUUGUGACAUGACAAAACUUUUAAUUUCUGAAAUCAAAUUCAAAUUCGCAGUUAAUUUCAAUCUAGCGCGAUUUUAGCGUAACCUAGGCUACCAGGUAACUUUUAGAAAUUUUUAGUGCAAAUGACACGUGGUCAAUUUUCUUCGAACCACAAUGAACCUCUUUGAUACAUUGGUGACUCUUGGUUGUCAUGAAAAUCUCAAUGAUUCAAAUAUGGACACAAGGUACCAAAACGACAAAAAAAAUCAAUCUAGUGCUGAUCGACAAGAAUUUCUCAAUUUAGUGGAAUCACCCACGUUUAACCACACACCUCAAUCGAACUGACCUAUUUUUGAUUUCUAAUCGAUCUUACUGUGUCGUAAUAAUCUCUGCAGAUGAGCACGGUCGAGUAGUUGAUUCUUGGUUGAAUUCUCAAGUCUAUUUCAUUAAAAUUCUUUAAUAACUUCUCCAGAUAGUCUAGUUAUCCUUAGAGUGAUCAGCUCGAAGAAUAGCAUUAUAAGCGCAUCGAUAAAAAGUCCGAUUUAUUUAAUUAAAAACAUAACUAAAAAAUUUGAGAUGUCACAAGAACACCAUGCUGGUAGCCUUUUCUUAAAGGACUCGGAUUAGAGUGUAAUGAGCUCAAGCCAAAUGAAGACUUCCUUAAGCAGGGGCUUAGAAUCAUGAUCGAGCAAUGUUAGAUGCUGUAAAAGGAUAAGCAUGAGCUUCUAGAGAUGAAAACCUUUUCAAAUUGGAUCUAGGCAAGGCAGAGCAACAAUAGAAUGCACUAGAGAUUGAUAUGAAAGUGAUGUACAAGAAAUUGGUUGAUGUGCUAAUAAAUUACUGGCAAUUGCAAGUGUUGAGAAAACUCCUAUAAGGUUUUAAAGUUGACAAAACUUUCAUUCUCUUAUUCUUACUCUUACUCUAAAGAAUAUUAAACUUCUGUGGAAUACUGUCAAAGUCUAUUAGAAGUCUUUUCCACUCUAAUGAAGUGCAGACUGAAUUCAAGACAAGAAUGAAGUUAUAAUCAAACUUAAGAUUAUUAAUCUUUCAACAAGGAUUCAGUACGUGCAAGAUAUAUUUGGCUUUCUGGCGGAGAAUCUCACUUACAUUUUCUAAAUAUAUUGAUGAAAUCAAUCACAGAUUGAUAAAAUCAAUUUCGAAGACAAGUUCAUUCUUGGGAAGAUUCUACUUAUGGAAACCUAGAUUCUGAUUGUAUGGGCAACCAGAAUCAUCGGAUUUUCAUCUCAAUCUUCAAACGGUUACAAGAUUUUCUUAAUCAAUUCUGUACAAUGGGUUGAUUGGAAGAAAUUCCUUUAGAAAGUGCCAACGGUUAAAAAAGCAUAGAGGAGUAUUUAAGGAGGUCAUUCGAUCCAUUUGGGAGAGAGCAUGAGAAUAAAAAUUCCAAAGUUUGAGGUCUUUCAAAUCAUUUGUUCUUUAUUGAUAGUGCUUACAUAUUGUAUUUGAGAGAGAAAAACACAAAAUGAGUGACUUAGUGAGAGAAAAUGAAACUCUUCACUAAGUGAUCGUACUCAAAUCGUUGUAUUUCUCUGUUGAAUCCAUAGUGAAAUUCAGCUAGAAGGUUGUUAGUAUAGGAGAGUGGACGUAGGCUUGAUCUAAGUGGAACCCCUAUAAAUCUCAUGUCCAAUUUUCUCUUCCUUUAACUCUUUUGAUUUGUUUGUUGCAAUAUUUUUCUAAGUUCUGCUAAUUUCUAAAACAUCAUAUUUAAGUCUGAAUUUAUAUCAAAAAGUUGGUGUCAGUUAGACUUUGCUUAAAGAAAAUAACUUUUACUGCUUUUAUUAGCUUAAUUUGUUUUUACACUUAUUUACACCCCCCCCCCCCCCCUAUCUAGGUGGUAAUACUAGCACUUUCAGCAAGAAGAUAACUCCAACAGACUAAUCGGAAACCAAGCUUUGUUGGAGAAGAUUAUAGAUUCAAAAAAAAAAAAAUAGAAGCACGUUCUUCCGAGGGAAACUCUUAAGAUAAUCUAAGAACGAAAUCCUCUUGGUAACCUCUCUCUAUUUUUCUAGAGCUUUGGAUAGAGAAAUCUGAAGAACUAAAAGCUCUUGCUCAUGAUCCUUGUGGCCUCCAAGUGGUUAACAUCAAUCUAGCUAAGGAAGAAACAAGAGAUAGAGAGAGGCUUCCGAGGGAAACUCUUAAGAUAAUCUAAGAACGAAAUCCUCUUGGUAACCUCUCUCUAUUUUUCUAGAGCUUUGGAUAGAGAAAUCUGAAGAACUAAAAGCUCUUGCUCGUGAUCCUUGUGGCCUCCAAGUGGUUAACAUCAAUCUAGCUAAGGAAGAAACUAGAGAUAGAGAGAGGCUUCAGGUUAACUCAAUCGACAAGUUGGACAAAGAGUUCGAUGAAGGGAGGGACUUCAACCGUAAAUUAAACCACCAAAUUUUGAAUUGGCACUAGAUGAAACUAUAGAUGUUAUGGAGCUAGUUGAAGAUAAGCAACCUUGCUCUAAUGAGGAUUUCGCUCCUGAUGUCAGUCAUUCAAAUGUAGAAGACAGAGAAGUUGGAGAACAAGCUUCUAAUAUCAUUGUCGUUGGUUUAACUAAUAUCGACAAAAUGGAAAUCGAUAAUCAGCUUACAGACAAUGAAAAGCAAAAGGCAAUUGAGGAGACAACUAUUGUAGACGGAGGUUCAAAGCUAGGAAGCUUAGUGGGAGUGAACCAAACUGUUUAUAAGUUGCCAAAAAAAGAAGAAGAAGAUGAAAAUAUAUUGUCGAUGUCUAUUUCGGUUUGAGGUAAAGUAAGAAGCUAUUCAUGAUAGCCUGGACAGAUCUUUGAUCCUUUUGAAUGUUGUAAACUGCUCUUUGGAUGAUCUCAAGAGGGGUUGAGUUAGGAUUGGCUUGCUUUUUGCAUACCAAAGGAUGUUUACGACGAGAUAAACGUCCACAUUGUUGAAAAUAUUGGAAUUCGAGAAGAGUUAGGCUCCAGAGAAGUUGUGGAUGAAACCAUGAGUGCGAGUUCUUUCAAACCGAAUAAACUACUGGAGUAAAAAAAGAGAAAAAAAAAAAAAACAGAGAGAGAACAUUGGCUCCAUGCUUUUCUAGCAGAGGUGAUUGGCUCGGUCUUGUGAUAGCUAAAGCUUAGCUGUUGGCCUUUCACAUGUAGAAAGGUUAUAAUGAGCUCCCCGAAUUACAAUUUUGUGAAGGCUUAAUGGAAAGUUAGCUAAAGCUCUAAAUUUUGAUGGCGAUAAUCAUGUGGGCAAUAACACAGAAUUUGGCACUCUGUUUUUUAGGACACGAUGGUCUCCUCUUGGCGGGAUGGUUUGAAAGCCCCCAAAGGUUCGUCUCAUGGGCGCAAACACAACUUGAAGGAUAUAGAUGAUUACAAGAAGAAAGAGAGAAAUUUGGCUGAAUCAAUGGAUGACUCUAUUGAUUAUUAUACGAAGAAAUUGAUGUUGACAGUAAAGCUUCUUGUAUGUUGGUCUCACUAUCUUCUAGCAAGAGCCAUAAGGCUCGAGAUCCCAGUGCUUAAUCGAUCACGUGUGCAAUUCAGAUACUUAUAUUGCCUCUUCUUGAUCAUGUUCCACGCAAAGUUUGGGGCAAGUUUUUAGUCCAGCAAGGUGUUCCACUUAAUGCUUGAGAGGAACGUCGUUCCUUGGGCUACCAUAAUUCGAUGUUAUGGUGAGGCGGUUGUGAUAUGGAUGCAUUGUUUAAUCUGUUGAAUGAGGAGUGGAGUCCAGCUUGGUGAUAGGGUUGUAGUUGCUUGCUGGAUAUUUGUAGCAUACAAGAGUGCAAUGUUUGCAUUGUAUGCACUGAUAUAUGGUUUUGGAUCAGAUGUAGUUGUUGAGAUUAAGCGAGCGAUCAAACAAUAAUAUAAACGGAAGAAGAAAAUAAAUCGGACACCAGAUUUACGUGGUUCAGUCGUAAAUACCCACAUCCACAAGGAGAGCGGCAGCAAAUUUCACUAUAAAUCAAGUGAUAAGAUUACACACUCAAGUCACUCAAACACUCUCUUGGUGUUUCCCAAACCCCAAUUUAACCCUAAACCCAAAUCACGGCACAAAAUUACCGCAUGUUCAAGCUUCAAAAUACAACGCUCUACGUACACCUGGUUCGCGUACAUAUGAAAUCGCGUAUCUCUUCAAGCUUCUCGCAGAGGACUUGUGGCUUCGUCGAUCGUUGAACGUGUGGCUAUGUACGUAGGGUUCGGCGCCAAUUUUCAGAAGCCCGAAAAAAGACUUGCAAAAAUCUGCUUUUAUACAUGGGUGUACAAGACGUGUGCAGGGGACUCCAUCUUUACGCCAAAGAAGGAAAUCGUGCACCCAACCUUGGGCCCACCUACGCUCCUUACUUCGCUAAACGUGUGUGUGUCCAGAGUCAACACUUUGACUCUGGGCCCACCUAUUUUCAAUUCACGUACAGAGGCUUCAUGCCAAAGGAUUUCGGUAGAGCAUGGGGCUUCGGCAGCUUCACUCCAAAGAAGAAAAAUUCCUCUUUUAAUUAUUUCCUCUUUUGUAAAUCCGUCAAAAGUCCAGUGAAUCUCAAACUCGAGUCAUAAAUUAACAAUCUCCACCUUGGCUCGAUGUUUAAGCCAAGUCGCAAUCGCUUUGCAAAAAUUCAAACUCUGCUGCUACUUUCCCAUAGCCCCCGAUGGGCUCAACCGCCACAGAUAUUAUCCAAGUUCAAGCCUCGCUUGAACUUCGCCUAACCGAGGACCUCAUCAAAAUACCAACUCCACAUGCACCUUUAACUACUCCGCAAGAAUUUUCUGACACAACCUCCUCAACCACAGAUAAAGUGAAACCAUUAUUGCAUCCAAUCUGUUAGGAGAUUGAAUACGUACCUUGUCAAUAUCAGUAGUUACAGCAACUAUUGGCUCUAUAAGCUCCGCCUCGCUACAAGCACCAUAUGUGUUGAUUACUUUGCUAGUACUCAUACUUGCUACCUCAGGAGUUUCUGGUCGCAACUCCAUCUCAAGCUAAACAUCAUUCAGAUCCGUUUGAACACUAACCACACUUCUUUAGGAGUCCGUCUUUCAAUAGCAAUUGAUGGGGAUCUAUUCACCAUGAAGCUUACCGUACUUAGCACAUCAGCUAGGAUUCUCCUAGCAAUAUCAGCACUAGAGAUAAUUUUUCGGGUCGUCUCUAGUAAUGUUCUGCUCAUCAAUUCUGCAAAUUAUUGUGAUUUACUAGCACUAGUGUGGUGUUUCACUAUGCCCUCUUUCAUGCAAAAUUUAUUUGCUAGUUCCAAGCAAAACUCCAUGCUAUUAUCAGUCUGCACAUACUUGAUCGACUUACUAGUCUCCAUCUCGAUCAAAGCUCUUGACUGCGAGAUCUUGACACCAGCAUCAAACUUGUGCAUUGGCACAAACCUCCAAGUCUUCUUCGAGCAGUCAAAAGACUCGCGAGCAGAUGCAUCCGAUGUCUACGGGGCGAAACCUGUCAUUGUCUCACCUUGAAGUUUAUACGGGCCAUCAUGCUUGAUUCCUUUCAUUAUCACCAGGACACCUCGAACAACCUUCAGAACUCCACCUUUUGAAGAAUACCUGUAACCAGCUAAAUCUAGGGCACCCAAAGAAAUUAAGUUCUUUUUCAAUUCUGGAACAUGCUUGACUCCAGUCAAUGUCCUCACAAUACCAUCAUGCAUUCUGAUUUUAACAUCAUUAACACCCACAACAUUGCACUCAACAUUGUUCCCUAACUGGACUUUAUCACUAGCCUUGUACUGAUAAGUGAUAAACCAUUUUCUAUUUGGUGUGACAUGAAAAGAACAACCAGAAUCCAUAACUCAUCCAUCAAACGAUGAAUUAUUAGUGAUAGACAAGACAUAAUCGGCAUUAUUUGCUAUAGCUAUAACAUUAUCUACAAAAUCAACCAUAAUUCCCUUACCCUUAUCAUUCUUCAACUUAAGGCAAUCCCUUCUAAGAUGCCCCCUCUUGCCACAGCUCCAAUAAACAACAUUACCAGUCUUGGAUUGACUGCGUCUGUUCAUAUUAGUACUACUCUUAUCCACACGUGUUACAGAUCUUUUUAUAUUUUCACCUACUAAAGCAGCAGAUUCUCUUCUACGAAUGUCCUCGUUCAGAAUUAAAUCUCGAAUCCCAUCAAACGUCAAACUUGUUGACCUAGAGGAAUUACUAAUAGCAGUAAUAGUAAUAUUCCAACCAUCAGGCAAUGAGGAUAACGGAAUCAAAGCACGUACCUCAUCUUCAAAGUCAAUCUCAACCGAACUCAAUUGACUAACAAUCACAUUGAAUUCAUUGAUAUGAUAUGCAACUAACGUACAUUCGCUCAUCUUCAAAUUAAACAGAUGUCGCACCAAACAGACCUUAUUGAUCAUAGAGGGCUUCUCGUACAUAUUCGACAGGGCUUGCAUCAAAUCAGCAGUGGUCUUCUCCUUCAAGAUGUUAAAUGCGACGUUACGAGCCAACGUCAGCCAAAUAACACCCAUAGCUCGUCUAUCUAGCAAAUCCCAAUCAGCUUGCUUCAUCGACUCUGGUUUCUCCCCAACAAGGGCAAGUGUAGUUUCAUCUGGUAAAGAUAAUCUUCAAUCUGCAUAUUCCAGAAACUAAAAUCCUUCCCAUCAAAUCUGUUGAUUUUCACAUUUACUUCUUCUGUUGUCAUCGAUUUGCUUCAACUUAGCCAAGCCUGUCUCUGAUACUAAUUGUUGAGAUUAAGCGAGCGAUCGAAUAAUAAUAUAAACAGAAGAAGAAAAUAAAUCAGACACCAGAUUUAUGUGGUUCAGUCGUAAAGACCUACAUCCACGGGGAGAGCAGCACCGAAUUUCAGUAGAGAUCAAGCAAUACAAGGAGAUUACACACUCAGGUCACUCAAACACUCUCUCGGGGUUUCCUCCUCACCAACGAGCUUGCACAGGACUGAAUCACGUAGUUUGCAAUUUUGCAAAACUGCACACACUUCUCGAAUUUUUUUAUUUUCUUUUUUCUUUUCCUACAUUGUUCAAAUUGUUUCACUCCUGUGAAAGCUCGUUGGUGAGGAGGCUGAUGCUGAUGUCAAGAAAGAGGUGAUGCAAAGUGAAGGAGGAGGCAUAAGCAAGAUGAAGAAAAAAAAUAAAAGAAAAACACAAAGGAAAAAGAAAAAAGAAACAAAUAAAGAAAAAUAAAGAAAUCCAAGAGGAAAAUACCCCUACCUGCAACUAAGAUUUGGGUAACUUGUAAGUUGAGUCCUUUAUUUGAGACAAAAUUGGUCAUUUCAGACCCUCAUUUGAGAUAAUGCCUAUUUCAAGUUUUUUUUUUUUUUUUUUUUGAGAAAAUGGUUCCACUUCAUGUCCUUAUUUGAAAUUUUUCUUGUUUUAUUAUACUUAAAAGUAGAAGUAUAUUUGUGAUCAUGAUUUAGGGUCUACCUAUUUGAAGGAAAACUAUUACGGAAAUUCUUUUUCAAAUUUUUUGUAUUAGAUGACAAAAAACUAAUCGAAUUGCGGAAAAAAAAAUUUAUGGAUUAAAAACAACAAGUUUACAUUAAAAUAAAACCACUUUGACUUCUACCAAGAAGGAAAUCACUUUUCCUAAACCACUAAUUAAAUAAAAACUAACCAUUCUAGCUGAAAAUAAUUUUCAAUUUUUUUUUCUUUUAUGAUGAAAUUUUCAAUGUAAUAAAUGGACCCUUAUUCAAUUAUUGAGAAAGAUUUCCCUAUGAUUAUUUUGGAACUUUAAAGUGCUCGAUGGCUCCAAUACAAAUAUAUCCGCACGUUACACGGAGUAAUGAUUUUGUUGUUGGAUUAUGAAUUUGUGUUGUUGUAUUAUAUCGAAAUGUAAUGACAACCACUGGAAUCUACGCAUAAUAAGAACUCAUUUUCCCUUCAUUUAUAAGCAUUGCGAUUCAUUUUUUCUUUAGUUUAUUGCAUUAAUUAUUUUUGUAAUAAACCAAAUUAGUGAGUACCAUUGCCUUGCUUUGAUUAAAAAAUCCAAUGGCCGCAAGAAAGUGAUGGAAAUUUUUUUAAUUGGUUAUCUCUUUCCGUAUGCUAUUUUCCAUAACCAAGGGAAAAAUUACUGAGAAUUGAAACCUAAUUGGCUUGAAUAUGAGUUAAGUCCAGUGGAGAUAUGUGUAGAUUGCUAAAAUUGUAUUAUGUAAAGAUGGAACUAUAUGAGUUAAAUGGGUUAAUUUGAAUAAACUCAUUUUUUAUUUGAUCUAACUUGACCUAACAGUUUGACAAGUCUAUACAAAGGUAGUGCAAUCGUCAAUUUUAUCGGAAAAAUACAAGAUAUACUUCAGAGACUAUCAAUCCUAAAAGGACAUAGAGAAGCAUAAUCAAUACUUAAAUUACAAGUUUGAGAUUUUUGAUAUUGCAAAAAAAGUUUGGAGUAAAUAUAUUACAAUGAGCAUAAGUUAAGAUUUUGGUGAUUUUUUUCCUUUUUUUUUCUUUUGUCAAGAUGUACCCUUACCAUGGCUGUUAAAUCAAGAUAUCCAUCGGGAAUUGAGAUCUUGAAAUUAUUCGGGAUCUAAUCGAGUCGUAAGGUUCGGUCAAGUAUCUAACAUUUGUAUUUCAAGACAAUUACAAUUUUUAUCAAUAAUACUGUAAAAUAAAAACGUUCAGUGCCAUUUUUACAAAAUAUGAGCUUAAAGAAAGCGAACUUCAAAUAAACAAGAGAGGCCCAGCCCAGUAUACUUCCUCAGCCCAAAUUAGCUUCAAGAGUCUUCUCCUUCCUCUUGCUGUUGCAUUCUUACAUAGAAGAGAAAGGAGAAAACAGAGCCUUGAGGAACCGAGAUAAAAUAAGUAAAUAAAUAAAUAAAUAGAGAGAGGGAAAUCGCGGUGGUUGGUUGGAAAACAUUAAAUUAAUGCCGGAAUAGGCCUUUUGCAUGUGAUUGGUAAGCGUUUCCCUGUUGUUCAUUUCCUCUUGCAAGUAAGCUCUUUUUCGAGGAGUUAAUGUCGUAGCCCUGGCUAUGUUGGCUUCGCCGGUGACGCUUCGGCCGAGAUAUGUUGCUUAGAUCUCAAUACUAAAAGAUAGAAUCACAACUUAGCAGAUGCAUUUGUCAAGUUUCUNNNNNNNNNNNNNNNNNNNNNNNNNNNNNNNNNNNNNNNNNNNNNNNNNNNNNNNNNNNNNNNNNNNNNNNNNNNNNNNNNNNNNNNNNNNNNNNNNNNNNNNNNNNNNNNNNNNNNNNNNNNNNNNNNNNNNNNNNNNNNNNNNNNNNNNNNNNNNNNNNNNNNNNNNNNNNNNNNNNNNNNNNNNNNNNNNNNNNNNNNNNNNNNNNNNNNNNNNNNNNNNNNNNNNNNNNNNNNNNNNNNNNNNNNNNNNNNNNNNNNNNNNNNNNNNNNNNNNNNNNNNNNNNNNNNNNNNNNNNNNNNNNNNNNNNNNNNNNNNNNNNNNNNNNNNNNNNNNNNNNNNNNNNNNNNNNNNNNNNNNNNNNNNNNNNNNNNNNNNNNNNNNNNNNNNNNNNNNNNNNNNNNNNNNNNNNNNNNNNNNNNNNNNNNNNNNNNNNNNNNNNNNNNNNNNNNNNNNNNNNNNNNNNNNNNNNNNNNNNNNNNNNNNNNNNNNNNNNNNNNNNNNNNNNNNNNNNNNNNNNNNNNNNNNNNNNNNNNNNNNNNNNNNNNNNNNNNNNNNNNNCUGGAAAGCUGGUUACCAAAGAGAAACCAAAGGAUAAGCUCUGCCCAGUGCCGACGACGCAGAUGAAAGGUGAGAUAUAUGUAAAGGCUCAAUUAUUGAAGAAAUUUCGAAUCCUUGGCUCUGGUUGGAUGGAACCUAUAAGUUCAUUAUCAAGUGGGAAGCGCACUUGGUGGAGAAACCUAAGACAGUGAAAAUGGCUGGGAAGCUAGAAACAUUAUGACUAUCUUGAAACUAGAUGCCAGUAACUUGAGGGACUUAAAUCAUGCUAGUCCAUUUUCACGCUCUUUUAGUAUAAGGUAGUAACUUGGGGAGCAAGAAACAUUAUGACUAUCUUGAAACUAGUCUCCCUUCACGCUUUUGAAGUAUAAGAUAGUAAUAGAACAGAACACAACUUGCAUUCUUUCAGAGACAAAGCAUUGUACCAUAGAAUCUUCACUCAAGAUAAAUAAAAAAUAAAAAAUAAUCAAUGAUCUUCGUAAUUUAAGCACUUUUACAUGGUCUUGGAACCAAUGCCAUUUCUUUCAUAUAAGUGCAUUUACGUAAGAGGGUGUAUUGAAAUGUCAUCCUACACCACUUAAUAACAUGUAAUAAACAUAGUUGAUGGCUGCAUUAGAACGUUUAACUUUUGAUUGAACGCGCUUUGAAAAGAUGCAUGAUUGAAACUCUUCUGCAUGUCAGAGGAUUGGUUGAUGGCCGCGAUUAGAACGUUUAGUUUCUGAUUGAACGCACUUAAAAAAGAUGCAUGAUUGAAACUCUUCCGCAUGUCAGAGGAUUUUAUAUCUACACAAAUCCACAAUGAACCUUAUAAAAGGAGUAACAAAGGACAAGAUUUCAGAGACUUAAUAUAAAUAUUUCAUUGCGACUAUUUUGCUCUCGAGAUGAUAACACUAGAUACAUAAGCAACUUUACACUGACACGAAAGUCAUUUUUUCUAACUAUAACUAGACAUGGGUACAUAGCUUUUGCUGCGAUGACACUAGUCUGAAUAAGACUAGAUACAUAAAUAGUUUGAAAUAUCUCGAGUUCAGCUGUUCUCUCUACAAAUGACACUAGAUGCUAGUAACUUCAGGGUUUGCUCCUUCCAAAAGAAAAGGCAGUUCUGUACUCACUUGGGCAUGAAGGACACGCAGUCCUCAUCCUCAUGCUGGUGCACGCUAAACACGUAAUUUUGUUUCCCGGUUAAAAUAUUUCUCCUAAAUGCAAAUAAAGUUCACAAAUAGUGAGAGAAACAAUACAUUAGAAAAAAGUUUGAAACUAAAUUUUUUAGUUUAAACGUGUUUUUCAUUAGAGACCCAGACCUUCCUGCAUGUGGUUGAACAGAGCAAAAUCGUUUAUCAGACGACAUCUUCUAUAAAUUUAUCCAGUUCACGGCUGGAAUUUGUUGCAUCUCUCACAGCAUCAGUGGGCUUCUGUGAUUUUUUAACUCCAUUGAAGAUGGUUGAACGCGCAGAUAGCACAUGAGAAAUCAUUUCCAUCGACGGCCUGAGUUGGGGAUUAGCUGAUACGCAAGCGGCUGCAAGCUUUAGGAUGGUCAGAAGUUCAUCCUCAAUGCCUGGCGUGGGCGUUGGCAGGCGUGGAUCCAACAUAUUCUUUAAAACUACUGAGAUCUCUAUGUCGACCAGAGCUAAUAGAGAUGAAAGGCUAUCACCCGGAUGUCUUCCUUUGAUCACCUCGAUGGACAAUAUUCCAAAGCUAUACACAUCGCAUUUCUCCGUCACCUUCAUUGUGUAAGCAAGCUCUGCACAAAGGAGAUAUAUGUGUUAGUACAAGACAUUGCUAUGGCUAAACUGUCAGAUCAAGAAUUGAUGUUAGAAAUUAACCUGGAGCUACAUAACCAUAUGUGCCAACGACUGCACUCCAGUUUGAUGUGUCCAGCUUAAGAAGCUUAGCCGUGCCAAAGUCAGAAACAUGCCCCUCAUACUCUGAAUCAAGCAGAAUGUUGUUACUUGAAAUAUCUCGAUGAACGAUUGGAGGGAUACAAUCAUGGUGCAUAUAAGAUAAAGCAUGAGCCACGCCUUUUACGAUAUUCACCCUCUUGUCCCAGUCUAACUCUUUAGCUUCUUUUUCAUUGCUCAAGAUUGUAGACAAGCUUCCUCUAUCAAAGUACUCAUACACCAAGAAUGAGUGUUGUGUAUGCGAACAAAAGCCCACAAGUUUCACAAUAUUGCGGUGUCGAAUUUCCGUCAAUGCCCUAAUCUCAUUCAAAAAUUCCUUUUGAUAUGUUUGCCCACUAUUAGUCAUUUGAUGGAGCUUCUUUACGGCUACUAUAUCACCAGAUCUUAAUUUGGCCUUGAAGACACUUCCAUAGCCUCCCCUUCCAAUACAAAAAAUCUCAUUAAAAGCCCCGGUCGCUUCCAUGAUGUCUUCAUAUGAAAUCAUUCCAUCGUACUUUGAUAGAGAAAAGACUUCAAUUGUCUUGGGUGCUAGUUCCCCUAUUGGAUGGGACUUCAUUCUACAGAAGAUGAAGAAUAUUCCAAAGAAAAUAAUCAGAAGAAUUACUCCUAGCAAUGGGAACACAAUAAGAAACACUCCACCUCCCGCCGGAGAGCUUUCCCUAUCCACCACCACUUGAUCACAGGGCUCAAGUCCUUCAACAUUUCCACACAAUCCAUUGUUGCCUUGAAAUGAUUCUUUUGUUGCAUUUUGGAAUGCCGUUGUGUUGGGGAUGGGACCCUCAAACUGGUUGUAAGAGAUGUCAACCUCCAUCAAACCUCGCAUAUCCUUGAAAGUCUCAUAUAUAAGGCCAGAAAGAUUAUUGUGUGAAAGGUCAAGUUUCACUAGGCUUUGCAACUUGUUGAGUUCAGCAGGGAUCCCACCACUUAACAAGUUAUGACUCAAGUCUAGCUCGGAUAGGUGAAUCAGCAUCCCUAAUUGCCCUGGAAUAUCUUGGCUCAACUGGUUGUUGCUCAAAUUCAAGAAGACCAAGUUUGAAGAAAACCCUAUAGACUGCGGGAUAGACAUGCUUAAUCUAUUCCUAGACAUAUCCAAUUUUUGAAGACCAGGUAAUGAUACAAUCUCGGGACUUAUUCGGCCAGAAAGUCGAUUCCUACUUAGAUUUAAAAUCACCAAAGAAGUCAAUUUUUCAAAUUCUUUCGGGACCUCACCAAGUAAACCAUUGAAAGAAAGAUCAAUUUCACCCAAUCGAGUUGCGUUCCCAAUCUCAGGAGGCAAGCUACCAAUGAUGUUAUUUCCAGCAAUUCUUAGAUGAGUUAAGCGUGUGCAACUCCCCCAGUUUGUUGAGAUUUCUCCAAAGAAUUUGUUGAAACUCAUGUCGAUAAAGUCCAAUUUGGGGUAGACACCAAAGGUUUUGGAUAUGUUUCCAGUGAACUGGUUUUCCUCUAGGCGUACUCUGACUAGGCUUGUGCAAUUUCUCAAGCUUCUAGGGAUAGAACCAAUUAAGUUAUUGUGACUCACUGUAAGGUUUUGGAGCAACCCAUCCCGGCACAAGUUUUUUGGUAAGGAGCCGUUUAACUGGUUGGUAUCCAAUUGCAACACUGCCAAGUUUACUAGAUCACCUAAGGAUUCGGGAAUUGAACCAGAAAGAUGAUUUUGGCGGAGGAACAAAGAUCCUAGGUUGGUCAAGUUACCUAGAGAAGAAGGAAUUAGGCCAGUGAGCUGGUUUGUACUUAGCUCUAAGUCAAGCAUAGAGUGGAGAUUUCCUAUCUCAUCAGGAAUAUAACCCGAAAGCCGGUUACCAUAGAGAUAAAGAAGGGCGAGUUUUGUCAAAUUGCCUAAUGUUAGUGGGAUUGAACCAAUAAGAUUAUUCUCAUUAAGGCACAACUCACUAAGAAGAUUCAAUUUUCCUAGCUCCAGUGGGAUGGAACCAGUAAGCUCAUUAGCAAAUAGGUGUAGCCCUGUCAAUUUGGUUAAGCUCCCCAAAGUGGAAGGAAUCGAUCCUAUUAGGAGGUUGGUGUCCAUGUGGAGCACUUCCAGAUUGGUCAUAUUUCCCAUUUCAGGAGGAAUAGAACCAGAAAGGGAGUUGUUGUAGACAUACAGUUUAGCCAAUUUGCUCAAAUUACCCAAUGAGGAAGGUAUGGGUCCAUUCAACUUAUUCGAAUACAAUGCGACCUCAUUGAGCAACUGCAAUUGCCCGAUUUCUUGGGGAAUAGAGCCAUUUAACUCAUUGGAAACUAGGUGUAGAACUGUUAGUUUCAUUAGAUAGCUGAUUUCCGAUGGUAUUUUCCCCAAGAAUUGAUUGAUAGAUAGGUCGAGAUAGGUGAGAUUGCUCAAGAGACCGAUUUGAGGCGGAAUAUGACCAGAGAGACCAUUUAUACUCAGGUCCAUGAACAUGAGAUGAGACAAAGAUGAGAAUGGAAAUUCGUCUAGCGUACCUCCAACACCAGAGCUAGUGAGAUUUAUCUUGAUCACGCUUGCAGCCCGAUUGCAGGAGAUGCCAUACCAAGCACAUGGAUUCACAGUCGAAUUGGAACCAAUGGCUUUAUGAGGAGUGGGAGUCCACGAAGAGAGGCGAGAAAUUGAAUGGUUACCAAGAUUGGACUUCCACGUGAGGAGAGCUUGGGCUUCCGCAGGGGAAGCAUGAGUAGGAAGUGGAAUGGCAAGGGUAUUGAAAAGGGCAAGGGCAGCCGCAAGGCUCAAGACCCUUUUGAAUUCUAAUGAAGAAUCCAUCGAUUCUUCUUCUCCUUCUUCUCUUUUGGUUCUGGUAAGUUGAUUUUUCUUUUCGCGAGGCAACAAGGGAUGCUUAAAAAGGCCGUGAGAACUCACCUUCCUAUCAUUUUCCAUGUUAAUGGGUAUGCAAUAAAACGACCACUAGCCAUUGAAGACUAAAAAAUGAUAGGGUGAUAUUGGUCUGCACGCCGUAGGAGUAGUCAUCCGAGAACUGACCGGGACGAAUUUUUUAUUCCUUGAAGACUGGAAUUUUCACUUUUGAAGUCUUCAUAGUGACAUUUUUGACUUGGUCAGUCCUCUUAUCGGAAUUGAGCUCCACUCAUUAGUCAUUAUAUGAAAUCGGAGACUUUGACUUUGAUUGAGAAGUCUUCGAGGAAAGUGAUGUAAAGUCGAGGCCUUUCGUGUGGCUUGGGAACACUCAACUUUCCACAAGCUUAGCCCCUAAUUUGUGCUGCACAAAAUUUUGAAUUCAACGCGCAAAAGGAAAGUCUUCUCACCUGGCAUUUAUGAAGUGAAAUUUUGACCCAGUUGACCGUUAUCGCAAAAACGACAAUUGAUGAUCUAGCCAAGUGGCCCCCAAGAGCACGGUUAAAAAAAAUAAAAUAAAAAAUCUAAUGGCAUAUUUGAAGUGGAAAAUUGCUAAAAAUUGGAGCUUGUGUUGAGUUUGGUAUGAUUCGAGUCCAAGUGGGAUUGAGUGUGAGCUGUCAAAAUUGUAUUACAGAAAUAUGGGUCAAUAUGUGUUAUAUUGGUCAAUGUGAAUUAUAUCCAUUUUCUAGCCAUUCACACUUGACCCGAUGCUUUACUAGGAAUAACACUAGAUAAAUGCAAAAGAUUAUUUAUAUCAAUUCAUGGAAGAGCAAAUAUUCACUGAGAGCUUAAAACUUGUCCGAUAUCAAUAAUUUCUCCAAACUCAAUCAACUAAUAUAAAAAUUUAAUGACGAAGUACAAAAACAACGCAUAAAUUUUACAUGCUCAAUGUGGAAAAAAAUUACAUUUCACUCAAAACUUUCACUAUUCACAAGAAUAGCAGAAUAUACAAUAGUUCAUCUCUAGUCAUAUAGUUAGAGAAUAAACACAUCAACAAUACAACGAUAUAUCAUUAGUGGAUUAACAAAAGAACUAAGAAAACUCUAAUCACUACUAGAGAAAUUGAAAGACAAAUCAAAGAAGGAUCUCAAUAAUGAAUUGAUCUCACGAACGACAUAUUAAAAUUUUGGCUGAUUCUGACAAGAUUUCACCUUUAAAUUUGAACUGGCUCUUCUCCUUUCAACCUUGGUCUCUCUCCCUCUUUUAUUUCUCUUUUUAUGCGAACGCUCAUUUCCCUCUUUUCACUAUAAAAAACAUCCCAGCAUAAUUUUUAUUUCUUUUUCUUUAAAGAUGUGCUGGGCCCCAUGAGGCGGACCCAGCCCAUCAUUAAGUAGGAAGUGCACUUGUUGGAAUGACUCAGACCGAAAAUGGCUAGGGAAGGUAGAAGCAUUAGCACUAUCUUGAAGCUUUGCGAAUACUUGGCCAUUUUUCUUGUUUGAUCAGGAAGUCGUUUUUUCCCAGCUUCACGAGGAUUCCUCGAUCUUAUUUUCCCGUGAUUUUCCUAUUUGACGAUGGAAAUGCAUUGGCAAGCAUUAACUGGUUGAAUGCAUGUCGGUAUAUGCCAUUUGGCAUAAUGAAAGUGUUGACAAUUCCCACCGGGAGGUUCUUUCUUGACAUUGCAUAUUUCCUGUCGCCUUUCUUCUAAGCGGUAGAAUCGAGAAUUGAGAUGAGCUGACACAAUUACUUGAGAAGGUUGGGUGAACAUAACUCAUUGUCUCGCUAUGCCUUGAUUCGAAUAGCUGUUACUUCAUUGUUUUCCGUCUGUACCGUUCAUUAAUUAAGUUUUCUGAAACUUUGAUUCUACGAUGUUGGAUUUUACGUAAGAGUGAUUGAGGAUGGGGUCAAACAUUGGUCUACUAUAGUUUCCUUUUUCAAAUUCACAAAACUCUGAGCUCUCAGAGACUAAGUCUACUGUUUCACGGAUGAAGUCUAUGAGGGGACAUUGUUCUUACAUGUUUUGCACAAAGCUGUUUUCCAGAUCUAAGUUCCCUGUUUCGAAGAACAGAAAAGAUGUUUGAUGAUGAGCUAAACCCAAAUGAGUUCUUCUUGUAUUUGACAAUGAAGCUAGGCCAAGCAAAAACAGACCAUCAUGAUUUAAAACUACCAAGAUUUUGGAGGGCUAGAUGUAGUCUACCUUAUACGCUCUUGAAAUGAAAGGUAGUGCCAGAACAGAACUUGCAUUCUUUCUGAAAUCAUGGAGAAUCUCCUCUUGAGAUGAAACGAUGACCUGUGAUCUUCCUAAUUUGAGCACUUGAAGUUUGAAUCUCUGAUGAAAAUGAAGUCCGGAUUUCUCUAUUUUGGACAAUCAAGAGCUACUGAACUUCUGUUAACGACUCAUGCUAUGGCAACAUGCACAGAACGCUCUGAAUAGGAACUGAUUGAUUGCCCUCUCUGUCAUGAUACACAGUUGCAGUAAUUGUACAAAACCCAAAAUUAUGGUGGAUGGCCACGAUUAGGGACAACGAUCGAAUGCACUCUGAAAAGAUCCAUGAUUGCAACUCUUCUGCAUGUAAGUAGAUUUUACAUCUAUAUAAAUCCGAACAUAUAGAAGGACUAAUAAUGAUCAAGAGUUUAGAGACUUCAUAUAAAUGUUCCAUUUCAACCUUACAUGGACAUUUCGGUUUCAAGAUAACAAUACUGGAUACAUCAUCAACUUUACAUAGAUACAAAAGUUAUAUUUUCUAAGUCUAACUUGACAUGGAUACAUCGACUCCGAAGACACUAGUCUGAUUAAGACUUGAUAAAGAAACAGUUUGAAAUAUCACUUGAGUUCAGUUGUUGUCUCUGCAAACGAAACUAGAUGCCAGAAUGUUGUAGUUUUGCUUCUUCCAAAGCACAAGGCAGUUCUAUACUUGGGCAUGAACGAAACAUAAACCGCAUCCUCAAGCUGAUAUGAAACACUCAACUUUGGUUGACGGUCAAAAUAUUUAUCCUAAAUGCAAAUAAAGUAAACACAUAAGUGAGGGAAACAAUAUAUUGAAAAAAGUUUGAGACUUAAUCAAUUAUUUCAAGCGACUCUGUUUUUCAUUAAAGAUCUUACACCUUCUUGCAUGUGGUAGACAGAGCAACAUCAUCAGAUGAUAUCUUCUAUGAAUUGAUCCGGGAAUUGGCUUGAAGCUAUGGUAUCGCUCACAGAAUUGGCGGCUGUCUCAAAAUAUUGAACGCCACGGAAAGUGGUUGAACAAGCUGAUAGUCUCUGAGAAAUUGUGUCCAUCGACGGCCUGAGUUGGGGAUUAGCAGAUAAGCAAGCGACUGCAAGCUUGAAGAUGGUCAGAAGUUUAUCCUCAAUGCCUGGCGUGGGCGUUGGCAGGCGUGAAUUCAAUGUAUUCCUCAAAACAACUGAGAUCUCCAUGUCGACCGGAGCUACUAGAGAUGAAAUGCUCUCACCCAGAUGUCUUCCUUCGAUCACCUCGAUGGCCACUAUUCCAAAGCUAUACACAUCACAUUUCGUUGUCACCUUCCUUGUGAAAGCAAGCUCUGCACAAAGAGGGUGAUGUAUGUAUUAGCACGAAGACAUUGCUAUAGAUCAACCUUCAUAUCAAGAGUUGAUUUCAGAGUUUACCUGGAGCUACAUAACCAUAUGUGCCGACAACUGCAGUCCAAUUUGAUGUAUCCAGAUUAAGAAGCUUAGAUGUGCCGAAGUUAGAAACAUGCGGCUCAUACUUAGAAUCAAGCAGACUGUUGUUACUGGAAAUAUCCCGAUGAAUGAUUGGAGGGUUACAAUCAUGGUGCAUAUAAGAAAGAGCAUGUGCCAAGAGUUUUCUUUAGAGAAACAUUAUGACUGUGAUUAUGAGGUAGUAACUUGGGGAGCAAGAAGCAUUAUGACUAUCUUGAAACUAGUCUGCCUUCACGCUCUUGAAGUAUAAGAUAGUAACAAAACAAAACUUGCAUUCUUUUCCUUCAUGACAAAUGCUACAAAUGUUCUACUAAGUCGAGUCUCUAUCACCCAUAGGCGAAUUAGACAGAAUGAGUGGGUAGCUAAGGGUGAGACAAAGCAUUGUACCAUAGAAUCUCCACUCCAGACAAAAAGAUGAUCAAUGAUCUUCGUAAUUUAAGCACUUUUACAUGGUAUUGGAACCAAUGCCAUUUCUUUCAUAUAAGUGCAUUUACGUAAGAGGGUGUAUUGUAAUGUCUUCUUACACCACUUAAUAACAUUUAAUAAACAUAGUUGAUGACUGCGAUUAGAACGUUUAGUUUCUGAUUGAACGCACUUUGAAAAGAUGCAUGAUUGAAACUCUUCUGCACGUCAGAGGAUUGGUUGAUGGCCGCGAUUAGAACGUUUAGUGUCUGAUUGAACGCACUUUGAAAAGAUGCAUGAUUGAAACUCUUCCGCAUGUCGAAGAAUUUUAUAUCUACACAAAUCCACAAUGACCCUUAUAAAAGGAGUAACAAAGGACAAGAUUUCAGAGACUUAAUAUAAAUAUUCCAUUGCGACUAUUUUGCUCUCGAGAUGAUAACACUAGAUACAUAAGCAACUUUACACUGACACGAAAGUCAUUUUUUCUAACUAUAACUAGACAUGGGUACAUAGCUUUUGCUGCGACGACACUAGUCUGAGUAAGACUAGAUACAUAAAUAGUUUGAAAUAUCUCGAGUUCAGCUGUUCUCUCUACAAAUGAAACUAGAUGCUAGUAACUUCAGGGUUUGCUCCUUCCAAAAGAAAAGGCAGUUCUAUACUUACUUGGGCAUGAAGGACACGUAGUACUCAUCCUCAUGCUGGUACGCGCUAAACAUGUAAUUUUGUUUCCGGUCAAAAUAUUUCUCCAAAAUGCAAAUAAAGUACACAAAAUAGUGAGAGAAACAAUAAAUUAGAAAAAAGCUUGAAACUAAAUUAUUCAGUUUAAACGUGUUUUUCAUUAGAGACCAGACCUUCCUGCAUGUGAUUGACAGAGCAAAAUCGUUUAUCAGACGACAUCUUCUACAAAUUUAUCCAGCUCACGGCUGGAAUUUGUUGCAUCUCUCACAGGAUCAGUGGGCUCCUGUGAUUUUUUAACUCCAUUGAAAAUGGUGGAACGCGCAGAUAGCACAUGAGAAAUCAUUUCCAUCGACGGCCUGAGUUGGGGAUUAGCAGAUACGCAAGCAACUGCAAACUUUAGGAUGGUCAGAAGUUCAUCCUCAAUGCCUGGCGCGGGCGUUGGCAGGUGUGAAUCCAACAUAUUCUUUAAAACUACUGAGAUAUCCAUGUCGACGAGAGCUAAUAGAGAUGAAAGGCUAUCACCCGGAUGUCUUCCUUUGAUCACCUCAAGGGCCAAUAUUCCAAAGCUAUACACAUCACGUUUCUUUGUCACCUUCAUUGUGUGAGCAAGCUAUGCACAAAGGAGAUAUGAGUGUUAGUACAAGACAUUGCUUUAGUUAAACCGUCGGAUCAAGAGUUGAUGUUAGAAAUUAACCUGGAGCUACGUAACCAUAUGUGCCAACGACUGCACUCCAGUUUGAUGUGUCCAGCUUAAGAAGCUUAGCCAUGCCAAAGUCAGAAACGUGCCCCUCGUACUCCGAAUCAAGCAUAAUGUUCUUACUUGAAAUAUCUCGAUGAACGAUUGGAAGGAUACAAUCAUGGUGCAUAUAAGAUAAAGCAUGAGCCACACCUUUUACGAUAUUCACCCUCUUGUUCCAGUCUAACUCUUUAGCUUCUUCUUCAUUGCUCAAGAUUGUAGACAAGCUUCCUCUAUCAAAGUACUCAUACACCAAGAAUGAGUGUCGAGGAUCCAAACAAAAGCCCACAAGUUUCACAAUAUUGCGAUGUCGAAUUUCCGUCAAUGCCCUAAUCUCAUUCAAAAAUUCCUUUUGAUCCGUUUGCCCACUAUCAGCAGUUUGAUGGAGCUUCUUUACGGCUACUAUAUCGCCGGAUCUUAAUUUAGCCUUAAAGACACUUCCAUAGCCUCCCCUUCCAAUACAAAAAAUCUCAUUAAAAGUCCCGGUGGCUUCCAUGAUGUCUUCAUAUAAAAUCAUGCCAUUGUACUUUGAUAGAGAAAAGACUUCAAUUGUCUUGGGUGCUAGUUCCCCUAUUGGAUGGGACUUCAUUCUACAGAAGAUGAAGAAUAUUCCAAAGAAAAUAAUCAUAAGGACUAAUCCUAGCAGAGGGAACACAAUAAGAAACACCUUGCCUCCCACUAGAGAGCUUUCCCUAUCCACCACCGUUUGAUCACAGGGCUCAAAUCCUUCAACAUUUCCACACAAUCCACCAUUGCCUUGAAACAAUUCUUUUGUUGCAUUUUGGAAUGCCGUUGUGUUGGGGAUGGGACCCUCCAACUUGUUGUAAGAGAUGUCCACCCCCAUCAAAACUUGCAUAUCCUUGAAAGUUUCAUAUAUAAGAUCAGAAAGAUUAUUGUGUGAAAGGUCAAGUUUCACUAGGCUCUGUAGCUUGUUGAAUUCAACUGGGAUCCCGCCGCUUAACAAGUUAUGACUCAAGUCUAGCUCGGAUAGGUGAAUUAGCAUCCCUAAUAGCCCUGGAAUAUUUUGGCUCAACUAGUCAUUGCUUAAAUACAAGAAGACCAAGUUUGAAGAAAACCCUAUAGUCUGCGGGAUAGACAUGCUUAAUCUAUUCCUGGACAAAUCCAAUUUUUGAAGACCACGUAAUGAUACAAUCUCGAGACUUAUUUGGCCAGAAAGUCGGUUCCUGCUUAGAUUUAAAUUAACCAAAGAAGUCAAUUUUCCAAAUUCUUUUGGAACCUCACCAAGUAAACCAUUGAAAGAAAGAUCAAUUUCACCCAAUCGAGUCGCGUUCCCAAUCUCAGGAGGCAAGCUACCAGUGAUGUUAUUUCAAUCAAUUCUUAGAUUAGUUAAGCGUGUGCAACUUCCCCAAUUUGUUGAGAUUUCUCCAAAGAACUUGUUGAAACUCAUGUCGAUAAAGUCCAAUUUGGGGUCAACACCAAAGGUCUUGGAUAUGUUUCCAGUGAGUUGGUUUUCCUGUAGGCGUACUCUGACUAGGCUUGUGCAAUUUCUCAAGCUUCUAAGAAUAGAACCAGUUAAGUUAUUGUGACUCGCUGUAAGGUUUUGGAGCAACCCACCCCGGCACAAAUUUUUUGGUAACGAGCCGUUUAACUGGUUGGUAUCCAUUUCCAACACCACCAAGUUUACUAGAUCACCUAAGGAUUUAGGAAUUGAACCAGAAAGGUGAUUUCGGCAGAGGAACAAAGAUCCCAGGUUGGUCAAGUUACCCAGAGAAAAAGGAAUUGUGCUAGUGAGCUGGUUUUCACUUAGCGCUAAGUCAAGCAUAGCGCAGAGAUUUCCUAGCUCCAGUGGGAUGGAACCACUAAGCUCAUUAGCAAAUAGGUGUAGCUCUGUCAAUUUGGUUAAGUUCCCCAAAGUGGAAGGAAUCGGUCCUGUUAGGAGGUUGGUGUCCAUGUGGAGCACUUCCAGAUUUGUCAUAUUUCCCAUUUCAAGGGGAAUACAACUAGAAAGAGAGUUGUUGUAGACAUACAGUGUAGCCAAUUUGCUCAAAUUACCCAAUGAUGAAGGUAUGGGUCCAUUCAACUAAUUCGAAUACAAUGCGAUCUCAUUGAGCAAAUACAACUACCCGAUUUCUUGGGGAAUGGAGCCAUUUAACUCAUUGGAAACCAGGUACAGGACUGUUAGUUUCAUUAGAUGGCUGAUCUCCGACGGAAUUUUCCCCAAGAACUGAUUGAUAGAGAGGUCGAGAUAGGUGAGAUUGCUCAAGAGACCGAUUUGAGGUGGAAUAUAGCCAGAGAGACUAUUUAUACUCAAGUCCAUGUCCAUGAGAUGAAACAAAGAUGAGAAUGGGAAUUCGUUGAGCGUACCUUCGACAAGGGUGCUAGUGAGAUUUAUUCCGAUCACGUUCCCCACCAGAUUGCAAGAUAUGUCAUACCAAGCACAUGCACUCAUAGUCGAGUUGGAACCAGUGGCGUUAUGAGGAGAGGGAGUCCAUGAAGAGAGGGAAGAAUUUGAAUGGUUGCCAAGACUGGACUUCCACUUAAGGAGGGCUUGGGCUUCUGCAGGGGAAGCAUGAGCAGGAAGUGGAAUGGCAAAGGUAGUGAAAAGGGCGAGGGCAGCCACAAGGCUCAUGACCCUCUUGAAUCCUGGUGAAGGAUCCAUAGAUUCUUCUUCUCCUUCUCUUGUUUUGGUUUGGGUAAGUUGGUUUGUCUUUCCCUGGGGCAACGAGCGAUGCUUGAAUAGGCGGUGAAAACUCACCUUCCUAUCAUUUUCCAUGGUAAUGGGUAUGCAAUAAAAUGGCAACUAAUCACUGGAGACUAAGGAUGCGUUUGGGAGUGGCAUUUAAAAGCCACUUUGAACACCCAAAACUCAUUGGGCCAAUUUAUGGGUGUUUGGUAAAAAAAUUUCAAACCCUACUGGGGAAUGCCACCCUUCUCAGCGUGCAGAGCUAAGGGCCUAAAAUAAAAUAAAAAAUAAAAAAUUCUUCCCAAAUUGUCCUCGUUGGUUUUUCGUUUUUUCGGUUUUGCCUUGACUAUUCAUCUUCUUCUUUGUGAGCAAUUGUUGACGAAGAACAGGUAGUUGCUGGCAAUCGUCACGCCCACCACGUCGCGACCUCUUAUCAAGAGGUCACCGCGUAGGUCGUGACCAAAUGUGGUUGCCAGGCGUGACCUUCAGGCAACCUCCGCUAAGGUCGUGACCUCCGCUAAGGUCACGACCUUCGCGCGACCUUCUGGUCGCAGAUUUGGUCGCGACCUAUUUGGUCGCAAAUCUAGUCGCCAUCUGCAAACUUCACACUGCGACUAGAUGGGUUGCCGACCGCGACCUUUAGGCGACCUCCGCAAAGGUCGCAACGCAGAUUUGGUCGCUACCAAAUCUGGUCACCAACCGUGACCUUUAGGCGACCUCCACGAAGGUCGCGACCUUCACGCUGCAACUAGAUGGGUCGUCGGCCACAACCUUCAGAUGACCUCUACGAAGGUCACGAUGCAGAUUUGGUCAUCGGCCAUGACCUUCAAGCGACCUCCGCAGAGGUUGCGACCUUUGCAUGACCCAUCUGGUCGCCAUGACUCUCGUCGAAUGGCCUGCAUCAGACCAUCCGCCCUUCGUCAGACCGCUUGCUCCUCACCGGCGACUUCUUGUUCUUGGCUGGCCAUCUUUUCUUUUUUUCCAAAUACUAUUUUACUCAAAGGUAAUUCACAAAGGACUUUUACAAUACAACUUACCAAACACAUUACAUUUUUAAAAAUACCUUUCACUCAACGACAUUUGUAUUUCCCCGAAAACUUUUCUAAAGGCACCCUAAGAAAAGGUACGUUUAUUUGCGCGGUCCCCCCUAGGGUACCAUCUGGUUUUUCUUUUCCCGAGGCACUGAGCGAUGCUUAAAAAGUUUGUCUGUAGCAUCUAAAAGCUGACUGAACGAAUUUUGGUUCCUUGAAGACUUUGGAAUUUUUUAUUUUGUAGUCUUCGUUGGUGACUUUUCUGACUUGGUCAGUUUCUAUUUCGGAAUUGAGUUCCCCUCGUUAAAAGAAAUCCAGAGACUUUGACAGUCUCUUGGGAAAGUGAUGUAAAAGCCAUGGCCUUAGAUGACCUGUGUGAACACUCAACUUUCCACGCGAUCAAAUCGUAACCUGCGCCACGCAUUAUGCAAUUUUAAGCGCACAAAAGGAAAGUCUACUCACUCGGCAUUAAUGAAGCCAAAUCUCUCCCCCCGCCCCCUCCCCCCCGCGGUUGACCCGUUCUUGUGGAAACGAGAGCACGGUCAACAAAAAAAGGAUAAAGGCACGAAGAUCUUAAAAUUUAUUUAAAAAGUGUAAUUUAAUAUUAAAAAUUUUAAAAAGUAUAAUAAAAUCUUAAAACUUAUCAAGAAAAUAUAAAUAAGUCUUAAAAUUUGUCACAAAAGAACAAUCAUGUCCUAAAAUUUAUAUAAGUGCAAUCAACGGAAAUAUUUGAUGAGACUAGUAUGAUAACUUUUAUGGCUUAAUUAUGCUUUUUGAAAAUUUUUAAAAUUCAAUUGCAAUUUGUGAUAAGUUUUUGAUUCUAUCAUUAUACUUGGGCACGCUUUAGUCUCUACGACAAUUUGGACUUUUGCUAUGGCUCCUACUCCGGUAAUGGUAACUCCUUUCCCUGUCUCUGUACUUGUCGCAAUCAUAUCGUCCCCUGCGGCGACUUCUCCUCCUGUGAUUGCGGUCUCUAUAUUCAUCUCUACACCUAAAAAUCAAUCUGUCUAUCAGUUGCAGUAGAGAAUGGGAGGGAAUCACAUGCGUCAGGCUAAUGACCCUUUUGAAUUCUAGUGAAGUAUCCAUCGAUUCUUCUCCUUCUUCUCUUUUGGUUCUCGUAAGUUGGUCUUUCUUUUCCUGAGGCAGUGGGCGAUGCUUAAAAAGGUUAGGUUGUAGAUAGCAUACGAAACCUGACUAAACGAAUUUUUGGUUCCUUUAAGACUUUGGAAUUUUUUAUUUUGUAGUCUUCGUUGGUGAAUUUUCUAACUUGAUCAGUUUCUAUUUCAGAAUUGAGUCCCACUCGUUAAAUGAAAUCCAAAGACUUUGGCAAAGAUUUCUUUUAGGAAAGUGAUGUAAAAGUCAUGAUCUUGCGUGACCUAUGUGAACACUCAACUUUCCACGGGAUCAAAUCGUAGGUUGCGCCACACAUUCUGCAAUUUUAAGCGCACAAAAGGGAAGGCUAUUCACUCGGCAUUAAUGAAGCAAAAUCUUGCCCCAGUUGACCCGUUCUUGCAAAAACGACAGCCAAUGAUCUAGCCAACUGGCACCGAGAGCACGGCCAAUUUUUAUUUUUUUUUAAAGGAUAAAGGCACCGAAGAUCUUAAAAUUUAUUGAAAAAGUGUAAUUUAAUUUUCAAAAAUUUCAAAAAGUAUAAUAGAAACGAGUCCUAAAAUUUAUCACGAAAAUACAAUCGAAUACUAAAAUUAUAAUAAGUGCAAUUAACAGAAGAAUUUGAUUGGACUAGUAUGACAAUUUUUAUGAUUUAAUAGUACUUUUUGAAAGUUUUUAGAAUACACUAUACUUUUAUGAUGAGUUUUCAAUUCUCGUGAUCAUAUUUGGGCGCCUUUUAGUCUCCACGACGAUUUGGACUUUUGCUAUAGCUCCUGCUCCAAUGACAGUAACUCCUUUCCCUGUCUCUGUGCCUGUUGCGAUCAUUUCGUCCCCAGCUUUUGCUGCGACUUCUUCUCCUGUGAUUGCGUCUCUAUGUUCGUCUCUACACCUGAAAAUCUAUCUUACUAUCAGUUGCAGCAGAGAAUGAGAGGGAAUCACACGCGACACUAAAAGAUACAACCACCACUACUUAAUGGCACGUCAGUGCAAAUUUUAUCCAAUUUACUACGAACGAAGAACAAGGUGCAACAAGCUUGGAUGUCCCCUAAUAACCUGGUUUGGAGCCUGAAAGACCAAAAAGCAGAAUCUAGAAACCAACAACUCAAUGGCAUAAUAGAGAAUAGCUAAGAGAAAUUAGCGAUACCACAUUGAUAACCUACUUGUUAUGGAGGAUCAUAGGACUUUAGGAGUUUACAAUGUCAUGCGCCAAAAUAUUACUUAAGGCGCCAUGUUCACAUUCCUCAUCAAACUAGGACGUGUCAUCAAAUUGCUGAUGAUGGAGUAAGUCCAAGUUUAUAAGCUCUUCAUCCAGCACAAAUUAAUAAAAAUACUUUUGGGACAAGUGCAAAACAAAUUUCAAACGUAUUACCCACAGUCUCAUAGUCAAUUGAAUUUUAAAUCUUUUCAUAAAUAUUCAAUUGGCCGUCAUCUUACUGCCGAUGCCAUUUUUUCCCUAGAAAAUGGAAUUCACCCAAUAUAUAUGAAAUUAACUAUACAUUUUUACUGCAAAGUAAGAGAUAAGACACUGGAUUUUUUAAUUAUAAGAAUCACAUGAAGACUAAAGCUCAAAUAUUCAUUUAAAUUGAGGAAAAAUUGGAGAUUUACGAAAAUUAGUAAAGAUAAUUUAAUGGAUUUAGUAAAGAAGAGAUAAAAUUGAUAAAACUUAUUUGUAGUGUACUUUUUAAAUAUCAAUAGUCUUAUUUUUAUACUUAAACAAGUGAAAAAUUCAAUUAUAACUAACUUGAUUAAAAUUAUCAUACUGUAAAUUUAAUACAAUAUACUUUACAAAAUUUGAAAAUUCAUAUAACUCAUUUAUAGUUUUUUGAGCUUAUAUCUUGUUUUCAAUAUGCUUGAUGAAAAAAGCGAAAGAGAAAUGAGACAUUGAAUAAAGAUCAAAUAUCUUAAAAUAACACACUUGCUCUCGAGGAUCAUAAGCUUUUCUAUUAAAUAAAACCAAGACCCAUCGAGCCUGAACUUCAAUCUCUAAAGCUCAAUCCAUCACGUCUGAAACACGAGGGGGAAGAGCAGAGCACGCGGACACGGCCAAGGGACAGGGCAGCAGGUGGAGGAGGCGGUGAUCAAUUCCUCUGUCCAUAAACACUAGAAAUCGUUCGGGAGGGUGACCAACAUAGAGAGGAGGAAUCGGUUUUGAGGAGAGAGGGGGCGAACGCCGGAUUUUUUCUUACUGGGGGGAGUUGGUUUAGACGCUGGAGAGAGAGCAUUUCUCGGGGGUGAGAAACGAUCUCUCUUCGGAAAGAAAGAUCUAUGAAAUAUGGGCCAGUGAGUUUUGGUACCGAUUAUGUUUAGAUCUAUGAAAACGAGUUUCUAUAAGUGUUUCGAGCAUAUUGUGCCGUUUUGGUAUCAACAUGGAAUUGAGUCGCUGUAUCUAGAUCAUUCGGUUGUGACACCCAUCACCUAGUCGAUGAAAUGUUUAUCAGAAUUUAGUGCAAGUUAACCGUGUUUUUCGUGUAAUCUAAAAGUAUACCAAUUUACUUUUGAGUCCUAGUGAUUUUUCAAUAGCUAAAUCUGUUUCUAAACUCUAGGUUCAUUAUUUUUGUGUUUUAUGUUCUAAUGCCUAUAAAUGAUGGCUACUGGUGAGAGCUUAGCUGGAGUUGAUGUUACAUUUACAGAUUGUUCGUAAAUAAUUCUAGUUUAUCUCCACAUGGUGGUCUUACUUCAUAUUUUCAGUUUCCAUCCAUUCCAGUAAGUCGUAGUAAAGGGGCUAAUGUCUGGCGAACGGCAAUGGUCGAAUAUUAUAGCUGAUGGCAUGGGUCUUGUGAUGAAUCUAGGAAAGAAAAUUGUUAUGGCAUAUGUGAAAGCUUUAUCGAAAUUGAAGCUGAGAAGAAUUAAAAAAACAACAAAUUUGUGUGGAAACCCUUCGGGAAAAAUCAUGGGGAGAGGAAAAGCAAAAUCCACUAUAGAAUUUCAAGGACUACAAAAUGUGACUCUAAUAAACAAAAACAUUUUCGGUCUCAACUUCUUAACCUAAUAACUUGAGAAAAACAAUAUUUAUAUUUCCCCAAGCCUAACAUUGGCCCAUGUCCAUAAAAAAUUCAAGACCUACUCAACAAAUCUUCACCUUGGCUUGAAGUCUACAAAAGCAACAAAAAAUCUUCUCCUCCCAUUAUAGUAAAACUCAAUUGCAACAAACAUUAACUAAAUCCAAGCAAUGCUUGAAUUUGGUAAUAGGCAAAGGCUUUGUCAACAUAUUAGCUGUAUUAUUUUCUGUGCGAAGUUUCAUUUUCUAGUCGUUUUAGUAUGCUUAGUCGUUAUUUUCAUGUGAAACUCAAGGUUGUUGCUUCUAUUUUCAUACUGAACGUUGUGGGUCACUUCUGUUCUUUUGGGCGUUUGGGUCAAACCCUGUUUAGGUGUUGGCUUAAUUACUCGCGUUGAAAUAUUAGCAUGUCGAUUUCCUGGCAAUGUUGGCAUGCUUUUAUGUUGAAUGUUUAGAUGAAUUGUUGGUUUUGCACUUAGAAUGUUGCUGAUUGGAGACACUUGGGCUUGUUAUGCGAAAGUUUUGGUCCCAUUUGAGUAUAAUUUAAGCUUGUACACAAAGCAUGUAAUUCAUUCCUAGUCAAUUUGGCAUGGUUGAAAAUAAUUUGGAUGGGGGAAAUGGGUUAUUUGCAUACCGAACGAUGGUGCAGGCUGUAUAUUGGGCGUGAUUUUGAAUGUAUUGAUGUGAUUGGUGACUUAAUUUCUUAUUUCAUGUAGCUGCAUAGGCACAGGAUUCAUUUCAUAGCACUAUGGUUUAGUUUAGUUUAGGUUUAGGUAGAAUAGAAAAAAUUGGAUUUAAUUUGAACAUAGUUAAUGUGGAUGUUGUCCCAGGGCUUAAUAACAAGGCUAUAUAUAUAUAUAUAUUCUUUGUUUAACACUUCAUUGAAUUUACUUAUGUAUGCUUUAUUUGCCGUUGGCUACAAGUAUCACCUAAAAGGGGGCGUAAAGUUGAUUUCAAGGAAAUUGACAAAUAUUGCAAAAUUAAGACAAUCAAGUUCAAUAUAAGCUAAACUAGGUGAGACAAUGUGUUAAUAUAAGCACAAGCUAGUUAUAUCAAGCAACGUAGUGCAGUGCUUCUAUCAGGCAAUAAGUGAAUAUGAGUAGAGAGAUAAAGAACAAUGCACACAAAGACUAUAGUGGUUCAGUUUGAUAUAAGCUUACGUUCACUCUCCCUCACUAACAACCUAUUGACUGGAUUGCAUUAGAAAUAUUCUUGAAGUUACAGUCUAGGUAGCACCGACACGCGACACGACACGAGUGUCCGACACGAUACGACAUGUCGACACGUCAUUUCUAAAAAAUAGAGAAUUCCGACACGUUGCGACACGUUGAAUAUUAAAUAAAUAUUUUUAUUUUUAAUUAAUUUGAUUCAAAUUCAUAAAUAAUUAAAUAAUUAAAAAAAGCCUAUAAUAUUUAUUUAUUUUAAUUCAUUUAAAAUUCGAAAGAUAUAUUCAUAAUUAAUGCGAAACAUGUUUUUAAUUUUAACAAAAGUUAUUAAUCAAAUUAAUAAUUAAUAAAAAAAAUUAGAAUCAAUUUAUUUAAAUAAAUUCAUGAUUUUUUUAGAAUAAUCAAAAUUUAUCAUUAUUCAAAAUUCAAUACUUUUACUUUUCGAAAUUAUUUUUCAAUUUCAUCUAUUUAAUUUUUCUAUAAAAAGAAUUCCCAAAUCCACUCUCUCUUUUCUUUGUCCAUAUCCCUCCACCCCAAACUUGUUUUACGUUUUUCCCUCCCAAAACCACUGACAGACAGGCUGUCAGCCUCACUUCCCCUCCCCCAAAACUCAAAAGACACGCCAUCGUACCCCCUCUUUUUAUUAUUUUUUAUUUCCUUAUCACAAAUCCUAGCGACCCUCUUUUUCCUCCUCCUUCUACUGCUCGCACAAAAAACACCGGACCAAGACAAACACGCAGACAGCAGACCUCGCUCCCCUCUUUCGCACCUCGUAUCGUUUCUCAGCUUCCGACGUUGGAGCGGACGCGAUGCCGAGGAGGGGGAGAUGCCGUCGCCGUCGCCGCCGCCGCCGCUCGGCGCCCCCCCCCCCCCCGGGCCUCGAUGCCUUCCUCUUCUCUUCCUCUCUCUGGCCGUCUCUCGCCAUCGCUCGCGGCGUCUGCUCCCUCCCCCUCCCUUGCCUCCACCCGGAGUCUUCCGGACACGCAUCGACACGCGUGUCGAGAAAAGUUGACCGCGUGUCGAAAAAUCCGACACGCGGUCAACGCGUGUCCGACCGUGUUCGAGCGUGUCGACGUGUCCGACACGCUCCGACACGUGUCGGACACGACACGGAAGCACGGGCAACGUGUCCGUGCUUCCUAGGUUACAGUAGAAAUAUGCUUGUACUCAAGCACUUCUCCUCAAAGCCAGUGCUGCUUAUACGCAAGCUUAUAGGACUCACUAUCUUACACAUAAGCACAAACUAUAACAUUGCCAACACUUCUCAAAUGUUUACAAUUUUAAAGAUCACAUAAGACAAUGUAAAGCUCUCUCUAAAUUUUAAUUUUAUGAACUAUUGAUCUAUCUCUCUUCUUUGAUAUCUUGAUCUCCUUUUAUGCUUAUGGCCAUCCGGACUUCCCAUUAGACAAUCUUUAAGACAAUCAAUUUCCAAACUAGCCGUUGGACAAUUGUUGAAAAGAUUAAUUAGCCAUUGAAGUCGAUCAAUCGGAAUUCCGUAGAUUUUAUCGCCCAUACAAUCAAAUCUUGGUUUCAAAGAAUAGAGUGCCUCAACUAUCGAAAGUAUCAUGAUUUUAGGAUGAUUGUCAAUCAAUCUAGAUAUCUCAUGAGAUUGAAUACUUCAUGUUGAUAAUAUUUAACAUUGAUAAUCAAUCAAGAUGUUAUAAAUAAGGAAUCCAUAUUAGAUCAUAAGCUGUCAUGGGAUGAGAUAAAAUAUCUUUAAAUAAAAAUCUUGAAGUUCAUAACAAGAUUGUUGUAGUAGGUAGUUUGAGUGUUUUGCUUAUAUUAGCAAUUCUAAUUAUAUUUACCUUUCUAGUUAUAUGAUGAUAUCAGAAUUUUGCAAUAUGUUGCUUAUGUCCCACUUUCGUAAUAUUCUGCUGAUAUCCACUUAGUACACUAUUGAUAUCCACAUGGUCCAUUGCUUAUAUCAAGCUUGUGGCUAAUAUUCAAUUUUCACUCUAGCUUCUAUUUUUUGGUCCUUCCAAGUAUAUUAGCAAUCGUAACUCUACCUCAUCAUUCACCUAUCCAUGGUACCUCCAAGCUUUACCUAGGCUUAUUCACCUUCUACUUAAGUACCUCUAGAUUGUAGACACCUCUACACCCGAUGCCAUGUUCACCAUUGAUAGGAUAGUGUUCUCCUCAUCUUUAGACAAUCUUAUUAGGAUAUCAUAUGCAUGAUGGUUUGUACGUCUUUCACCUAGUAACUCAACCAUUAAACACAUUAGUAACAUUUGAUUAUUUCGUCAUCUUCAAAACAUCACAAGAGAUUUUCCCAACAUUGUUCUUAUCAUCCUGAUUGUGAUUGUCUAUUUUUUUUUUCUCUAAUUGCACAGUCAUGCAUGGACAUCAUUUAAUGGCGUAGAGUUAUAAAAUGGAUAAGGAUCAUGUGAAUUAUUCAAGCAACUAUUCAAUCAACUUAAGGUACCAAAAAGGCACAAUAGUUAGAGAGUUAGUGUAAUCAAGUCCCAAUUUCAAAUAUUUUUUUUGUGUAAAAGUUAGGUAACUCCCAUGCUUCACUUGGCUCCAAACUCACCUCAAUAGGCUAGUGGUGAUGGUUAGUUAUGUUGGACUUCAUAAAUUGAUCCAUUUUAAUUGUAAUUUUCCAACCUCAUGUGAGAUAAAGGUUUGGGAGAAGCCGUGCCAAUUGAGGACUAUCAAAUUUCUACUUGAAAUUAACUCUAAACCUGUCUACCGGGAGGGUUGCAUCAUAGCAACAGGUGUACCCGUGUUACAUUUACCUUAAAUUAAUUUUCGUGUCAUAAAAAUUCCAAAUUGAUAUAUCCAUAUCAUAUUUACUCUAAACUAAUUUUCAUGUUACAGAAAUGCGAAACUAGUAUGCUAGUGACACAUAUUUCCUAAACUAAUUUAUGUCAUAAAAAAUCCCAAAUCAUCAAAAUCUUUGAUUGGGAAAUUUGCCAAAAUAUGUUGAUUUUGCUCUAAGAGCUCCUUCAAGUUUCAGAACUAUGCUAAAAGUCAUAAUUUUUUAUGACUUGAAAAUUAGUUUGGAAUAGAUUUGGCACAAAAGUGUAGUAGUUUUGAAUUUUUUUGCAACACAAAAAUUAAUUUGAAGUAAAUAUGAUACAAGUAUAGUUUAGGAAUUUUUGUUGUUUGGUUAAAUUGUGAUAUAGAUAUACCAAUUUGAGAUUUUAAGUGAUACUAACGGCAGAAUUUAGAAGAAGUUACUAAUUGACUAUGGACUUGAUAAAUUCAUGAUGAUGUUGGUAAUUAUCAACAAUUUAAGUUAUGAGCAAGCUAUCAGUUAUAUAUAUAUAUUUUUUUUUUGCCAACAGUAUUUGAAAAUUAUUGGCAAUUUCAAAAAUCCGCGAACAUGAAAAAAAUCAGUUUUUUGGCCUAGAAGACUCGAGAAUUUUGCAAUUGGUUAACCUUGAAUCUAAAUUUCAAAGAUGCUUUGAGCAUUGAACCUUUAGUGCCCCUGUUCCCUAUUGUAGACAAGUACAAUAGGUGCAUAAGCAAGUCAACAAACUAAUACUGGCCUGCAACUUCAACAAAAAUGUGUAGUGGGACAAUGGCAGAUUUAGAAAUCCUUAAGGACAUACUUCAAUGACACAUUCAAUCAUGCGACCCCAGGCUAAAUGGGCUUCGACAGCUCUUCAUCUUUCUUUCUCCCAUGGAUAAACAAGAGUGGCAUACACUAAACAAGAAAGGGACAUAUAUGGUGUUAAUGAUGUAGGGCGAGUUUUUGAAAGAUCUCUUUUGUGUUCAUCUGUUCAUUCAACCCGAUUUAGAAAUCACACUUAAAAGAAGAAGAUGAUAGCAUAAUAAGAUAAGCAUACAUAUGCAAAAUUGCAUUUCAAUUCGACAAAAAGUGUGUUCCUUGAACUACAUUACACAUAGUUCAAAGGGACCACUUCCCAGCAAUUUCAUCGGCCUCCAUGAAAUUUGAUGGCCUUUUGCUUUGGCUUUCAUCAAUUUGAUUCCAGUCUCCAUCCUUCCCACUUCUCUCACAAGCCAUUUGGGUCUUCCAGUUUCACAUAAAAUGUAUGCUAUGGAGAUUACAAUCACAAUUCCGGAUGCAUAUCUUAUCCCGACUACUUUCCAAUCAAAAUCAUUACCAUGCUUUCUUGUACUAUUCUCUCGAAAGAAUGACCAUGGUGGUGAAGGCAAAGCAUCACUGCGGCAUAUGUUUUGUAAUGGAGUUCCACAUAAACCCGAGUUUCCAUGAAAUGAAUCACUUGUGAAUGUGCUCAAUUGCUUAUCUUGAGGUGUGGGGCCUAUAAGUUGGUUCUCUGAGAGGUCCAAACACCCAAGGAAUGACAAAUCUCCCAGUUCUCUAGGAACCCUCCCACUAAGCUUGUUUGAAGAUAAAUCCAACCAUUCAAGGUUAGUUAAAUUUCCAAGGGUUGAAGGAAUGGAACCCAUGAGGUGGUUGUGAGAAAGGUUGAGCCCUAUGAGAGAUUGAAGAUUUCCAAUAAUACUCGGGAUGUUCCCUUGAAAAGAGUUAACCGAUAAGUCUAUGGUUCUGAACAUGGUCAAGAUCCUCUCUAGCUGAAUCUCCUUUCUUUUCAUGAUCAUAGUCACAGAAUCUUCAUAGUACCUCCAUCCAUAUCCAACUUUCCGCCUCAUGUACAAUGAUUUGUCUUGCGGCUCAUGUGUAUUUUGUCCAUUCAUCAUCCCUUGAAGUUUCGCUAUCUAAUCGGCUGGUAAAGGACCAACAAAGUUGUUGUUUAGAGGUCCAAAAUUCUGCAACUAGGGAAAGAGAUGAGCUGCCCUUGGAAAAUCUAAUAAACUCUUAAAAUUGUUGGACCUCAAAAUAAGAACUUUUAGCUUAGAGAGUUUUCCCAACCAUGCUGGGAACUUAUCCUCUAUCUUAUUGUUGUUGAAAUCCAAAAUUUCCAGCCUUGUACAAUUGACAAGGGAUUGUGGCAAUGCUCCUUCAAAUUGAUUUUCACUCAAGUCAAGAGUGCCCAAGCUACUUCGUUGAGAAAAUGUUCUCGGGAUUGUACCCAAAAGACUAUUCAUUCGCAAGUUCAAAACUGAUAAACCAAUGCUCGAGUUUGAUAAGCACUUGGGUAGGCUACCAACUAACCUAUUAUUACACAAGAUGAGGAUGCUGAGGUUGGUGGCAUUGCAUAUCGAUGAAGGGAUCUUCCCCACUAUUUUAUUAUAUGCAAUAUUGUAGGAAUUUGUGAAUGGUGAUGGAAGUGGAAGUGGACCUUCAAAGUUGUUGUAAGACAAAAUAAUUGUUGACAAUGAGGUUUUUGAGAAACCAAGAAUUGAACCAGAAAGGUUAUUCUAGCGAAGGAACAAAGAUCUCAGGUUGGUCAAGUUACGCAAAGAAUAAGGAAUUAGGCCAAUGAGCUGGUUUGUACUCAGCUCUCAGUCAAGCAUAGCAUGGAGAUUACCUAUCUCAUCGGGAAUUUGCCCUGAAAGCUGGUUACCAUAGAGAUAAAGAAGGGCGAGUUCUGUCAAAUUGCCUAAUGUUGGUGGGAUUGAACCAAUAAGAUUAUUAUCAUUAAGGCACAACUCGCUAAGAAGAUUCAGUUUUCCUAGCUCCAGUGGGAUGGAACCAGUAAGCUUAUUAGCAAAUAGGUGUAGCUCUGUCAAUUUGGUUAAGUUCCCCAAAGUGGAAGGAAUCGGUCCUGUUUGGAGGUUGGUGUCCAUGUGGAGCAAUUCCAAAUUUGUCAUACUUCCCAUUUUAGGAGGAAUAUAACCAGAAAGGGAGUUGUUGUAGACAUACAAUACAGCGCAACCUCAUUGAGCAAAUGCAAUUGCCCAAUUUCUUGGGGAAUGGAGCCAUUUAACUCAUUGGAAACCAGGUGUAGGACUGUUAGUCUAGUUAGAUGGCUGAUCUCCGGCGGUAUUUUCCCCAUGAACCGAUUGAUAGAGAGGUCGAGAUAGGUGAGAUUGCUCAAUAGACCGAUUUGAGGCAGAAUACGGCCAGAGAGACUAUUUAUACUCAGGUCCAUGUACAUUAUAUGAGACAAAGAUGAGAAUGGGAAUUCGUCCAGCGUACCAUCGACAUAGGCACUAGUGAGAUUUAUCCCGAUCACUCUCCCCGCCCGAUUACAGGAGAUGUCAUACCAAGCACAUGGACUCCUAGUCAAGUUGGAACCAGUGGCAUUACAAGGAGAGGGAGUCCACGAAGAGAGGGAAGAAUUUGAAUGAUUGCCAAGAUUGGACUUCCACUUGAGGAGGGCUUGGGCUUCUAUAGGGGAAGCUUGAGCAGGAAGUGGAAUGGUAAAGGUAGUGAAAAGGGCAAGGGCAGCCACGAGGCUCAUUACCCUCUUGAAUUCUGGUGUAUGAUCCAUGGAUUCUUCUUCUCCUUCUCUUGUUUUGGUUCGGGUAAGUGGGUUUGUCUUUCCCUAAGGCAACAAGCGAUGCUUAAAUAGGCGGCGAAAACUCACCUUCCUAUCAUUUUCCAUGGUAAUGGGUAUGCAAUAAAACGGCGACUAACCAGUGGAGACUAAGAAGAGGUACGUUUAUUUGCUUUGUACCCGUAGGGGACCAGGGGUAGUCAUCUAACAGCUGACUAAGACGAAUUUUCGGUUCUUUGAAGACUCUGGAAUUUGUUACUUUUGUAGUCUUCGUAGUGACAUUUCUGAUUUGGUCAGUCCUCUUUUCGGAAUUGAGCCCACCCAUUAUAUGAAUUCGGAGACUUUGACUUUGACUGAGAAGUCUUCGAGGAAAGUGAGGCAAAGUCAGUCAAGGCCUCGCGUGUGGUUUGGGAACACUCACUUUUCCACAAGAUCAGACCCUAAUUUGUGCUGCACAAAAUUUUGAUUUUUAAGCGCAAAAGGAAAGUCUUCUCACUUGGCAUUCAUGAAGCAAAAUCUUGACGCGGUCGACCCUGUUAUUGCAGAAACGACAGCUGAUGAUCUAGCCAAAUGGCCCCUGAGAGCAUGGUCAAAAAUAAAAAUGAAAAAUCUAACGACAUAUUUGAAGUGGAAAAUUGCUAAAAAUUGGAGCUUGGGUUGAGUUGGGUAUGAUUUGAGUCCAAGUGAGAUUGAGUGUGAGCUACCAAAAUUGUAUUACAAAAAUAUGGGUUGAUAUGUGUUAUAUUGGUCAAUGUGAAUUGCAUCCAUUUUCCAGCCAUUCAUACUUGACGUGAUCCUUUACUAGGAAUAAUACCCGAGAAAUCUAAAAGAUUAUUUAUAUCAAUUGAUGGAAGAGCAAAUAUUCACUGAGAACUUAAAACUUGUCCAGUAUGAAUAUUUUCUCCAAAACUCAAUCAACUAAUAUAAAAUUUUAAGGACAAAGUACAAAAACAAUAUAAAAUUUUUAUGUGCUCAAUGUGGAAAAAAGUACAAAUCAUUCAAAACUUUCACUAAUCACCAAAAAUAAUAGAAUAUAUAAUAGUUCAUCUCUAGUCACAUAGCUAGAGAAUGAACAUAUCAACGAUACAACAAUAUAUCAUUAGUGGAUUAACAAAAGAAGCAAGAAAACUCUAACCAUUACUAGAGAAAUUGAAAGACAAAUCGGAGAAGGAUCUCAAUGAUGAUCUUCAUCUCACGAACAUAUAUUAAAAUUUCAGCUGAUUCUGAAUUUGAACUGCCUCUUCUCCUUCGAACCUUGGACUCUCUCCCUCUUUUAUUUAUCUUUUUGUUCGAACACUCAUUUUUCUCUUUUCACUAUAAAAAAAAUUCGACCCUAAUUUUUAUUUCUUUUUCUUUAAAAAUGUGCUGGGCCCCAUGAGGCGGACCCAGCCCAUCGUCGAGUAGGAAGUGCACUUGUUGGAAUGACCCAGACUGAAAAUGGCUAGGGAAGCUAGAAGCAUUAUAACUAUCUUGAAGCCUUGUGAAUACAUGGCCUUUAUCUCUUUUGGCCUGGAAGUCUUUUUUUCUCAGGUUCACGAGGAUUCCUCGAUCUUAUUUUCCUGGGAUUUUCCUAUUUGACAAUGGAAAUGCAUUAGCAAGCAUUAACUCGUGGAACGCAUAUUGGUAUAUGUCAUUUGGCAUAAUAAAUAUGUUGUCAAUUCCCACCGGCUGGUUCCUUCUUGACAUUGCAUAUUUCCUCUUGCCUUUCUUUUAAGCAAUACAAUCAAGAAUUGAGAUGAAUUAACACAACUACGUGAGAAGGUUAGGUGCACAGAAUUCAUUGUCUUGCUACGCCUCUGUCUAUACUAUUCAUGCACAAAGUUUUUUGAAACUUUGAUUUUAUGAUGUUGGGUUUUACUUAAGAGUGAUCGAGGGCGGGUUUUACUUAAGAGUGAUCGAGGGCGGGUUCAAACAUUGGUCUACUAUGGUAUCCUUUUUCAAAUUCUCAAAACUCUGAGUUCUCAGAGGCUAAGUCUAUUGUUUUCCGUAUGAAGUUCAUAAGGAGACGUUGUUCUGACAUGUUUUGCGGAAGGCUAUUUUCCAGAUCUAAGUUCUCUGUUCUGAAGUAUAGAAAAGAUGCUUCAUGAUGAGCUAAAACCCUAAUGAGUUCUACUUGUAUUUGACAAUGGAGCCAGGCCUAGCAAAAACAGCCCAUCAUGAUUUAAAACCUCCAAGAUUUUAGAGGGCUCGAUAUCGUCUACCUUCACGCUCUUGAAAUAUGAGGUAGCGCUAGAACAGAACUUGUAGUCUUUCUGAAACAAUGGAUGAUCUCCUCUUGAGAUGAAACGAUGACCAGUGGUCUUCCUAAUUUGAGCACUUCAAGUUCGAAGCUCUAAUGAAAACGAAGUCCGGAUUUCUCUAUUUUGGACAAUCAAAAGCUACUAAACUUCUAUUAACGACUCAUGCCACGGCAACAUGCACAUAGCACUCCAAAUAGGAAUGGAUUGAUCGCCCUCUCUGUCAUGAUACACGGUUGUAGUAAUUGCAUGAAACCCAAAAUUAUGGUGGAUGGCCACGACUAGGGACAAUUAGUCUCUGAUUGAAUGCACUCUCAAAAGAUCCAUGACUGAAACUCGUUUUCAUGUAAGUCGAUUUUGCAUCUACAUAAAUCCCAAAUAAACAUAUAGAAGGACUAAUAAUCAUCAAGAGUUUAGAGACUUCAUAUAAAUUUUCCAUUUCAUCCUAACAUGGACAUUUCGGUUUCAAGAUAACAACACUGGAUACAUCGUCAACUUCACAUUGAUACAAAAGUAAUUUUUUCUAAGUCUGACUUGACAUGGAUACAUUGACUCCAAAGACACUAGUCUGGUUAAGACUAGACGCAGAAACAGUUUGAAAUAUCACUUGAGUUCAGCUGUUGUCUCUACAAACGAAAGUAGAUGCCAGAUUGUUCUAGUUUUGCUUCUUCCAAAACAGAAGGCAGUUCUAUUCUUGGGCAUGAACGAAACAUGGUCCGCAUCCUCAUGCUGAUAUGAAACACUCAACUUUGGUUGACGGUCAAAAUAUUUACCCUAAAUGCAAAUAAAGUAAACACAUAAGUGAGGGAAACAGUGUACUGAAAAAAGUUUGAGACUUAACCAAUUAGCUCAAGCGACUCUAUUUUUCAUUAAAGAUCUUAAACCUUCUUGCAUGUGGUUGACAGAGCAACAUCAUUUAUCAGACAAUAUCUUCUACGAAUUGAUCCGGGAAAUGGCUUGAAGCUGUUGUAUCUCUCACAGGAUUGGCGGUUGUCUCUGAAUAUUGAACGCCGUGGAAAGUGGUUGAACAAGCUGAUAGUCUCUGAGAAAUCAUGUCCAUCGACGGCCUGAGUUGGGGAUUAGCAGAUAAGCAAGCGACUGCAAGCUUGAAGAUGGUCAGAAGUUUAUCCUCAAUGCCUGGCGUGGGCGUUGGCAGGCGUGAAUCCAAUGUAUUCCUCAAAACAACUGAGAUCUCCAUGUCAACUGGAGCUACUAGAGAUGGAAUGCUCUCACCCGGAUGUAUUCCUUUGAUCACCUCGAUGGCCACUAUUCCAAAGCUAUACACAUCACAUUUUGUCGUCACCUUCCUUAUGUAAGCAAGCUCUGCACAAAGAGGGUGAUAUAUGUAUUAGCAUGAAGACAUUGCUAUAGCUCAACCUUAAGAUCAAGAGUUGAUUUUAGAGUUUACCUGGAGCUACAUAACCAUAUGUGCCAACGGCUGCAGUCCAAUUUGAUGUAUCCAGAUUAAGAAGCUUAACCAUGCCGAAGUCAGAAACAUGCGCCUCAUACUUAGAAUCAAACAGAAUAUUGUUACUAGAAAUAUCCCAAUGAACAAUUGGAGGGUUACAAUCAUGGUGCAUAUAAGAAAGAGCAUGUGCCAUGCCUUUUAUGAUAUUCACCCUCUUGUUCCAGUCCAACUCUUUAGCUUCUUCUUCAUUGCUCAAGGUUGUAGACAAGCUUCCUUUGUCCAAGUACUCAUACACUAAGAAAGAGUGUUGUGGAUGCGAACAAAAGCCCUCAAGUUUCACAAUAUUGCAGUAUCGAAUUUCUGUCAAAGCCCUAAUCUCAUUCAGAAAUUACUUUUGAUCCGUUUGCCCACUAUCAACCGUUUGAUGGAUCUUCUUUACAGCUACUAUAUCACCCGAUCUUAAUUCAGCCUUGAAGACACUUCCACACCCCCGCCCCGGCCCCCCAAUACAAUAAAUCUCAUCAAAUGCCCCGGUGGCUUCUAUGAUGUCUUCAUAUAAGAUCUUUCCAUCGUACUUUGAUAGAGAAAAGACUUCAGUUGUCUUGGGUGCUAGUUCCGCUGUUCGAUGGAUCUUCUUUCUACGAAAAAUGAAGAAUAUUCCAAAAUAAAUAAAUAGAAGAACUGCUCCUAGUAGAGGAAACACAAUAAGAAACACUCUACCUCUAGCCCGAGAGUUUUCCCUAUCCAUCACCGCUUAAUUACAUGGCUCAAGUCCAUCGACAUUUCCACACAAUCCAAUGUUGCCUUCAAACAAAAUGUCAUGUAAAGUACAAAAAUGAUACAAAAAUUUUACAUGCUCAAUGUGGACAAAACUACAGAUCGUUCAAAACUUCCACUAAUUAUCAAGAAUAGCAUAAUAUUCAAUAGUUCAUCUCUAAUCACACGGCUAGAGAAUGAACACAUCAACAAUACAACACUAUAUCAUUAGUAGAUUAACAAAAGAAGUAAAAAAAACUCUCACAAAAAUCGAAAGACAAAUCUGAGAAGGAUCUCAAUGAUGAUCUUGAUCUCACAAACAACAUAUUAAAAUUUCAGCUGAUUCUAACAAAAUUUCACCAAUAAAUCUGAACUGCCUCUUCUCCUUCAAACCUUGGUAACUCUCCCUCUUUUAUUUCUUUUUUUGUUCAAACGGUCAUUUUUCUCUUUUCACCAUAAAAACAUUCCACCCUCAUUUUUAUUUCUUUCUUUUUAAAGAUGUGCUGGGCCCCAUGAGGCGAAUUCAGACCGUCAUCAAGUAGGAAGUGCACUUGUUGGAAUGACUCAGACUGAAAAUGGCUAGGGAAGCUAGAAGCAUUAUGACUAGGGGUGUGCAAAAGAACCGAGACCCGCCGAACCGCCCGAAACCGAUGGUUCUUGAAGGAACUGGUCCGGUUCCCGAAUCCAAUUUAUGGGAACUGGUGGGUACCGAUUCAGUUCCCGGUUCCAUAGGCAGAUCCGCCCACCCAAACCGGACCAAUCAUUUUAUUAUAAUAUAUUAAUUUCUAAUAUUAAAAUAAAAUUUUAAUUACUAAUUAGCAAACCAAAAUUUUAGGGCUCCAUUUCCUCUCAUAGUUUCCAUGUUUUUACAAGAAUUUAGUAAAGUGUGUAAGCUGCCUUUCAGCAACUUAACAAAUGGCUCCUUCAAAGGAUACUUCCGGGACUCACAUAGGACACUGUGUUCAAGAAUAAGUGAAGUAUCGGUGGAAUUGUUUCUGCAGAAAGAAUUCAGUAAAGCAAAGGUUAUAAGAGAAUGAGCAUUGUUAGGAAAUAAAGGAAAAAACGAUCUACAUAUGACAAUCAUCCAAAAUCUUGAACUUAAAGAAUAUUUUAGAUUUCAACUGAAAUGAUUCAAAAAUAGGAAAAAAAAAACUAUUUCUCUUCUUUGGUAGUGUUUUCCAAUAAAAUAAAGAAAAAUGGUACUAUUAAUUAAGCCGGUUCGGUUUUUAAAAAAAUAUAUAUUACUUGAUAUGAAGAGUACUCACGGCAGAAUUUGGAAAACAAUAUUAUUAUUGACGAGAACGGUCCCAUGGAUCCACCCGGGAACCAAACCGGACUGGCAAUCCGGUUCUCAGGUGGAUCCAUAUAACUAAUGAGCGGUUCUCGGUUCCAAUUUUUCGAAACCGAUCCUUAUUGGGCGAUUCCCAGUUCUAGGCCGGGAACUACCCAUCCGGACCAUGCAUACCCCUAAUUGUGACUAUCUUGAAGCCUUGUGAAUACAUGGCCAUUUUUCUCUUUUGAUCUGGAAGUCAUUUUUUCUCAGGUUCACGAGUAUUCCUCAAUCUUAUUUUCCUAUUUGACAAUGGAAAUGUAUCGGCAAGCAUUAACUCGUGGAAUGCAUAUUGGUAUAUGCCAUUUGGCAUAAUGAAAAUGUUGACAAUUCCCACCGGGUGGUCCUUUCUUGACAUUGCAUAUUUCCUGUUGCCUUUCUUCUAAGCAGAACAAUCAAGAAUUGAGAUGAAUUGACACAACUACUCGAGAAGGUUGGGUGCACAUAACUCAUUCUCUCGCUACACCUUGAUUCAAAUAGCUGUCCCUUCAUUGUUUUCUUUUAUACUAUUCAUUGGCGUAAGUUUUUUGGAACUUUGAUUUUACGAUGUGGGGUUCUACACAAGAGUGAUCGAGGGUGGCGUCAAACAUUGGUCUACUAUGGUUUCCUUUCUCAAAUUCACAAAACUAUGAGCUCUCAGAGGCUAAGUCUAUUGUUUUCCAUAUGAAGUUUAUGAGGGGACUCUGUUCUGACAUGUUUUGCGCAAGGCUAUUUUCCAGAUGUAAGUUCUCUGUUCUGAAAAAUAGAAAAGAUGGUUGAUGAUGAGCUAAAACCCAAAUGAGUUCUACUUGUAUUUGACAAUGGAGCUAGGCCUAGCAAAACCAGCCCAUCAUGAUUUAAAACCUCCAAGAUUUUGGAGGGCUGGAUAUCAUCUACCUUCACGCUCUUAAAAUGUAAGGUAGCGCUAGAACAGAACUUGUAGUCUUUCUGAAACAAUGGAUAAUUUCCUCUUGAGAUGAAAUGGUGAUCAGUGAUCUUCCUAAUUUGAGCACUUCAAGUUCGAAGCUCUAAUGAAAACGAAGUCCGGAUUUCUCUAUUUUGGACAAUCAAAAGCUACUGAACUUCUAUUAACAACUCAUGCCAUGGCAACAUGCACAUAGCACUCCGAAUAGGAACGGAUUGAUCGCCCUCUGUCAUGAUACACGGUUGUAGUAAUUGCAUGAAACCCAAAAUUAUGGUUGAUGGCCAUGAUUUGGAACAAUUAGUUUCUGAUUGAAUGCACUCUGAAAAGAUCCAUAAUUGAAACUCUUCUACAAGUAAGUCGAUUUUGCAUAUACAUAAAUCAAAAAUAAACAUAUAGGACUAAUAAUCAUCAAGAGUUUAGAGACUUCAUAUAAAUGUUCCAUUUCAUCCUUACAUGGACAUUUCGGUUUCACGAUAACAACACUGGAUACAUCAUCAACACUUUACAUUGAUACAAAAGAAAUACUUUCUAAGUCUAACUCGACAUGGAUACAUUGACUCCAUAGACACUAGUCUGGUUAAGACCAGAUACAGAAACAGUUUGAAAUAUCACUUGAGUUCAGCUGUUGUCUCCACAAACGAAACUAGAUGCCAGAAUGUUCUAGUUUUGCUUCUUCCAAAACAAAAGGCAGUUCUAUACUUACUUGGGCAUGAACGAAACAUAGUCCGCAUCCUCAUGCUGAUAUGAAACACUCCACUUUGAUUGACGGUCAAAAUAUUUAUCCUAAAUGCAAAUAAAGUAAACACAUAAGUGAGGGAAACAAUAUAUUGAAAAAAGUUUGAGAGUUAAUCAAUUAGUUCAAGUGACUCUAUUUUUCAUUAAAGAAGAUCUUAGACCUUCUUGCGUGUGGUUGACAGAGCAACAUCAUUAAUCAGACGAUAUCUUCUACGAAUUGAUCCAGGAAAUUGUUUGAAGCUGUUGUAUCUCUCACAGGAUCAGCGGCUGUCUCUGAAAAUUGAACGCCAUGGAAAGUGGUUGAACGAGCUGAUAGUCUCUGAGCAAUCGUGUCCAUCGACGGCCUGAGUUGGGGAUCAGCAGAUAAGCAAGCAAUUGCAAGCUGGAAGAUGGUCAGAAGUUUAUCCUCAAUGCCUGGUGUGGGUGUUGGCAGGCGUGAAUCCAAUAUAUUCCUCAAAACAACCGAGAUCUCUAUGUCGAUUGGAGCUACUAGAGAUGAAAAGCUGUCACCCGGAUGUCUUCCUUUGAUCAACUCGAUGGCCACUAUUCCAAAGCUAUAAACAUCACAUUUCUCCGUCACCUUCAUUGUGUAAGCAAGCUCUACACAAAGAGGAUGAUAUAUCUAUUAGCACGAAGACAUUGCUUUAGCUCAAUCUUCGAAUCAAGAGUUGAUUUUAGAGUUUACCUGGAGCUACGUAACCAUAUGUGCCGACGACUGCAGUCCAGUUUGAUGUAUCCAGCUUAAGAAGCUUAGCCGUGCCAAAGUCAGAAACAUGCGCCUCGUACUCAGAAUCAAGCAGAAUGUUGUUACUGGAAAUAUCUCGAUGAAUGAUUGGAGGGUUACAAUCAUGGUGCAUAUAAGAAAGAGCAUAUGCCACGCCUUUUAUGAUAUUCACCCUCUUGUUCCAAUCCAACUCUUUAGCUUCUUCUUCAUUGCUUAAGAUUGUAGACAAGCUUCCUCUAUCCAAGUACUCAUACACUAAGAAAGAGUGUUGUGGAUGCGAACAAAAGCCCUCAAGUUUCACAAUAUUGCGGUGUCGAAUUUCUGUCAAAGCCCUAAUCUCAUUCAGAAAUUCCUUUUGAUCCGCUUGCCCACUAUCAACCGUUUGAUGGAUCUUCUUUACAGCUACUAUAUCACCCGAUCUUAAUUUGGCCUUGAAGACACUUCCACAGCCCCCCCGUCCAAUACAAUAAAUCUCAUCAAAUGCCCCAGUAGCUUCUAUGAUGUCUUCAUAUAAGAUCUUUCCAUCGUACUUUGAUAGAGAAAAGACUUCAGUUGUCUUGGGUGCUAGUUCCACUGUUCGAUGGAUCUUCUUUCUACGGAAAAUGAAGAAAAUUCCAAAGAAAAUAAACGGAAGAACUGCUCCUACCAGAGGAAACACAAUAAGAAACACUCUACCUCCAGCCCGAGAGCUUUCCCUAUCCGCCACUGCUUGAUUACAUGGCUCAAGUCCUUCGACAUUUCCACAUAAUCCAGUGUUGCCUUCAAACGCUUCUUUUGUUGCAUUUUGAAAUGCCAUGGUGGUGGGGAUGGGACCCUCAAACUUGUUGUAGGAGAUGUCCACCUCUGCCAACCCUCGCAUAUCCUUGAAAGUCUUGUAUAUAAGGCCAGAAAGAUUAUUGUGUGAAAUGUUGAGUUUCACUAGGCUUUCUAGCUCGUUGAAUUGAAUUGGGAUGUCACCGCUUAACAAGUUACAACUCAAGUCUAGCUCGUUCAAAUGAGUUAGCAUCCCUAGUUGCCCUGGAAUAUCUUGGCUCAACUGGUUGUUGCUCAAAUACAAGUGGGUCAAUUUUGAAGAAUUCCCAAUAGCCUGCGGGAUAGACCUGUUUAAUCUAUUCCACGACAAAUCCAAUUUUAGAAGACUAGGUCGCGAUGCAAUCUCUGGACUUAUUUGGCCAGAAAGUUGGUUCCUGCUUAGAUUCAAAGUCUCCAAAGAAGUCAAUUUUCCAAAUUCUUUCGGAACCUCCCCAACUAAACUAUUGAAAGAUAGAUCAAUUACACUCAGUUUAGUCGCGUUUCCGAUCUCAAGAGGCAAGCUACCAGUGAUGUUAUUUCCAGCAAUGUUUAGACCACUUAAACUCAUGCAACUUCCCCAAUUUGUUGAGAUUUCUCCAUAGAACUUGUUGGAACUCAAGUCGAUAAAGGUUAGGUUGGGGUAGACACCAAAGAUCUCGGAGAUGUUUCCAGUCAACUGGUUUUUCUCGAGGCGAAGUCUAACUAAGCUUGUGCAAUUUUUCAAGCUUCUAGGGAUAGAACCAGUUAACUUGUUGCCACUCAUUGAGAGACUUUCAAGAAAUCCACCUUGGCACAAGUUUUCUGGUAAGGAGCCAGUUAACUUGUUGGCAUCCAGUUCCAACAUCUUUAAGUUCAUCAGAUUCCCCAAGGAUUUAGGAACUGAACUAGAAAGUUGAUUCCCGCGGAGGAACAAAUAUGAUAGGUCGGUCAAGUGACCCAACGAAGAAGGAAUUGGGCCAGUGAGCUGAUUUGUACUCAACUCUAAGUCAAGCAUAGAGCGGAGAUUUCCUAACUCAUUAGGAAUGUGACCGGAAAGCUGGUUACCGUAGAGAUAAAGAAUGGUAAGAUUCGUCAAAUUGCCUAAUAUUGGCGGGAUUGAACCGGUAAGAUUAUUUCUAUCUAGGCUCAACAAGCUAAGAAGGUUCAAAUUCCCUAGUUCUAGGGGGAUGGAACCGGUAAGCUUAUUAGCAAAUAGCUGCAGCUCUCUUAAUUUGGUUAAGUUCCCCAAAGUAGAAGGGAUUGAUCCUGUCAAGUUGUUGGAAUUCAUGUGGAGCACUUCCAAAUUUGUCAUAUUUCCUAUUUCAGCAGGAAUAGAACCAGAAAAGGAGUUGUUGUAGAGAUACAAGACAGCUAAUUUGCUCAAAUUGCCUAAUGAAGAAGGUAUGGGUCCAUUCAACUUGUUUGAAUAUAGCGCAACUUCACUAAGCAAAUGCAAUUGCCCGAUUUCUUGGGGAAUUGAGCCAUUUAACUCAUUGGAGACUAGGUGCAAGACCUCCAAUUUCCUUAGACAGCCAAUCUCUGGUGGUAUUUUCCCCGAGAACCGAUUAACAGAGAGGUCAAGAUAGGUGAGAUUGCUCAGGAGACUAAUUUGAGAAGGAAUGUGGCCAAAAAGACUAUUUAUACUUAGGUCCAUAUUCGCGAGAUGAGACAAUGAUGGGAAUGGAAAUUCAUCAAGCGUACCUUCAACAUCGGCACUGGUGAGAUUAAUGCCGACCACGCUUCCUGCCCGAUUGCAGGAGAUGCCACGCCAAGUGCACGGACUCAUGGUUGAAUUGGAACCAGUGACAUUAUGAGGAGAGGAAGUCCACGAAGAGAGGGAAGAAAGCGAAUGGUUGCCAAGACCAGACUUCCACUUGUGGAGAGCUUGUGCUUCUGGAAGAGAAGCAUGAACAGGGAGUGGAAUGGCAAAGGUAGUGAAAAUGACAAGAGCAGCCGCAAGGCUCAUGACCCUCUUGAAUUCUGAUGAAGGGUUCAUGGAUUCUUUUUUUUCCUUCUCUUGUUUUAGUUCGGAUAAGUUGGUUUGUGUUUCCCUGAGGCUACAAGCGAUGCUUAAAUAGGCUGCGUAAAGUCACGAUCCUAUCAUUUUCCAUGAUAAUGGGAAUGCAAUAAAAUGGCCUAAGUGGAGACUGACAAAAGGUACGUUUACAUUACUUUUAGGCCGUAAGUGGAGAAUUUUUGGUUCUUUGAAGACUUGUUACUUUUGAAGUCUUCGUAUGUCACUUUUCUGACGGGGUCAGUCCCCAUUUCGGAGGUUUUUUGUUUUUUUGGGUCUGACCUAUUUAUGAGUCCCACCCUCCCAUUGUACGAAAAGCAGAGGCUCCGACAGAGAGGUGUCUUUGAGGAAAGUGAUGUCAAGUCAACGUCUUUCGUGAGGUGUGGGUGCACCCAAUUUUCCGCAAGAUCAGACCCCACGUCGUGCUGCACGUUUUCGAAUUCAAAGCGUGUAUAAGGAAAGUGUUCUCCCACGGCAUUCACGAUGCCAAAUCUAGACGCGGUCCACCCCAUUCCUGCAGAAAUGACAGCUGAUCUAGAACACGGUAAAAAAUAAAAUUAAGUGUAUGUUUGUUUUGCGAAAAAUAAUUUCUGAAAAAAUACUUUCUUCAUUUUUUAGCGUUUGGUUCAUUUAGGAAAAUGAAUCAACAAAAAAUAUUUUCUUAAUUAAUAUAAAAAAAUUUCAAUUUUCCUUCCAAAGCAUAAAUUCAGGAAAACGAUUUCCCAUUUAAAAGAACCGAAAACGUUUUCCAAAAUAUUUUAAAAUCCUUACUUAAUGAAUAUUUAUUAUUAAAAAGAAUUUCUAAUUAAAAAUUUUGAAUUUGCUAUUAUUAUAUUUCUUUUUUCUUUUUUCUUGUUUUCUCUUUUCUUUAUUUGUCUAAACCCUAACUCCUCCUCCUCUCUCUCCUCCUUCGCCCCCUCCCUUUUGUCACCGCUGCCUCCUCCAACCCUAGCCCCUCUUGCACUCUCGUUGGCUUCACUUCUUUCUCUUCCUCUACGUCGGCAUCUUUUACAUCUUAAAUCAUUUUUCAAAUACAAUCCAAACACCAUAAAAUAUUUUCAAUUACGUAUCACCAAACAAAAAAAAAAACUAACCGUUUUCCUAGAAAAUGAUUUCCCAAAAAAUAAUUUCUAAAAACAUUACGUUUUUCGUGAAACAAACACACCCUAACAACAUAUUUGAAGUGAAAAAUUGCUAAAAUUUGGAGCUUGUGUUGAGUUGAAUAUGAUUUGGGUCCAAGUGAGAUUGAGUGUGGAUUGCCAUAAUUAUAUUACAAAAAUAGUGGUUAGAUUGAAUCUUUUUUCUAUCCAUUCAUAUUUAACCUAUCUUUUACUAGGAAUAAUACCAGAUAAAUUUAAAAGAUUAUCCAUUCUAAAUAUGUAAAGAAAACUAUAAUCAAUAAGUAUAUUAUAAUAAAUGUUGUAUGAUGUAGCCCAAAUUUCUUUAAGACCUAUUUAGAUAACCACAAAGGCACUUCGAUUUUUUUAGGCACUUCUCUCCUUCCUAAAUGACCAUAAUUUCCAAAGGACCUUAAAUCCAAACAAAAUAGAAAUGUCUAUGAGCUCGAGCUGCUAAUGAGCUAAUCCUAUUUACCUAUUCUUAAAAUUCUAGAAUUUACUUCUUUGGAAUAAAGCUAAGGCUUCCCAAGGUUCUCUAACUUGGAGGAAAGAUAAGCUUUCAAUAUGGUCAAAUACAACCCAUCAUUUUGUCGCAACUUAGAACAUUCAAGAUGAUAGUAAAUUGAAACUGGAAAGAGAAUACAUGACCGUAUGGUCAUUUUAUAAAAUAGAUAGUGGAAUGUCAGCCAGUGAUUUUGAAGUUGGGAGCAAUGAUACUGACUUGUCAAUUUCAUAUUUUUUUUUGGUCAACAAAUUGGUGGGAUUUAUUCAUUUUUCUCUUUUAUUUUAAAAAAAUCAAAGUGAUAAUAUUUGAACAAUAAGUAGUAUAGGAAGAAUUCAAUAGCAACUUUUUGAAUAGUUAAUAUUAAUCUUUGGCAACAAAAAAACCAAAAAAAAAAAAAAACAGAUUUGGUGGAUUUCGUUCCUAAAUAAAAGAAAUUUAAGAACUCAAAAAAAAAAAUGAAGGUGAAUAUCUAGUGUACUUUGAACUUUCGAGUAUUUGAGGAUAUUGCAAUGGAUUAACACGACAGUGGAGAAAGUCUUUUAAUCUUUACUUCUUUGAUUACAAGAAAGUAAGAUGUACUGUAACGCCGAAUUUUAGUUGGUAUAUAUACACACACAUAUUAUCGACAUACAAUGCUCUACUGAUGAAAAUAAUAGUAGCGAUUAUGACAGAAAUUGAAAGGAAAUGGAAAGGAAGAACUGAAGCUUUGUAUUUCAGUAUGUUUCUUGUACACAUUAAUUACACUAUUUGUAAUACAAGACUAAAGUGUAAAACAGGAAAGAAAUAUACAUUGAUUCUAAUUCCUAUUUUACCAAGUCAAUUACUGAUUAAAUGAAAUAAUCAUUGAUACUCAGGAUCGAUGUUUCCCAAGUUAUCAAACCAUAUUUCCAACACUCCCCCUCAAGCUGGUGGCCUAUAUAUAUCGAGGACACCAAGCUUGCUCAAUAAGUAUGCAUGUUGUCUAUGGCAUAAUGGCUUGGUAAAAAUAUCUGCAAGUUGCUCCGUAGUUCUUAUUCCUCUUGUUGUGAUGACUCCUUCUCGAAUCUUGUCUCGAGUGAAAUGACAAUCGACCUCUAUAUGUUUAGUUCUCUCAUGAAACACUGGAUUGGCUGCUAACUUGAGUGCAGCGUCAUUGUCACAGAAUAAUUUACUGGGUCCAUCGACUUGUACUCCAAGAUCUGCAAGCAAUCCUCGUAUCCAGAUUAUUUCACAAACAGUCUUUGCCAUAGCCCGAUAUUCUGAUUCUGCUGAUGAUAAUGACACGGUUGACUGCUUCUUUGUUUUCCAUGAGAUAAGAGAUUUUCCAAAUUUUAUGCAAAAACCAGUGAUGGAUCUUCUCGUCAUCGGACAAGUGGCAUAAUCCGUAUCACAAUACGCCAUCAUUUUCAUGUCACAAUCUCAAGAUAAAAAAAAAUGCCAAGUCCUGGACAUCCCUUCAAGUAUUUUACCACUUUCAAGGCUGCAUUCAUGUGAGACUGCUUUGGCUUGUGCAUGAAUUGACUGAGUAUUUGCACAGCAUAACAUAUAUCUAGUCUUGUCGUCGUGAGAUAAAUCAGUUUUCCAACAAGUCGUUGGUAUACUGAUGGAUCUUCAAGUAGCGAAUCAUCGAUGGAAGGAGAUGAGCUUGAAUCAUAUUCAUGUGUUGUUAACUUUGUAUUCUGCUCAAUCGGGAUAAUUGCCGGUUUGCAUCCUGACAAUCCUGCUUCAGAGACUAUUUCCAGAAUAAACUUUCUUUGACUGAGAGAUAUUCCUUUGUCAGACCGAGCUAUCUCAAUUCCGAGAAAAUACUUAGGAGAUCCCAAGUCUUUUAUAUGAAAAGUGGAAUGCAGAUAGCUUUUGAAUUUUGCAAUGGCCAAUUCAUUAUUCCCCAUGAUAAGAAUGUCAUCAACAUAUAUUAAAAGGUAAAUUGAUGAAGUACCUUCAGUCCAUGUGAACAAUGCAUAAUCAUGUUUGGAAUGUUGAAAACCUGUGUUGGUUAAAGCAGCAGUGAACUUGGCAUACCAUUGCCUAGAGGCCUGUUUGAGUCCAUAUAGGGAUUUCCAGAGACAACACACACGAGACUCCCCCUGUCUGCGUAAUCCCUGUGGAAGUUCCAUAUAAAUCUCUUCAUCCAGAUCUCCAUGCAAGAAAGCAUUAUUGACAUCCAUUUGAUGCAGUGGCCAAUUGCGAGAAGCAGCAAUGGAUAGAAAUGAGCGAACAGUGACUUCUUUGGCUACAGGAGAGAAUGUUUCAUGAUAAUCAAAUCCUUCCCGUUGCGUGAACCCCUUCACAACUAAACAAGCCUUGUAUCGCUCAACAGAUCCAUCUGCCUUAAAUUUGAUUUUAUAAACCCAUUUGCAGCUAUAGGCUUCCGUCCUGCCAGUAAUGGAACAAUGUCCCAAGUAUGGUUCUCAUUGAGAGCCUUGAGUUCAGCUUCCAUAGCAUGUUGCCAUUUAGGAUCAUGCGCCGCUUCAGAGUACGAUGACGGUUCCUGUUCUUCGGAAAUUCUACUGAUGCAACACAUGUGUUCUGAUGACAAUCUACUAAAGGAAACAUAAGAUGAUACUGGAUACUGCGUACCUGGACAAUCCAAUGUAGGAAAUAUAUAAUCUUUUGUCCACGUAGGGGGUCGAAUAUGACGUCCAGAACGUCGAGGCUGCUCAAUUCUGUUUUCUUCUGAUAAUACGGGAGAGGGACUCUGUUGAGUCAUCGGCGAAGAGGCUGUUGAUGGAGAAUUUGAUGAAGGAUCUGUCUCAUGUAAAGAAACUGGUGAGUUGAUAGCUUGAUUNNNNNNNNNNNNNNNNNNNNNNNNNNNNNNNNNNNNNNNNNNNNNNNNNNNNNNNNNNNNNNNNNNNNNNNNNNNNNNNNNNNNNNNNNNNNNNNNNNNNNNNNNNNNNNNNNNNNNNNNNNNNNNNNNNNNNNNNNNNNNNNNNNNNNNNNNNNNNNNNNNNNNNNNNNNNNNNNNNNNNNNNNNNNNNNNNNNNUCCAUAACGCGGUAACCUUUCUGCAGUGGGGGAUAUCCCAUAAAAAUACACGAAUGGCACGAGGAUCCAUUUUACUUCGAUGACCCAGAUUUGCCGCAUAACACAAACACCCGAAAACUCGAAGAUGAUCAAUUUCUGGUUGUUCAAAAGGAGUUCGCCCAUUAAGAAUUCUAGUAGGCAUGCGAUUGAUCAAAUAGGCUGCAGUAACUACACAAUCACCCCAAAAAUCUUCAGGUAUGGAAGCUUGAUAUUUUAAAGCUUGAGCUACCUCUAAGAGGUGGCGAUGUUUUCUUUCAACAAUUCCAUUUUGUUGGGGUGUGUAAUUACAUGAACUCUCAUGUAAGAAUCCUUGAGAAGACAAGAAAGAGUUACAUUCCGCAGAAAAAAAACUCACAUCCAUUAUCAGUGUGGAUCUUUUGGACAAGUUUGUCGAAUUGAUUUUUAAUGAGAGAUAGAAAAUUCGACAGUGUUGAAAAAGUUUGACUCUUGGAUUGCAUAAGAAAAACCCAAGUAGCUCGAGUAUAGUCAUCAACAAUGGUUAAGAAGAAUCGAGAUCCAUCACGAUGUGGAGUGUGAUAAGGUCCCCAAAUAUCCAUAUGUAGCAAGGAAAAAGCACUAGUGGAUCUAGAUGUGCUAAUAGGAAAAUGUGUCCGAGACUGUUUUGCCAAUGGACAAAUUGGACAUUUAGGAUAAGGAAAUUUUGCGGUAUGACCCAAACGUUGAUGAAAAACAAGAUUUUUAUUACUAGCAAUGGCAUUACAAGAAAUGCUCUUAUUGAAUAAUUCAAAAUUCCUUUGAGGAUCAAUCCAAAAAUAUAGCCCUUCUGCAACACUACCCAAGCCCAUCAGUCUGCCAGUCAAAAGGUCCUGAAAGAAACAAUCAUUGCGAUUGAAUAUGGCACGACAAGAAUUAUCCUCACAAGCUCUUGAGACUGAUAAGAGAUUGAACUCAAAAUCAGGAAUGAAUAGAACAUUUUUGAGAAUAAUAUCUGGACUAAGGUGGAUAGUACCAAUUUUGGUAACAUGAGUGGCAUUUCCAUUUGGGAGGCGAACAAAUACUGAAGAAUAUGGCCUCUUUUGAAUACUAGAAAAUAACCGCUCAUUGCAAACUAUAUGAUCACUGGCACCCGAAUCAACUAUCCAUGCAUCAACUGAUAUUGAAUUUUCCUUGUAUGAAGAAGUACCUGAGAAAUUCGCAGCCUUAUCAUUGGUUGCCAGCUGAUUUAAUGCCUUCAUUAUAUUCUGAUACUGGUCUUGGGUAAUUAUCCGAUUUGCCCCAUCAGUCCUUCAUGCCGAAACCUGAUAAGCAGCAAUUUCUUUUUCCUUCUUAUCACCUGGCUUUCCAUGUAAUUUCCAGCAUGUAUCAAUAGUAUGAUGAGGACGUUUACAAUAUUCACAAUAUUUACCCUUAAUUUUGGAAUUUUGGCCAAUAUUUUUUAUGGAUGACGUGGCAUUUCGUGGGCCUCCGGAUGCCCUAUAUGCGGGCGCUGUCGUGGCCAAAUAAGGGCUGUUCAAUUCGGUCUAACUGGCGAGCCAAUAUGGGCCAUCCGAUCUCUUAUGAUAUGGACCGUUGGAUCCUAAAUCUCGGAUCAAACCACAGCCAUCCAUCUUGGUUCCAUCCCAGCCGUCCAUCUUAGGGUUUUCACCUAACCCAAGUCCAGCCCCAUUUCGUCCGCCCCCUCCUUGCCCGAAGCUCUCGGUUCCUCCACCUACUUCGCGCGACGUUUCCCCAGCAAUCCCGCGACCGCCAUGGACUCUGCGCGCCAUUUCUCCAUAUCUGAAGCUGGUCUGGAGAGCAGCAAGGGCGACUCCUUCGCCGAUUCUGCCAUGCUCGGCUGCGGCUUGCCGCUGGCUCUCCUCUUGGACCGCCAGUUGGUAGAUCCGGCCGAGCAAGGUAACGGGUCCAUCGCCAAGAUCUGCAAUCGAAAGGGUGAGUAUGUGUCGUUCAAGAUAAGUAGAAAUCUAGUCACUUUUUCCCGCUGCUUAAUUUUUCGGUACUGUUGCAGCGUCGCUUCGGGUCCCUCGAGGCGUUCUUCGGCUGCCUCGAGCUCAUUCCAGAGAGCCGAGAGCCGAUUGAAGCAGGUAGUGACCGAUUGAUUUCCUUGUUUUAGAUCUGAAAUCGCCUGGGUAAUAGUGAAGAUCUUUGCUGGAUCGAGAUGCCCAUACAUCUCUCGGAUGUUUGCCCAAAAGGUUUUCGAGUCCUCGGUCGGUGGUAGCCCCGCGGCAACAUCUGGAGCAAGGCAAUUUCCAAUCCAGGUACGCACUAAUUGGUUGCAUUUUUUCCAGAAACGUUGAAGUCGUUUGUCGGUCGGAUAGGGGACGGUGCCAUCAAGGAAACCGUCCUUGUCCUUCGUUACAAGUGCUCGCUGGAGGUCUCGAGCCCAAGCGUUGUAGUUGUCCUGUCCAGUGAGCUGCAUGUUGAUGAGUUUGAAUUCUGGUCCGUCGGCUGUCAUCGUGUGAAGAGGAUCUCCGGGCUCGGGACGGCCGCCGUUGACUGGAAACGCGUAGGGCAGAAACCCGGGUUGGAAACCGGGUUGUGGAACCGGGUGGGAAUCCGUAGGGAUGGAUCCAUGCCCUGUUCUUGUCCAGCCCGACCCAUCAUUUGGGUAAUUCUUCCCAGAGGGUCUGCCUUGAAGGGGGUACCAGCCGAGGUAAGGCCACUUGAUCGAUCCUUGUGGUUGGAACGAUGACUGAGUAGGUAUCGAUGAAGCAGUGGCUAAUGAUCCAGUAGGUAUCACUCCUUCUCCUGUUGGGUCGACAAGUGCUGGAUCAAGGAUCUGUUGAGGUGAAUUGGAGGCUUCUUCCAUUUGUUGGUUUUGUCAAGGUUUUUUUAGCAGAGUAAAAGAAUUCAAUUCGGUGGCUGAUUUGUUUUGCAGGUUGAAGUCGCAACAGCAAACCAGAAAAGAACCGAAAAGCAAUUUGAAGAUGCGGAAGCUUAGGUCGGAAAAGAUCGCUCUGAUACCAUGACAGAAAUUGAAAGGAAAUGGAAAGGAAGAACGGAAGCUUUGUAUUUCAGUAUGUUUCUUGUACACAUUAAUUACACUAUUUGUAAUACAAGACUAAAGUGUAAAACAGGAAAGAAAUAUACAUUGAUUCUAAUUCCUAUUUUACCAAGUCAAUUACUGAUUAAAUGAAAUAAUCAUUGAUACUCAGGAUCGAUGUUUCCCAAGUUAUCAAACCAUAUUUCCAACAGAUUAAGAUGAGAUGAACAAUUCAAUUGAAGAUGCUAGCGAUGAAUGAGAUAUGACACCAAGCAAUCCUAAGUUAGUAGUAAUGAAAGCUAAUGUUUUUAGGCUACUAGAGAGUCUUUUUAGAGCAAUGAAUCGAGCAGAAUGAAUUAGAAGUCACAAUGCACAAUGAUUUUCUUAUUAGUUAUACAGCCAACAUUUCAAGUUUUUCUCAUCUUUGGAAUUUAAUAGAUCUUUCUAAUGACAUUAACUAUUUCUUUCAGCUUAGUGAUAAAACCUUCUUACUUGUGAUUAUUUGUUUUGUGGAAUGUAAUUUUUUUUCUUUUUUUAAUGGGAUAUGUAGAGUUUCCCCCAUUCAGAUAGGUGCUUUUUGGGCCUUCAUAAAUAUUCUAAUCCUAAAUUAAGCCAAGAGAAAAUGGAAACAAUGUAAAAAUGAAAAAAAGAAAGAAACCGGUCAAAGUAUUGUCCUGUUUUCCUCCAUUGAAAGCCGAGGCUGGUAUUAGAGGGUUAGAAAAUUAGAAGUACGGCACCAAUAAGAUAGCCGAGCUCAUGAAAAUUAUAUGUUAGAUGUGAGCACUCGGAUUUGUCGCUCCGAGAUCACAUGUGAUGCUAAUUCCCCAACCAGAACACCAAUUUGGGCCACCCCAACCUCCGGCAGAUACAUUCAAUAAGGGCUUCAUGGGACACUUUUGGUCCCAUCCUAUAUUCCUUAUCGCCCUGAAUCUUCACAAAACCACCAUAUUUACGGGCUGACCCUGCACUUUCAGAUACGAGGAGACCCUUGUAAAGAAUCGAGAGAAAAGUAAGCAGAGCAUAUGGUCACGGAGUCCGAACACGUAAUAAGAUCAAUCGCGCUAUAUCUUUUACAAGACCGCUAAUGCCAUGGCUUUUCAUCGCCGUCGCAUGUCAGGAUCUCGCAACUAAUGCGUUGGCCGAAAGUAAGGCCAACGAAUCGAACACGUUUUCUGGAAACUUCGUCAGGACCCAAAAAAAUUGCCAGAGUGGAACACCUACCGCUAUAAGAAUAUGAACAGACUGUUUAUACCAAGACUUUAAUUCAUCCGAUUAAGCUUGUAUCAAACUGGAUCGUUUUAAUUCCGCAAUUCUUGUCAAGGUCAAAGAAAUCACCUAUUCACCCCCACUAGGUAAUAUCAUUAGCCGUCAUUAGUUAGCAUACCAAAAGAACACUAGUUCGAGAAUUAGUAUAGUCAAGUGCAUGAUCUCAUAUCUUUAGUUAAGUAAAAUUAUUUUUCACUUGGCUCCUAGACAGCCUCAAUAGGCUAGUGAUGACCCCUAGUUAGGUUGGAUUUCAUAGAUAGGUCUAUAUCAAUUGUAAUUUUGGUUCCUUGAAGACUUUAAAAUAUUUUAUUUUGUAGUUUUCAUUGGUGACUUUACGAACUUGAUCAGUUUCUAUUUUGGAAUCGAGUCCCACUCGUUAAAUGAAAUCCAAAGACUUUGGCAGAGAUUUCUUUUAGGAAAGUGAUGUAAAAGUCAUGGCCUUUCGUGACCUAUGUGAACACUCGACUUUCCACGAGAUCAAAACGUAGGUUGCGCCACACAUUAUGCAAUUUUAAGCGCGCAAAAGGGGAGUCUACUCACUUGGCAUUAAUGAAGCAAAAUCUUGCCCCGGUUGACCCAUUCUUGCAAAAACGACGGCCAAUGAUCUAGCCAAAUGGCACCGAGAACACGAUCAAAAUAUAAAAAAUGAUAAAAGCACCGAAGAUCUUAAAAUUUAUUUAAAAAGUGUAAUUUAAUUUUCAAAACUUUCAAAAAGUAUAAUAGAAACGAGUCCUAAAACUUAUCACGAAAAUACAAUCAAAUCCUAAAAUUUUAAUAAGUGCAAUCAACAGAAGGAUUUUAUUGGACUGGUAUGACAAUUUUUAUGAUUCAAUCAUACUUUUUGAAAGUUUUUAAAAUGUAAUUACACUUACAUAACGAGUUUUCGACCCUCGUGAUCAUAUUUGGGCGCCCUUUAGUCUCCACGAUGAUUUCGACUUUUGCUAUAGCUCCUGCUCCGGUGACGGUAACACCUUUCCCUGUCUCUGUACCUGUCGCGAUCAUAUCGUCUGCAGCUUCUGCUGCGACUUCUCCUCCUGUGAUUGCGUCUCUAUAUUCGUCUCUACACCUGAAAAUCUAUCUUACUAUCAGUUUGCAGCAGAGAAUGAGAGGGAAUCACACGCGACACUAAAAGAUACAACCACCACUACUCAAUGGCACGUCAGUGCAAAUUUUGUCCAAUUUACUACGAACGAAGAAGAAGGUGCAACACGCUUGGAUGUCCCCUAAUAACCUGGUUCGGAGCUUAAAUCACCAAAAAGCAUAAUCUAGAAACCAACAACUCAAUGGCAUAAUAGAAAAUAGCUAAGAGAAAUUAGCAGUACCACAUUGAUAACCUAUUUGUUAUGGAGGAUCAUAAGACUUCAGGAGUUUACAAUUUCAUGCGCAAACAUCUUAAGGCGCCACGGUCACAUUAUUCAUCUAGGUAGGACGUGGGUAAAAGCACUAAAACAAUCAUAUACCUAUUGCAUUGAUAUAAAUUUAGUUCUAAACUUUUUAAUUGAACCAAUUCAGUUUUAAACAUUUUCACAUUGAUACCAAUUCAGUCUAUCCGACCAAUUUUUGCCAGUUAAAGCUAACAUGGACGCCGGCCGGUGGCCGAAUGUUGACGUGGCAAUUUUUAAAUAAUUUUUUGAGUUUUGAAAUUUUUUUUCCUUUUUUUUUCUCCCUUCUUCCUCCUUGGACUAUCCUCCUAGUGGCCGGCAAGGCUCGUCGGCCACUGGACAAGGGCCGUGAAGCCCUCAUUGGCGUGGCCCUCGCCCAACCUCACCUUCGCCCACUGCAAGGCUAAGGCGAGGCUAACCUUGCCCAAAUUUGGGCGAAGCCACCUCGCCUGCGGCCCUGGGCAAGGCCAAGCAAGGGUUGUGACGCUCGCCCAAUGGCCAGCGAAGGCCAAUGAGGGCUUUGGAGCCACCGGCAGGAGGCUCGCCAACCACCACGAGGACAAACCAAGGAGGAAGAAAGGAGAAAAGGAAAAAGGAAAGAAAAAAAUUAUUUAAAAAUUAUUUAAAAAUUGCCACAUCAACCUGCGAUCAUCAGCCGACGUCCACAUCAGUAUUAACCGGCCAAAAUUUGUCGAAUAAACUGAAUUGGUACCAAUGUAAAAAGGUUUAUGAUUAAAUUAGUCUAAUUAAAAAGUUUAAGACUGAACUGGUACUAAUACAAUAGAUUUAAAACAUUUCUAGUACUAUUCCCGUAGGAUGUGUCAUCAAAUUGCUGAUGAUGGAGUAAGUCCAAGUUCAUAAGCUCUUCAUUUAGCACGAAUUAACAAAAAAGCUUUUGGGAUAAGUACAAAACAAAUCCUAAACGUUUUACCCACUAUCUCAUAGUCAAUUGAAUUUUAAAUUAUUUCAUAAAUAUUCAAUUGGCCAUCAUCUUGCUGCCGAUGCCAUUUUUUCCCUAGAAAAUGGAAUCUACUCAAUAUACAUGAAAUUGACUAUACUCUUUUACUACUAAGAAGUAAGACAUUGGAUUUUUUAAUUAUAAGACUCAAAUGAAGAUUGAACCUCAAAAAUUCAUUUAAUUUGAGGAAAAAAUGGAGAUUUUCGAAAAGUAAUAAAAAUAAUUUAAGGAAAAUUCCAAAUAAAGGCUCGAAAUGCUCUCAUUUUCUCAAAUAAGGGCAAGAAGUAAACCUUAUUUCAAAUAAAAGCCUAAAGUGGCUAUAUCAAUCACAAAAAAGAGCUUGAAGUCGUUAUAACUAUUUCAAAUAAGGGCCUAGUCUCGCCGGCUUGCCGAUUGGUAAAUUAUUAUGGCCAAUCAAUGAUAUUUUUGUUUAAACACGGUUAAAUUUAAAUUAAAUUAGAUGAAAAAUUUUAAAAAUAAUAAAACUUAAAGGAAAAUGGAAAAACACAAGUACGUGUCGAUGCCCCAUCGCCGGUGGGGCGACGGCAAAGGUCGAUGCCUAGGCGAGGGCCAGCGACCCUCAUCAACCAAAGGUGAAGGCCAGCAUGCCUUCACCAGAAGUGAGAGAGGGCAACAACCCUCUCCCAGAUUUGGGCAAGGGUCACCGGGCUUGCGCGAGGGUCGGCAACCCUCGCCGAGGCCGAGGCUAGGGCGAGGGUGAGCGACCCUCACCCAGAUUUGGGAGAGGGUCGCCACUCUCUCCUCCUUUCGAAGAGGGCCAGUAGGCCCUCGCCUCUAGACGCCACAAGUUGUUGACCCUCACUCAAGCGCCGGUGACCUCACUAGCCUUUGCCAUUGCCCCACUGGCGAUGGAGCGGCUCCCUCCCACUUGUGUUCUCCUUUUUUAAAGUUUUUUAAAAAAGAAAAAAGGUAAAAAUUUUAAAAAUUUAAAAGAUAAAAUUGUCCUUCACGUCCACCGAAUUUAGGUUGUUCUUGACACCGAUAUAGGCACUUCAAGCCUUUAUUUGAAAUAAUAUCUACUUCAAAUCCUUAUUUAAAAAAAAUAAUAACACUUCACACACUGAUUUAAAACAAUGUUCACUUUAGACCUUUAUUUGAAAUUUUCCCAUAAAUUAAUGAAUUUAGUAAAGAAGAGAUUAAAUUGAUAUAACUUAUUUUUAGUGUACUCUUAAUAUCGAUAUUGUCUUGUAACCUAUUUUUGACUUGGUUAUCAUAUACACAAACAAGUGAAAAAAUCAAUUAUAACUAACUUGAUUAAAAUAGUAUACUGUCUAAUACAAUAUACUUUAUGCCAGUUUGAAUUUUAAUAUAACUCAUUUAUAGUUUUUUCAUGUUAUUUAUUGUUAUCGAUAUGCUUGAUGUAAAUAGGGAAAGAGAUAUGAAACAUAAAAUAAGAUCAAAUUCCUUAAAAUAAGAUACUUGUUCUUGGGGAUAAUAANNNNNNNNNNNNNNNNNNNNNNNNNNNNNNNNNNNNNNNNNNNNNNNNNNNNNNNNNNNNNNNNNNNNNNNNNNNNNNNNNNNNNNNNNNNNNNNNNNNNAGCCUGAAGUUCAAUCUUCUAAAGCUCAAUCCAUCACGUCUGAAACGUGAGGAGGAAGAGCAGAGCACGCAGACGCGGCUAAGGGAUAGGGCGGAAGGUGGAGGAGGCGGUGAUCAAUUCCUCUGCCCAUAACCACGAAAAAUCGUUUGGGAGAGUGACCAACACGGAGAGGAGGAAUCAGUUUUGAGGAAAGAUAACAUUUUUCGGGGUGAGGAAGGAUAUUUGUUGGGAAAGAAAGAUCUAUGAAAUGUAGGCCAGAGAGUUUAAGUACCGAUUACGUUUUGGUUUAUGACAAUGAGUAUCUAUAAGUGUUUCAAACUUAUUGAGCAGUUUUGGUACCAAUAUAGAAUCAAGGCGCAUCUAGAUCAUUCAGUUGAGAUGCUAUCGCCUGUUCGAUGAAAUGUUUAUGAGAAUUCUAGGACUUAGACGAAAAUGACUUAUUGAGCAGCUGUAGUAUCAAUAUGGAAUUGAGUCGUUGCCUCUACAUCAUUCAGUUAAGACGCUCAUUCACCUAUUCGAUGAAAUGUUUGAGGAUUUAGAGGGAGUUAACCUCGUUCUUGUGUAAUCUGAAAGUAAAGUGAUUUAGGUUCAAUGAUCUUAUCUGGUCUUCAAGCCAUUCACGUCUAAGUCCUAGUGAUUUCUCAAUAUCUGAAUCUGUUUCUGAACUCUUGGUUCGUUGUUUGUGUUUUAUGUUCCAAUGCCUGUAAAUGAUCGUUAAUGGUGAGAGCUUGGCUAGAGUUGAGGUCACACUUACUAAUACUUUGUAAAAACGUUCUAGUUAAUCUCCACAUGGUCAUCUUACUUCAUACCCCUCAGUUUCCGUUCAUUUCAGUAAGUCGUAGUAAAGGGGGUAAAGUCCAGUGGACGGUCAAAGGUAAUAGUUAAUGGCAUAGGUCAUAUAGGGGUUCGAUUUUUAAGUGUAUAUGUUCAAUACUUCAGUGUUAUGGUGUGAUAAGCUCCAAUUGUUAAUGUGCUGGUAUGGUGACUUUUGAUUUCGUAUAUUCUCGAUUGGUACUGAGGGAAAGUGGUGGUCAUUAAAAAUGAAGAUUCAUUACAAUUAUACAAUUAAUAAUAGAAACAAACCUGAAUAGAACUUGAAAUCGACCCUAAGACUCAGGAUAGGUAGGUUUUAGGUUUCAGAGUAUAGAGAACAGGUUCUAAAUUCCAAAAAAUAAGAAAACUCUUUCGGCGAGUAAGUUCCAAAUGGAACUUGUAUUGAACCUAGAACCACUCUUAACACUCCCUAUUUUCAUCACUCUAAUAGGCAUUCCCUAUUUUCAUUCCAGGCAUAAUUCCAUGAUUAGAAAGAGCUAGAGUGCUCAUUUUAGAGGACGAGCAUUCCCUAUUAGACUUUGUCCAAUUUCUUGGACCAUUUGAAUACCCUGUAGCGGAACGGAGUCGACUUUUCACUUAAGGGGGGGAAACGCACAGAUUAUCGUCCUCGGUGUCUCGCUCACAACCACCAAGAAAAUCCUCAGACAGUGUGGGACGAUGAAUACCUCUCUAUAGUAUAUAAAAACACCUGACCCAUGGCAUAAAUGAACAUGAUUAAACUGCAUCCCAACACAAUUAAGCCACUUUAUUGCAACUUAUCCCUUGGAUCUUGAUGAUUAUGAGGUAUGUGACAGGGUACGCCCAAGCAAACGGUAGCUAUAAUUCAAACUACAAAGAAGAUACUUGCAAGAAGAAAAUUGCAAAUAAGUCACAGGAUUAACAUGAUCAAAUAUUUUUUACAUCGAAAGGUAACUUGCAACAAGCCACUGGCAUGCGAUAUGCAUACCACAAUACCGCACCAACAAUUCUGCAGUUCAUCCAUGUACAAAAGUCACUAUCACACUCAGCACCAACUCAAAUCUCAAUUUACAGUAAUAUAUCGUGAACUACCAACAUUGGCUCAAAUUCUCCAAAGAAAGCAAAGGAAUUACUAAAUAGGUCACUAAUCUCAUUGUAGCCAUCCAAAGCCCUUUUCCACAUGCUAAACAAUUCAAAGAAGUUAUAAUGCAGAAGCCUCAUCGCCCAAACAGGGUGGCACUAGUGGGCACUCACGAGGAAGGGAUGCUGACACACUCCACAUUCAAUAGUCUCAGAACCAGAGGUUGGAACCUGGACCUGCAAUUAUACCAGAGCACGCCCCUUUUAAUAUCAAAGUAUUUAACAAUAGGACCAACAUAACACAUCCGAGCUGUUGUUGGUGAAGGGUCUCAUACCUGCAAAUGAACAGUGCAUAUGGGACAGGCAACUUCCUUCAUCCUCCUUCCAGAACCAUCUGACUGGGAGCCUGUAAAAAGACAGUUCCUCUGUCAACACUAGACAGAAGCUCAACUAACAACGAGCCAAAAAAGGGUGCUUUCAUGACAAAAUCCAUCAGGUACAUUAAAAAAACGGAUCCUCUGAAAAUAAACAGCUGCGUUGAGAACACGUGUAUCCAGUUAAGAUUAGAGAAUUACCCGCUGAUCCUGUGCGAUUCCUCUCCAUUUUCUCCUGUCACAUACAAAUAAUGUCAGAAAGUUAUAGCGUGACAACACACUUUCGUCAAAAGAGCCUCAAAAAAGAUUGCGCAAAGUUGUCCGAAGACUUUGCCACAAAGAAAUUACAGGGAACUUGUCUACCUGAAGCUAUCUAUGCAAAGGAUCAGAAAGACUACCUGAAGCUUUCUUGCAAGGUCCUCAUGACUCUGAAAUCCCACCGGUUUACUAGAUGCUUCCUUCGCAUUGCUCAGUCGCUGAGUCAUUUCAGCCUACAAAACCCCAUUGUUUAGAGUGACAAGGUAUGAGGAGUGUAAUAUACCAGCCUAUUGCAAGUUGUAAUAGGUCUCAGGCCCAAGCACAUACUAAGAUACAUGUGGGGUACAUUCACUUCAAAGAAACUAGAAAUAUACCAAACAACGGUCACAAACGCGAACUGGUUGAGCAUUUUCUUCGGCAGUUAGGGCAAUCCUACCAUGGGUACAUUUAUCGCAGAAAAUAUCUCCACAAUUCCUGCAGUGGUGCUGAAUCCAAAAAAACCAGACAUGAGGGAAAACAAUACAGAUGAACACUGAAGAGACUAGUAGUGAUAUAAAAGUAUGUACCCUGCGAAUAAAAGCACUAAAAUCCGAUCCACAAGCUGUACACUUUGAAACUGCUUCAUCGGGAACCUAAUAAGCAAAAACCAAGGAAUGUGAGUAGCUUUUAUGGUAAACAAGGCUGAUGUGAGAUUCUAAGGAAACCAACGAUUUGAUACUUCCAUGCUUUUGAUAGUAACUUCUCAUUCUUCUCACUAAGAUUGAGAAGAAGAAUGAGAAUAAAUGCAUACAAAACGCCUGGUAAAACACGAUAUAAUACUAUUUCAAAAGGUGAUAACUUUUUACACAAAAAGGAUUUACUGAGAGACAUCAGCAUUUGGUGACUAUGAUUAAUUCAAAGACGACACACUUGACAUGUUUUGAUCCAUAUUUUCACUUUAUGUUGAUGACAUAAAUGACCAACACAAAUACAAAAAGAAAAACACUAUUUUGAUGGCAUGGCACAAGUUGCUAGCCAAUUUUGGUCUGCACAAGAUCUCUAUGUAGCUAGUCUAAGCCCUUAUAAAGAGGGAGAUCCAGGAUACAAAAGGAUGUCAACAUCUAUAAUUGUCAGAUCUUCCAUGAAAUGGACAAUAAAAUAGGGACGAUGAAGUGCAAAAUCUUGUAGAGCACACUCUGGAAAAUACUCACGCCAAAUGGAUUUCAAGGCAUCAAAUAUGCAUAAGCAAUUUGAAGAUGUUUGGUGCAUGUGUGAUUGCUCGAGAAUUGAUAUAGCUCGAAAUGGAAAUCCUUAAAAAAGCUGGAGGGGCCACAUAAAAUAAGAUGAUAAAAUACCUCCUUAAGAGUCCAUUUCAAAGACUACCACUAGAUGCUUCGAAACAAAUGCAAUUUUAUGGUAAGGCCACACGAGAACCCAUCAAACAGGUGUGCAAAGACGUAAGGUAAGCAUAUCUGUACAGAGACUCUAGCAAAGCUGGAAGAAUUCUAAAUAGUUUAAAAUUUCCAUCCCAUUUGCCUAAUGGAGCUUCCAAGUUCAUGUAAAUGCAUGCGUUCAAUCCACAUGAAGCAAGUUUGUUUCUUCAAUAGAGUUCCACAAAUCUAGACAGAUCAAGAUCUCCUAAACCAAAGCUUAAACAGAAGCUGCCACCGACUGAAGGAACUUUUACCUCAGCAUCAGGGAAANNNNNNNNNNNNNNNNNNNNNNNNNNNNNNNNNNNNNNNNNNNNNNNNNNNNNNNNNNNNNNNNNNNNNNNNNNNNNNNNNNNNNNNNNNNNNNNNNNNNNNNNNNNNNNNNNNNNNNNNNNNNNNNNNNNNNNNNNNNNNNNNNNNNGAGGAUGAAGAAGAUAAAAAUGGAUUUUGCGUUAUACCCAGUGAUCCUUCUCCUCAUUGCCAGGCUUCAUCAAAUUCAUCCAGUCAGCAAUACCUUUCUUCCUCUCUGCAGGCUGUUCACUUGUCUUUACAGGAUCAGAAGGCCUGGUCCUUCCACCCAUUUCCUUUAACUGGAGCAUGUAAAACAUUUACUUUCAGUCCAGAAAGCACAUAAACCAUCAGCUGAACUAUGGAGCUAUUUAAAGUUAUAUAACAAGUUAAAAAAAAAAAAAAUAUAUAUAUAUAUAUAUAUAUAUAUAUAUAUUAUGGUGCUAUUUAAGGUCCACAAAAAAAAUUAACUAUGGAGCCAUUUUCUAUUGAUGGUCUAAUGCAGGGAUAUGGAUCCUUAAAUGAAUUCAUCUCUUUGCAAGUAUGGGCAACGUGUGGUCUAACAGUUCAAGUGCACAAGUGCAUCUCAAUCCUUGGACCCCAGUCAAAGGUUCAAAUCCACAAAGACUAUGGUUCAGCCGAUGAACGGUUGGUGUGAACAAUGUACAUCCAAUAGUAAGUCCCUGGAUGAAAACUCUAAAACAUCCAAUGCCAGUUUAGCCACAGACAAUUUAGUAGUCUAAAUCUGACCAGACCUAAGACCAGUUCCAGUCAAACCAGCCAGUCCAGUGAGGUUUCAAAGUUUAGAAUAUGAGUAAAGACCUGACUUGCAUUUCUGCAAGGCCUUGCAAAUCCCACCAAUAUGCAUGUGAAAGGAAGGACUUUGGCCUUGCGCCAGUAUGCACAUGAAAGCAAGGAAAAAGGCAGGAAAUACUCAAUAUCUAAGCAACGGCGAUAGAGUGUGAGAAUUCGUUCAUAAGUGGCUACAAAUUAUAACAUAUUAACAUAACAGGGUAAAAAGUCUUCUUCACACACACAUUGGACAAGCCUCGUCAGCCCACUAAUUUAUCCAUCCACCACAUCAUGCACAUAAUUGGUAAAUGCAGAUGUAGCAUUCUACCUGAACAGUCGCAGCUGUCACCGUAUCAAGGAGUGUGUUAGUUGUGUAACGAUUUGAUUGUAAUCUAAUACGCCUGGGUUCAAUAUCCACAGAACUCUUUGACCAAAAUGAAAAUAUAGAUGAAUCUGUCACCUGCGUGGCACCAUGCAUGCAUAGGUCAACAUUAAGUUAUAUACUGUAAAAGAACGUGUAAAAAAGGACAAUCAACUCACUUCACAUCUGGUGAUGGUCUCUAAAGGGUAUAUCCUCAAAGUCCGACUAGUUGAAGGAUCAAGCAUACGAAUUCCAUCCAAGCCUAUCUGAAAGAGAAUAUGUAACAUCAAGAAUCAGUCGCAAUAGAAUCAACCACCAAAUGACUGAAGGAUAAAAGCAAGAAAGAGACAAAAUGAUCUACUGUAUUGCCGCAACUCUUGUUUACUACAGGUAUCUUACAACAAUACAAAGAGAUGUUUAAGAUCUUUGAAAUAAUAUUAAGAACAUGGUAAGGAGAUAAUAUGAAUAGUAACGAAAUCAGUGAGUUCAAUUAUAGGUGUUCUCCACCACAUAUUUCCCCCCAGGUGUGGGGGAAUGAAAUACAGAGUGCACGUACACCAUGAUUUAUCAAUGCCAAAGGGAAUUAUGUUGGUUUACUAAUAGGUGUUCUAUUCCUCCUCUUGCAAUAAUUGGCACUCGGCAAUAGGGUGAAAGUAACUAUUAAUGAGAUUGAGAAAUCAAUGAACAGCUUGUACGAUAAAUUUGAAAAAUAAGUUCUCAGAAUUUAGACACUGAAUAUGUUUGAUUUGAAUGGAUUUCAAGUUAUUUUUUCCAAAUCCUGCAGUGCUUAUAAUUCGAUUUUUAUUUUAUGCAAAACACAACAUCUUUCAGAAAAUUCAGAAAAAUGCAAAUAUUGACAUGUAUACACCUAUAAAAUGUUAAAUUUUCAAAUUAGUAGGAAAGAAAAUUUUUAAGGCAAACAAAACAAGUGCUUAACAAAAGAUUGUUAAAUAGAAGCUUUGGAAGAUAAACAUUGCAUCUUGUUAGUUUCUCAGCAAAAAGGAGUUGCAGAUGUGAUGAUAGGCUUUAGCAAUAUAAUUGGUAAAGUUCUAACUCCCACAAAAGUUUUUCCAUCAAACAAAUUAAGUAACUGCUUCCUUACUUCAUCUUGAGUGAAAUUUUUGCUUAAAUGAAUCUGUCUAGUCAAAAUUAGUCAGUAUUACCAGACUCUUUUAAUCUUAUUAAGUGUCAAAUUUUUCAGUUAUCGGCUUUUAAUUAAGCUGUCAAAGAGGACCUAACUAUUUGGGCUAAUAUGGGUACUAAACAAGGAAACCUUCUAGGUAUACCAAUUUUCACCAUUCCUCUAUUAGCUAGUCUAGGUUGUUUACUAACGUUUUCUGCAGCAAAUGCAGUCAGUGUCCUUCCCCCAUUAUAUAAUUUGGUCAGUAAUAGUUACAUUAUUGAUUGAUUUUAUGGUGACUUAUGUAAUUUUUAUUAUAUUAGUCUUUUGAAGGCAUCUACAAACAGUGAUUGCUAACGUCGCAUUUAUCUCUAACAUAUACAAUCCUCAUAAUCCACAUAAUUUUAUGAUAAAUCCACAUAACACAUCUAUCAAACAAUCAUUUCGUCAAACAGUGAUCUUCAAGACAUUUAAAGAUCAAAAGACCAUAUCUUCAACUUCUUAAGACAUGAGCAUCUAAGGCAGGCAAUCCUUUUACUUGCUUCAGUAAUAAGCAAAGAGUAUAACAGAAACUGGAAUAAUGAAGGCAGUACAAAACUACAACCUUGCAUGAAGGCAGUACAAAACUACAACCUUGCAUCUCUUACAAGCUAUUAGUGUAAAAUGUGCUAAGGUUUUCCAGAACAACAACAGGUGUUGCCCAAUAAAGGAAAGUUCUUUGCUUUUUAUUUUAAAAUCAUUAUGGCGGUUUAGCCAAAACAUCAGUUACUUCAGUUCACUUGCAAUGUAAAAUCACAAUGAAAACUAUCACAAUAUUACAACUCGAUCGGUCAAGAGAUGUAAUAUAUUCAGCUGCAUCAGGUCAUUUGUACCCAUUCAUUGCAGGUUUAUUUUUUUUGUAAUGAAUCACUUUGAUGCUCAUACGGUCUAUCUGUCCUAGAACACCCCCAAAGAAUCUUAGGUUAGCCUCCGAUUUAAGACGAACUAGGCAUUAAACGAGUCAAAUUCAGUAGCGCUGAAAUACUAACGAUGAACUUACUACUCUGCACACUAUAAACUUCUAAAGGUAGAAAUUAAGCAAAGACAAACCUGACAGAGAACAUCCAUUGUACUUUGAGAACCACUUUCAGGCAAGAGCUUCACCCUAAACUUCUGGACCCCACUCUUUACAUCCUGCUGCGUCUCCGCCUUGGGCACUGCUCUUACAAUCUUCGGUGAGCUGACUGAAGAAUCCUUCCCGGAGGGAAAACUGAUCGGUCUUCCAUAAUCAUCGAACGCAGACCAGGUCGAUGAUUUCGAAGAAGUGCCUCGAGCACCAUAUGGCUCGACUUUCCCUCCUUCGUAAGCAAGCACACCAUCUCCAUACGCGUCCUCCCGCCUCGAACCCGAACCACACUGCGAAACAUCCGACUGCUUCCUGUAGAAAUCCGACCCGUAAUCGGACAUGCUACGACCGUAUCCCCCGCCAUACCUAUCAUCGAGGAACGAUCCCCCCUGAUCGUACUUCACGGAAUUAUCAUACGUCGGCUCAUAUGGCGGGUUGUACGGGGCCGACGAGGCGUAGAUGGACGAGUACGGCGAAUUCGUGCUCGGAUUGGGGACCGAGCUAGGGUUCAGGGCGGGGGGCGCGAUCGAGAUCUGCGCAGGGUAGCUCGCGGGGGCCUGAAGCUGAUCGCAGGGCCCGGGCGGAGGAGGAGGGGGUGGCGCGUAAUAAGACUGCUUUGACUCUCCAGAAAACGGUGUUUUUACCUUUUUGCCCCUUCGUCUCGCAUGCUAUAAUUAAAAAAUUUCUUCCUUUUUGUUUAUUUAUUCCUUUUCUUUUCUCGCGGGACCCACGUUCCUCCUACUUCCUUCCUUUUCUCUUGUGCCGAAUCUUGGAAAACAAAACUUCGGCUCCACCUGCGUUCACAUUCAAUUUCUUCUUCUGCUCCCCUUCAUACUCAGGAUCAACCGUCGGCAACUCAAACCAGCAAAUCAGACGCUUACUCCUCCCACCCUACCACGGCACAAUGCAGUCCCCAUGAUAACCAUGCCCACAGGGCAAUUUCUUCGCCAUCUCUUCGACGGUCACCGUAUCCUUACAGAUCACACACACCAAGAUUUGGUCCUUUGAUCUAAUCCCCACAGAUGGGGGCUAAGCGCUGAUUUCGCGACUGGUGGAGCUCCUCUUCUUGCACUGUCUCCGCCAAAUUCUGAAGCAACGCCUGGUGCCCAAUGUCAUCCGCGUAAUCCUCCGAAUUGGCUAUGUAGCUGUCUGAUCCAGGCACCUUGAGCCUCAGUUUGAUUGGGUUAUCAUCCAACCCCAUUAAAAUCUCCGCACAAUUGAGAAUCCGCUUACGCACGCUUCGAGCUCACGUUGCAAAGUCUCAGAUCCAGAGCCUGAGCACGUCACGCCGCCUCCGAAGUGCAUCGUCCUCGUCAUAUUUUAUCUAUGUUCUCCCCUCCGUUCUCGUUAUCCGAUUGGUUAUCACCUUUCCUCUCCCCUUCACCUCGUUCAUAUCUCUCGCGGUUACUAUUCUCUUCAUUCUCUUCCUCAUUGUCCUCAUCUCACGCGGAGGGACGCCCUCGUCAUGCGCCGCCUGCACGAUCAACUAACCAUUUGGGCAGUUGAAGCCUAAGCUCAUUGAGCGAUUCGGGCAUCAAGAUUAUAGGAGAGUUUUCUUUUUUUUUAGGAGACGUCGAGGAGCUCGAGUUUACUUCUCCUCAUUGUUUGAUUCCGCAAGAAAUUAAAAUAAACGAAAAAGGGAGGAAAUUAUGACUAAAACAUGUGAGACAAAGGGUCAAAAAGGUAAAGACACUUUUUGGGAGCGUCUAAGCCAAAAUUGAAGUGAAAAUUAGUUUGGGUACUAGUUUGAGAUUUUUCUAUAACAUAAAAAUUAAUUUGAGAUAAAUAUGGCACGAGCAUAAUAAUUGGGAAUUAUUUGUUUGGUUUGGUUAAAUGUGGCACAAAUAUACCAAUUUAAAAUCUUUGGUGAUACUAAUGGCAGAAUUUAGAAGAAGUUAGUCAUUGACUAUGGACUUGAUAAAUUCAUUAUGAUGUGUAAUUGUUGACAAGUUAACUUAUGAGCAAGCUACCGGUUAUGUUUAUUUGCUAACAGUAUUUGAAAAUUACUCGCAACUUCAAAAAAUCCACGAACCUGAAAAAAUUAGUUUUUUGGCCUAGAAGACUCGAGAAUUUUGCAAUUAGAUUACUUUGAAUCUAAAUUUCGAAAGAUGCUUUGAGGCUUGAACUUUUAGAACCCCGGUUCACUAUUGCAGACGAGUAUGAAAGGUGCAAGAACAAGUCAACGAUCUAACACUAGCCUGCAACUUCAAUAGAAAUGCGUAGUGGGACAAUGACAAAUUUAGAAAUCCGUAAGGACAUAUUUCAAUGGCAAAUUUCAAUCAUGCAACCCUGGGUUAAAUGGUUCGACAGCUCAUCAUCUUCUUUCUUUCCCAUAGAGAAACAAGAAUGUCGUUCACUAUACAAGAAAAGGACACAUAAGGUGUUAAUGAUGCAAAGCGGUUUUUCGAAAGAUCUCUUUCGUGCUCAUCUAUUCAAUCCACCCAAUUCAAAAAUCACACUUAAAGAAGAAGAUGACAGCAUAAUAAAAAAGGCAUCCAUAUGCAAAAUUGCAUUUCAAUCCAACAAGAAGUGUAUUCCUUCGACUACAUUGCACAUAGUUCAAAUUUCCCAACAAUUUCAUCGACCUCAAUGAAAUUUGAUGGCUUUCCACUUUGGCUUCUUCAUCAAUUUGACUCUUCUCUCCAUGCUUCUCACUUUUCCCACAAGCCAUUUAGGUCUUCCAGUUUCCCAUGAAAUAUACGCUAUGGAAAUCCCGAUCACGUAUCCGGAUGCAUAACCUAUCCCAACUACUUUCCCAUCAAACCUGCUACCAUGGUCUCUUGUAUUAUCCUCUUGGAAGAACAAUGGUGGUGGUGGAGAUGGCUGAGCAUCACCAAGGCAUGCGUUUUGAAAUGGAGUUCCACAUAAGCCUAGAUUUCCCCGAAAUGAGUCGCUCGUGAAUGUGCUCAAUUGCUUGUCUUGAGGUAUAGGGCCUGUGAGUUGGUUAUUUGAGAGGUUCAAACACCCAAGAAAUGACAAAUCUCCAAGUUCUCUAGGAACCCUCCCACUAAGCUUGUUUGAAGAUAAAUCUAGCCAUUCAAGGUUAGUCAAAUUUCUAAGGGUUGAAGGAAUGGAACCCAUCAGGUGGUUGUGGGAAAGAUUGAGCCCUAUGAGAAAAUGAAGAUUUCCAAUAAUACUAGGGAUGUUCCCUUGAAAGGAGUUGAGCGAUAAGUUGAUGGUUGUGAAGAUGGUCAAUAUCCUCUUUAGCCGAAAUUCCUUUCCUUUGAUGAUCACAUUCACGGAAUCUUCAUAGAACCCAUGUCCAUUUACAUUGUCCUGCCUCAUGUACAAUGAUUUGUUUCGCGGCUCUUGCUCAUUUUGUCCAAUCAUCAUCCCUUGAAGUUUUUCUACCAAAUUGACUGGUAAAGGACCAGUGAAGUCGUUGUUCGAGAGAUCCAAAAUGUGCAACUUAGGAAAGAGAUGAGCUACCUUUGGAAAAUUUAAAAAACCCUUAAAAUUGUUGGACUUCAAAAUAAGAACUUUUAGCUCAGGUAGUGUUCCCAACCAUGCUGGGAACUUAUCCUCUAUCUUAUUAUCCCCAAAAUCCAAAACUUCCAUGUUUUUACAAUUGACAAGGGAUUGGGGCAAUGUGCCUUCAAAUUGAUUUUGACUUAAGUCAAGACUUCUCAAGCUACAUCGCAAUGAAAAUGUUUCAAGGAUUGUGCCUGAAAGACUAUUCAAUUGCAAGUUCAAAUGCCAUAAAUUAAAGUUUGAUAAGCACUGAGGUAGGCUACCGGUUAUGCUAUUAUUAGACAAGAUGAGGAUUGAGAGAGAGGUGGCAUUGCAUAUUGAUAAAGGGAUCUUCCCAGUUAACUUGUUGAAACUCAAGUCGAUAAAGGUCAGGUUGGGGUAGACACCAAAGAUCUCGGAGAUGUUUCCAAUCAACUGGUUUUUCUCGAGGCGAAGUCUGACUAAGCUUGUGCAAUUUUUCAAGCUUUUAGGGAUAGAACCAGUUAACUUGUUGCCACUCAUUGAGAGACUUUCAAGAAAUCCACCUUGGCACAAGUUUUCUGGUAAGGAGCCAGUUAACUCGUUGGCAUCCAGUUCCAACAUCUUUAAGUUCAUCAGAUUCCCCAAGGAUUUAGGAACUGAACUAGAAAGUUGAUUCCCGCGGAGGAACAAGUAUAAUAGGUCGGUCAAGCGACCCAACGAAGAAGGAAUUGGGCCAAUGAGCUGAUUUCUGCUCAGCUCUAAGUCAAGCAUAGAGCUAAGAUUUCCUAUCUCAUCAGGAAUGUGACCAAAAAGCUAAUUAUCGUAGAGGUAAAGAAUGGUAAGCUUCAUCAAAUUGCCUAAUAUUGGCGGGAUUGAACCGGUAAGAUUAUUUUCGUAUAGGCUCAAUGAGCUAAGAAGGUUCAAAUUCCCUAGUUCUAGGGGGAUGGAACCGGUAAGCUUAUUAGCAGAUAGCAGCAACUCUCUUAAUUUGGUUAAGUUCCCCAGAGUAGAAGGAAUUGAUCCUGUCAAGUUGUUAGAAUUCAUGUGGAGCACUUCCAAAUUUGUCAUAUUUCCUAUUUCAACAGGAAUAGAACCAGAAAGGGAGUUGUUGUAGACAUACAAGAUAGCUAAUUUGCUCAAAUUGCCAAAUGAAGAAGGUAUGGGUCCAUUCAACUUGUUUGAAUAUAGCGCAACUUCACUAAGCAAAUGCAAUUGCCCGAUUUCUUGGGGAAUUGAGCCAUUUAACUCAUUGGAGACUAGGUGCAAGACCUCCAAUUUUGUUAGACAGCCAAUCUCUGGCGGUAUUUUCCCCGAGAACCGAUUGAUAGAGAGGUCGAGAUAAGUGAGAUUGCUCAGGAGACUAAUUUGAGGAGGAAUGUGGCCAAAAAGACUAUUUAUACUUAGGUCCAUAUUCAUAAGAUGAGACAACGAUGAGACAACGAUGAGAAUGGGAAUUCAUCAAGCGUACCUUCAACACUGGCGCUGGUGAGAUUAAUGCCGAUCACGUUUCCUGCCCGAUUGCAAAAAAUGCCAUGCCAAGUGCACAGACUCAUGGUUGAAUUGGAACCAGUGGCAUUAUGGGGAGAGGAAGUCCACGAAGAGAGGGAAGAAACCCAAUGGUUGCCAAGACCAGACUUCCACUUGAGGAGGGCUGGUGCUUCUGUAAGGGAAGCAUGAGCUGGAAGUGGAAUGGUAAAAGUAGUGAAAAGGAUAAGGGCAGCCACAAGGCUCAUGACCCUCUUGAAUUCUGACGAAGAGUCCAUGGAUUCUUCUUCUCCUUCUCCUGUUUUAGUUCGGAUAAGUUGGUUUGUGUUUCCCUGAGACUACAAGUGAUGAUUAAAUAGGCUGUGAAAAGUCAUGAUCCUAUCAUUUUCCAUGAUAAUGGGAAUGCAAUAAAAUGGCCUAAGUGGAGACUCACAAAAGGUACCUUUACAUUACUUUUACGCCGUAGGUGGACCGGGGUAGGUAUCUUUUCUGAGAGAAAAGUCACGAUCCUGUCAUUUUCCAUGAUAAUGGGAAUGCAAUAAAGUGGCCUAAGUGGAGAAUUUUUGGUUCUUAGAAGACUUGUUACUUUUGAAGUCUUCGUAUGUCACUUUUCUGACUGGGUCAGUCCCCAUUUCAGAGGUUUUUUAUUUUUUUUGGUCUGACCUAUUUAUGAGUCCCACCCUCCCAUUGUACGAAAAGCAGAGGCUUCGACAGAGAGGUCUUCGAGGAAAGUGAUGUCAAGUCAACGUCUUUCGUGAGGUGUGGGUACACCCAAUUUUCCGCAAGAUCAGACCCCAUGUCGUGCUGCACGAUUUUGAAUUCAAAGCGUGUAUAAGGAAAGUGUUCUCCCACGGCAUUCACGAAGCCAAAUCUAGACGCGGUCCACCCCAUUCUUGCAGAAAUGACUGCUGAUCUAGAACACGGUAAAAAAGAAAACUAACAGCAUAUUUGAAGUGAAAAAUUGCUAAAAUUUGGAGCUUGCGUUGAGUUAAAUAUGAUUUGGGUCCAAGUGAGAUUGAGUGUGGAUUGCCAUAAUUAUUUUACAGAAAUAAUGGUUAGAUUGAAACUUUUUUCUACCCAUUCAUAUUUAACCUAUCUUUUAUUAGGAAUAAUACCAGAUAAAUUUAAAAGAUUAUCGAUUCUAAAAAUGUAAAGAAAACUAUAAUCAAUAAUUAUAUUAGGAUUAUUAACCUAAAAAACCCCAAACCGGUACACUUGUGACAAAUUUACUCCAAACUAUUUUUUUUACCACCAAAAACCCCAAACUGAUACAUUUUUGACAAAUUUACCCCAAACUGGUACACUUGUGACAAAUUUAUCCUCUGUUAGUUUUCGUUAAAUUUUAAUUAAGUCAAAUGACACGUGACAGUUAAUUGGUAUAUCGAUUUGGGAUUUUACACUCUGUUUGUCACAGUUUACAAUUUUUGUGAUUUUUUUGUGGUAUUAAUCCAAUUUACUGCAGGGUAUAAUUGUCACAAAUUUACCAGUUUGAGGUUUUUUGUGGUUGAAUAAAUUAGUUUUGGAUAAAUUUGUCAUAAAUGUAUCACUUUAAGGUUUUUUAUAGUCAGUCGGGGUAAAUUUGUCACAAGUGUACCAGUUUGGAGUUUUUUAUGGUCAAAAAAAUAGUUUGGGGUAAAUUUGUCACAUGUGUACCAGUUUAUGGUUUUUUAGGGUAUUAACCCAUUAUAUUAUAAUAAAUGUUGUGUGAUGCAGCCCAAAUUUCUUUAAGACCUAUUUAGAUAACCACAAAGGCACUUCGAUUUUUUUAGGCACUUCUCUCCUUCCUAAAUGACCAUAAUUUCCAAAGGACCUCAAAUCCAAACAAAAUAGAAAUGUAUAUGAGCUCGAGCUGCUAAUGAGCUAAUCCUAUUUCCCUAUUCUUAAAAUUCUAGAAUUUACUUCUUUGGAAUAAAGCUAAGGCUUCACAAGGUUCUCUAGCUUGGAGGAAAGAUAAGCUUUCAAUAUGGUCAAAUACAACCUACCAUUUUGUUGCAACUUAGAACAUUCAAGACAAUAGUAAAUUGAAACUGGAAAGUGAAUACAUGACCGUAUGGUCAUUUUACAAAAUAAACAGUGGAAUGUCAGCUAGUGAUUUUGAAGUUGGGAGCAAGGAUACUGACUUGCCAGUUCCAUAAUUUUUUUUUGUCAACAAAUUGGUGGGAUUUAUUCAUUUUUCUCUUUUCUUUUAAAAAAUCAAAGUGAUAAUAUUCAAACAAUAAGUAGUAUAGGAAGAAUUCAAUCGCAACUUUUUGAAUAGAUAAUAUUAAUCUCUAGCCACAAAAAAAAAAAGAUUUGGUGGAUUUCAUUCCUAAAUAAAAGAAAUUUAAGAACUCAAAAAAAAAAAAUGAAUGUGAAUAUCUAGUAUACUUUGAACUUUCGAUUAUUUUAGGAUAUUGCAAUGGAUUAACACGUGACUGUGGAGAAAAGUUUUUAAUCUUUACUUCUUCGAUUACAAGAAAGUAAGAUGUACUGUAACGUCAAAUUUUAGUUGGUAUAUACACACACACACACAUAUUAUAGACAUACAAUGCUUUACUGAUGAAAAUAAUGUUAGCGAUUACGAUGAGAUGAACAAUUCAAUUGAAGAUGCUAGCGAUGAAUGAGUCAUGACACCAAGCAAUCCUAAGUUAGUAGUAAUGAAAGCUAAUGUUUUUAGGCCACUAGAGAGUCCUAUUAGAGCAAUGAAUCGAGCAGAACGAAUUAGAAGUCACAAUGCACAAUUAUUUUCUUAUUAGUUGUAAAGCCAACAUUUCAAGUGUUUCUCAUCUUUGGAAUUUAAUAGAUCUUUCUAAUGACAUUAACGAUUUCUUUUAGCUUAGUGAUAAUACCUUUUUACUUGUGAUUAUCUAUUUUGUGGAAUGUAAUUUUUCUUUUCUUUUUUUCAAAUUCAAGGGUUUGAACUUAAUGGGAUAUGUAGAUUUUUUUGGGCCUUCAUAAAAAUUCUAAUCCAAAAUUAAGCCAAGAGAAAUGGAAACAAUGUAAAAACGAAAAAAAGGAAAGAAACCGGUCAAAGUAUUGUCCUGUUUUCCUCCAUUGAAAGCCGAGGCUGGUAUUAGAGGGUUAGAAAAUUAAAAGUACGGCACCAAUAAGAUAGCCGAGCUCAUGAAAAUUAUAUGUUAGAUGUGGGCACUCGGAUUCGUUGCUCCGAGAUCACAACAUGUGAUGCUAAUUCCCCAACAAGAACACCAAUUUGGGCCACCCCAACCUCCGGCAGAUACAUUCAAUAAGGCCUUCAUGGGGCACUUUUGGUCCCAUCCUAUAUUACUUAUCGCCCUGAACCUUCACAAAACCACCAUAUUUACGGGCUGACCCUGCACUUUCAGAUACGAGGAGACCCUUGUAAAGAAUCGAGAGAAAAGUAAGCAGAGCAUAUGGUCACGGAGUCCGAACACUUAAAUAAGAUCAAUCGCGCUAUAUCUUUUACAAGACCGCUAAUGCCAAGACUUUUCAUCGCCGUUGCAUGUCAGAAUCUCGCAACUAAUGCGUUGGCCUAAAGUAAGGCCAACGAAUCGAACACGUUUUCUGGAAACUUCGUCAGGACCCAAAAAAAUUGCCAGAGUGGAACACCUACCGCUAUAAGAAUAUGAACAGACUGUUUAUACCAAGACUUUAGUUCAUCCGAUUAAGCUUGUAUCAAACUUGAUUGUUUUAAUUCCGCAAUUCUUGUCGAGGUCAAAGAAAUCACCUAUUCACCCCCACUAGGUAAUAUCAUUAGCCGACAUUAGUUAGCAUACCAAAAGAACACUAGUUCGAGAAUAGUAUAAUCAAGUACCCGAUUUCAUAUCUUUAGUUACGUAAAAUUAUUUUUCACUUGGCUCCUAGACAACCUCAAUAGGCUAGUGAUGACCCCUAGUUAGGUUGGAUUUCAUAGAUAGGUCUAUAUCAAUUGUAAUUUUGGUUCCUUGAAGACUUUGGAAUAUUUUAUUUAGUCUUCAUUGGUGACUUUAUGAACUUCAUCAGUUUCUAUUUUGGAAUCGAGUCCCGCUCAUUAAAUGAAAUCCAAAGACUUUGGUAGAGAUUUCUUUUAGGAAAGUGAUGUAAAAGUCCAAAUGAAAUCCAAAGACUUUGGCAGAGAUUUCUUUUAGAAAAGUGAUGUAAAAGUCACCGGCCUUUCGUGACCUAUGUGAAGUUGUGAACACUCGACUUUCCACGGGAUCAAAACGUAGGUGUAGGUUGCGCCACACAUUAUGCAAUUUUAAGCGCGCAAAAGGGGAGUCUACUCACUUGGCAUUAAUGAAGCAAAAACUUGCCCCGGUUGACCCGUUCUUGCAAAAACGACGGCCAAUGAUCUAGCCAAAUGGCACCGAGAACACGAUCAAAAUAUAAAAAACGAUAAAAGACACCGAAGAUCAUAAAAUUUAUUUAAAAAGUGUAAUUUAAUUUUCAAAACUUUCAAAAAUUAUAACAAAAACGAGUCUUAAAAUUUAUCACGAAAAUACAAUCAAAUCCUAAAAUUUUAAUAAGUGCAAUCAACAAAAGGAUUUUAUUGGACUGGUACGACAAUUUUUAUGAUUUAAUCAUACUUUUUGAAAGUUUUUAAAAUGCAAUUACACUUACAUGAUGAGUUUUCGAUCCUCCUGAUCAUAUUUGGGCGCCCUUUAGUCUCCACGAUGAUUUCGACUUUUGCUAUAGCUCCUGCUCCGGUGACGGUAACUCCUUUCCCUGUCUCUGUACCUGUCGCGAUCAUAUUGUCUGCAGCUUCUUCUGCGACUUCUCCUUCUGUGAUUGCGUCUCUAUAUUCGUCUCUACACCUAAAAAUCUAUCUUUCUAUCAGUUUGCAGCAGAGAAUGAGAGGGAAUCACACGCGACACUAAAAGAUACAACCACCACCCACUUAAUGGCACGUCAGUGCAAAUUUUGUCCAAUUUACUACGAACGAAGAAGAAGGUGCAACACGCUUGGAUGUCCCCUAAUAACCUGGUUCGGAGCUUAAAUCACCAAAAAGCAGAAUCUAGAAACCAACAACUCAAUGGCAUAAUAGAAAAUAGCUAAGAGAAAUUAGCAGUACCGCAUUGAUAACCUAUUUGUUAUGGAGGAUCAUAAGACUUUAGGAGUUUACAAUUUCAUGCGCAAACAUCUUAAGGCGCCACGGUCACAUUAUUCAUCUAGGUAGGACGUGGGUAAAAGUACUAAAACAAUCAUAUACCUAUUACAUUGAUACAAAUUCAGUUCUAAACUUUUUAAUUGAACCAAUUCAAUUCUAAAUAUUUUCACAUUGAAACCAAUUCAGUCUAUCCGACCAAUUUUCGUCAAUUAAAGCUAAUGUGGACGUUGGCCGGUGGCCGAAUGUUGACAUGAUAAUUUUUAAAUAAUUUUUUGAAUUUUGAAUUUUUUUCCUUUUUUUUUCUCCCUACUUCCUCCUCGGACUAUCCUCCUAGUGGCCGGCAAGGCUCGUCAGCCACUGGACAAGGGCCGUGAAGCCCUCAUUGGCGUGGCCCUCACCCAACCUCACCUUCGCCCACUGCAAGGCUAAGGCGAGGCUAACCUUGCCCAAAUUUGGGCGAAGCCACCUCGCCUGCGGCCCUGGGCAAAAGGCCAAGCAAGGGUUGUGACCCUCGCCCAAUGACCAGUGAAGGCCAAUGAGGGCUUUGGAGCCACCGGCAGGAGGCUCGCCAGCCACCGCGAGGACAAACCAAGGAGGAAGAAAGGAGAAAAGGAAAAAGGAAAGAAAAAAAUUAUUUAAAAAUUAUUUAAAAAUUGCCACAUCAACCUGCGAUCAUCGGCCGACGUCCACAUCAGUACUGACCGGCCAAAAUUUGUCGAAUAAACUGAAUUGGUACCAAUAUAAAAAGGUUUAUGAUUAAAUUAGUCUAAUUAAAAAGUUUAAAACUGAACUAGUACCAAUACAAUAAAUUUAAAACAUUUCUAGUACUAUUCCUGUAGGAUGUGUCAUCAAAUUGCUGAUGAUGGAGUAAGUCCAAGUUCAUAAGCUCUUCAUUUAGCACGAAUUAACAAAAAAGCUUUUGGGAUAAGUACAAAACAAAUCCUAAACGUUUUACCCACUAUCUCAUAGUCAAUUGAAUUUUAAAUUAUUUCAUAAAUAUUCAAUUGGCCGUCAUCUUGCUGCCGAUGCCAUUUUUUCCCUAGAAAAUGGAAUCUACUCAAUAUACAUGAAAUUGACUAUACUCUUUUACUACUAAGAAGUAAGACAUUGGAUUUUUUAAUUAUAAGACUCAAAUGAAGAUUGAACCUCAAAAAUUCAUUUAAUUUGAGGAAAAAAUGGAGAUUUUCAAAAAGUAAUAAAAAUAAUUUAAGGAAAAUUCCAAAUAAAGGCUCGAAGUGCUCUCAUUUUCUCAAAGAAUGGCAAGAAGUAAACCUUAUUUUAAAUAAAAGCCAAAGUGGCUAUAUCAAUCACAAAAAAGAGCUUGAAGUCGUUAUAACUACUUCAAAUAAGGGCCUAGUCUCGCCGGCUUGCCGAUUGGUAAAUUAUUACGGCCAAUCAAUGAUAUUUUUUGUUUAAACAUGUUUAAAUUUAAAUUAAAUUAGAUGAAAAAUUUUAAAAAUAAUAAAACUUAAAGGAAAAUGGAAAAACACAAGUACGUGUCGAUGCCCCAUCGCCGGUGGGGCGACAGCAAAGGUCGAUGCCUAGGCGAGGGCCAGCGACCCUCAUCAACCAAAGGUGAAGGCCAGCAUGCCUUCACCAGAAGUGAGAGAGGGCAACAACCCUCUCCCAGAUUUGGGCAAGGGUCACCGGGCUUGCGCAAGGGUCGGCAACCCUCGCCGAGGCCGAGGCUAGGGCGAGGGUGAGCGACCCUCGCCCAGAUUUGGGAGAGGGUCGCCACUCUCUCCUACUUUCGAAGAGGGCCAGUAGGCCCUCGCCUUUAGACGCCACAAGUUGUUGACCCUCACUCAGGCGCCGGUGACCUCGCUAGCCUUUGCCAUUGCCUCACUGGCGAUGGAGCGGCUCCCUCCCACUUGUGUUCUCCUUUUUAAAAGUUUUUUUAAAAAGAAAAAAGGUAAAAAAUUUAAAAAUUUAAAAGAUAAAAUUGUCCUUCACAUCCACUGAAUUUAGGUUGUUCUUGACACCGAUAUAGGCACUUCAAGCCUUUAUUUGAAAUAAUAUCUACUUCAAAUCCUUAUUUUAGAAAAUAAUAACACUUCAUGCACUAAUUUAAAACAAUGUUCACUUUAGACCUUUAUUUGAAAUUUUCCCAUAAAUUAAUGAAUUUAGUAAAGAAGAGAUUAAAUUGAUAUAACUUAUUUUUAGUGUACUCUUAAUAUCGAUAUUGUCUUGUAACCUAUUUUUGACUUGGUUAUCAUAUACACAAACAAGUGAAAAAAUCAAUUAUAACUAACUUGAUUAAAAUAGUAUACUGUCUAAUACAAUAUACUUUAUGCCAGUUUGAAUUUUAAUAUAACUCAUUUAUAGUAUUUUCAUGUUAUUUAUUGUUAUCGAUAUGCUUGAUGUAAAUAGGGAAAGAGAUAUGAAACAUAAAAUAAGAUCAAAUUCCUUAAAAUAAGAUACUUGUUCAUGGGGAUAAUAAGCUUUUCUAUUAAAUAAAAGCAAGACACAUGGAGCCUGAACUUCAAUCUCUAAAGCUCAAUCCAUCACGUCUGAAACGUGAGGAGGAAGAGCAGAGCACGCAGACGCGGCUAAGGGAUAGGGCGGAAGGUGGAGGAGGCGGUGAUCAAUUCCUCUGCCCAUAACCACGAAAAAUCGUUUGGGAGAGUGACCAACACGGAGAGGAGGAAUCAGUUUUGAGGAAAGAUAACAUUUUUCGGGGUGAGGAAGGAUAUUUGUUGGGAAAGAAAGAUCUAUGAAAUGUAGGCCAGAGAGUUUUAGUACCGAUUACGUUUUGGUUUAUGACAAUGAGUAUCUAUAAGUGUUUCGAACUUAUUGAGCAGUUUUGGUACCAAUAUAGUAUCAAGUAGCAUCUAGAUCAUUCAGUUGAGACGCCAUCGCCUGUUCGAUGAAAUGUUUAUGAGAAUUCUAGGACUCAGACGAAAAUGACUUAUUGAGCAGCUGUAGUAUCAAUAUGGAAUUGAGUCGUUGCCUCUACAUCAUUCAGUUAAGACGCCCAUUCACCUAUUCGAUGAAAUGUUUGAGGAUUUAGAGGGAGUUAACCUCGUUCUUGUGUAAUCUGAAAGUAAAGUGAUUUAGGUUCAAUGAUCUUAUCUGGUCUUCAAGCCAUUCACGUCUAAGUCCUAGUGAUUUCUCAAUAUCUGAAUACCUUUCUAUAGUAUAUAAAAACACCUGACCCAUGGCAUAAAUGAACAUGAUUAAACUGCAUCCCAACACAAUUAAGCCACUUUAUUGCAACUUAUCCCUUGGAUCUUGAUGAUUAUGAGGUAUGUGACAGGGUACGCCCAAGCAAACGGUAGCUAUAAUUCAAACUACAAAGAAGAUACUUGCAAGAAGAAAAUUGCAAAUAAGUCACAGGAUUAACAUGAUCAAAUAUUUUUUACAUCGAAAGGUAACUUGCAACAAGCCACUGGCAUGCGAUAUGCAUACCACAAUACCGCACCAACAAUUCUGCAGUUCAUCCAUGUACAAAAGUCACUAUCACACUCAGCACCAACUCAAAUCUCAAUUUACAGUAAUAUAUCGUGAACUACCAACAUUGGCUCAAAUUCUCCAAAGAAAGCAAAGGAAUUUACUAAAUAGGUCACUAAUCUCACUGUAGCCAUCCAAAGCCCUUUUCCACAUGCUAAACAAUUCAAAGAAGUUAUAAUGCAGAAGCCUCAUCGCCCAAAGAGGGUGGCACUAGUGGGCACUCACGAGGAAGGGAUGCUGACACACUCCACAUUCAAUAGUCUCAGAACCAGAGGUUGGAACCUGGACCUGCAA
rnacentral:lncRNA from 1 species